GGUGUGCGAGUACCGGUGCAGCGACACCAAGUACAGGAAGCCGUGCCUCUUCUUCUGCAACAAGUGCUGCAACACCUGCCUGUGCGUGCCGUCGGGCUUCUACGGCCACAAGUACGAGUGCCCCUGCUACAACAACUGGAAGACCAAGGAGGGACGCCCCAAGUGCCCUUAGUUGCAAAAAAGGAUUCUGCCUCGCCGUUGAAGCCAUUGCUAGAUCGGCCAAGCCAGAGCCGGAUAGUUACAUGUACUCACUAUAUAAACUAAUAUAAAAGCAUUUAGAUCAUUAAAAUAGUGAUCCAAACGUUCUUAUAUUAGUUUAUGGAGGGAGUAACAGGUUUCAGGCUGCUUCGGGCGACACUGGUGUGAAAGAAGUGAACUCAGAAUACUCGAUCAAUCUGGGUUGUUGUUGUGGAAUGUGUCCGCCUGUUUUCUGCGAUUCCAGGCAGCUGACGCGGUUGUAUCUGAAAAUUGUUCGUCAGAUAAUUGGAUAAUGGUCAUCAACUAUUUUUCAAAUACGAAAAUAUCUGUAUAUUUACAUGAACAUUUUUUGAAUUACAUGAUGAAUAAUUCUUAAGUGCGCAAUAAAAAAAAUCUAAUACACAAUGAGAAAUUUGGGAAAGAACGAUGAAGUUUUUUGGAAUAAACAAUGAAUACUUUAUAAUACAGGAUGUUUUUUUAUGGCUGACUAUUUUUCAAAUAGAUAGUUAACAUUUUUUAAACGAUGAAGAUUUUUAUAAUAUGUAUUGAAGAAUGUUUUUUAAAAUACACACAAUGUUUUCACAUGUACUCCUUCUGUAUGUAAAUAAUUAUAGCUGGGGAGAAAUAAUCUAGUUUCCCCAACUACAGUUAUUUAGAUACAGAGGAAGUAAUUUGUUUUAUGUAUAUGAACAUUUUCCUUUUUGCGGGCAUGCAUAUUUUAGUCUAAAGAGUAGAGAAAAGAAAUUUUAUUAUUAUUAUUAUUAUUGUUGUUGUUGUUGUUGUUGUUGUCAAUAAUAUUAUUAAUGCUGUUAUUAGGUGAACGUUUGAUCCGUUUGCUUAUUUCCUCACAUUGAGUGCACUGUGUUGGUAGCUUUUAUUGUUUCUUGAGGUGAAGUGUGUUGCUAGCCUUAUUGUUUUAGUUUCUAGAGAACUUCGUGCAUUUUAUUCAACGGUGAUCUUAUUGUUCAUUGUUUUUUAUAUAGCUUAUCACUCAUAUCAAGUGGUAUUCUAUGAUGAUCUUAAGAGGAAUCGUUACAAUAACUAUUAUUUCUUAACACUGUUGAAAUAUCAUGUGGCCCAGUUCUCUACGCUGAAGUGCGUUGACAGCUAGGGGAUUUUGAGCCCGCCCCAGUCGAGUUGCUGGGUCUAUCUGCGGUAGAAGGCAAGCGUUGAAUAUAGAAGCGCAGUGGCUGACCUAUUUAGCAUAGAGAGAAGAGCUAACACCGUGUAGCGUUUGCCUCAAAAACAAACCGUGUAGCCAGCUAGUUGAUUUUCAAAAAGGAGUGAAGCGUGCUAGUUUCUUUUUUCGAUUUUUAUCACUAUUUUUUAUUUUUUUAGCACUUUUUAGAUAUAUUUUUUGAUGUAAAUAAAAAUACAGCAAUUUAUUUAUUUUUUAAAAUGAACAGUUUCAAAUUUGAAACUAUUUAUUUAAAACAAUGUAAAUAAUUGUUAAGGAAUUUGUGAACUCUUUGAAAAACAAGCGAGCAUGUUUUAACACUAGUAUGACAUUUGUUUUGAAAUCUUUGUAUAUUUUAAAUAUGUGAAAAUUGUGAACACUUUUCAAACAUGACGAUGUAUGAAACUUUGGAUUUUUUCAAAAAAAAAAUUGAGAAUAUUUGAGAAAAUACAAAGGAAAUAAAAAAAUGCAUAGAAAAAAAUCUAGGAAAUAACAAAUACGAAUAGAACAGGAAAACCAAAAGUGGAAGUGGUCUCAUAAUGAGCAGAAUAGCAUCGGUACUAUGCUGCUAGUAGGGCACUGUAGGACAACCGGGCUGGCAUGUUCUAUUAGUUAGUUGGGUUGUUACGAGUUUCUUAAAAAAUAAAUCUAUGUUGUUACGAAAUCGGUAUGUAAAGGCAUCUUGAUUCGUAAACCAGACAUCGUAUCCGUCCGUUGAUAGAGAGGAUCAGUUUAUGAACAUAGAUGUAGGAGCCGGUCAUUUAAAGCUAGCCGCAUACAUCAUAAAAAAAAUGCAUACACCCACACACUGAAAAUAGCAGCAUAUGUAAUUCCAUUUUACCUAAGAAAAUGUUCAAAGGUUCACAUGCAUAGUUCUAACUUAAACAUUACACUCCAACAAUGAUGUUCCCUUUAACCGUCCAAAAAUGCUCGAUCAGAUCUUCCUUCAGUUGCUCAUGAAUUGUUCAAUAUCGAAUUUGUUGGUACAUUUCAACAAACUCAGCAAAUAAGUCCGACUAACUUGAAAGUUUGAUAGGAUCACCCAUGUUCUCAAAUUCAAGAUCUAUGGCAGCAUUCUCACCCUUAUCCUCCACGAUCAUGUUGUGCACGAUCACACAACAUAUCAUCACCCCACACAAGGUCUUUGGAUCCCAUUGUUUUUCAGGUCCAUGAACAACUAAAAAACGUGCAUGUGGUAUUCCAAGUGCGCUCUCAACAUCGUUUCUAGCCGCUUCAUGUUUUUGGUCAAACUGAUAUUUUUUCGCCAAUUGGGUCAGAGAUGGUCUUGACAAAGGUAGCCCAUGAAGAAUAGAUAUUGUCAACCAAAUAGUCACCCAAGUUGUAUUCAUGCCCGUUGAUAGUAUAGUGGCAAGGAGGAGUUUUCCCUUCAAUCAUCCUCACAAAUAAUGGUGAUUGUUGUAGCACAUUGAUGUCAAUGUGGGGCCCAUGCAUGCCAAAGAAAGUGUACAAAAUAUAGAGAUUAUGUGAUGAAACUGCUCCAAGAAUGGUGAUGUGCUUUUUAACAUGACAUGUAUAAUGCUCUUCUAGAACUUUUGGCAGUUAUUUCAUCUCCAAUGCAUGCAGUCAAGAGAUCCGAAAAAUCCUGGCCACCCUCUUACGUUAGACAUUGCCAAGAUCCUCUUUGUGUCUCUCACAGUUGGUUCUCUCAUGUACAAAUGUCUUAACUAAAGACCACUAAAGUAGCAAAUCUUACCAUGGUAUCUCUGCUAGUUCUCAUAGUCAUUCAUAUGUAUUUGUCCACGAAUCAGCCGAUAUACCAUAUGCAAGCAUAUGCAGUGUUGUCGUGCACUUCUGGUAACCACAGAGACCAAUCCUUCCCAUGGCAUCCUCCUUCAAGAUGAAGUAGUCAUUGAUAACCCACAAGCAUAGGGGAUUGCGAUAGUCAUCGCAGAUUACAUCCUGAUUUAUUGAUUUGACACGAGAAAAGGCAAAGAAUGAUUAUUGGUCUUAGCAGCUGAGUUAUCAAUUCAACCACAUAUCGGAUAUCUCUUUGAUGGAAAGUUUUUAGUAGCACAGCAAAAUAGUAGUAGUAACGAUAAUAGUAGCAGUUUUGUAGUGAUUGUAACAGUACCAGCAAUAAUAGUAACUUAGCAAGAUUUAGUAUACAAAAACAUAGACACGCGGAUCGAUGACAGAUGAUGAUUUAGAUGACAUCAAUCAUAUUAUUAUUAUUAGAAAUAUUAGGUGAACGUUUGAUCUGUUCACUUGAUUCCUCACUUUGAGUACAUUGUGUUGGUAGGUUUUAUUGUUUCUUGAGGGGAAGUGUGUUGCUAGCCUUAUUGUUUUAGAUUUUAGAGGACUUUGUGCAUUUUAUUCUACGAUGAUUUUAUUGUUCAUUAUUUUUUAUAUAGCUUACCACUCAUGCCAAGUGGUAUUCUAUGGUGAUCUUGAGAGGAAACGUUACAAUAACUAUGUUUUCUUAGCAUUGUCCAAAUAUCAUGUGGCUCAGUUCUGUACACUGAAGAGUGCCUUCAUGGCUGGGGAGACUGAGCCCUCCCGAGUCGAGAUGUUGGGUCUAUCUAUGAUAGCAAUAGGGAUGUAGAGUGGCACCCGAUCCACUCCGCUUCCAAGUCAAAAUAUCUUAGGUUUGUUAUAAAUUUUUAGUCAUAUUUAUCUCAGUUUAAAUUAAUGUUAUGUUAUGCAGGACUAUGCAGGAUGCCCGCCUAAAUCCUUAGAUACCACGCAAGCGUCGAAUAUAUAAGCUCGGUGCCUCGCCUAUUUAGCACGGAGAGAAGAGCUAACACCAUGUAGGGUUUUCCCCAAGAAAAAACCGUGUAGCCAGCUAGUUGAUUCUAAAAAAGAGUGAUGCGUGCUAGUUUAUUUUUGGAAUUUUAUGUUUUUUUUUAAGUUUUAGCACUUUCUUUUGUUGUAAAUAAAAAAAAUGAACACUUUCAAAUUUGAAAGUAUUUAAUUAAAAUAAUGUGAAUAAUUGUUAAGGAAUUUGUGAACUUUUUGGAAAACAAGUGAGCAUGUUGUAAUACUUGUGUAACAUUUUUUUGAAAUCUUUGUAUAAUUUAAAUAUGUGAAAAUUGUGAACACUUUUCAAACAUGAAGAUGUAUGAAACUUUGGAUUUCUUUCAAAAAAUAAUUGUGGAUAUUUGAGAAAAAUACAAAGAAAAAAAUACAAAGAAAACCAGUAGGAAAAAACAAAUAGGAACACAACAGGAAAGCGGAAAGUGGAAGUGAUCUCAUAAUGAGCUGAAUAGCGUCGGCACUAUGCUGCUAGUAGGGCACUAUGGNNNNNNNNNNNNNNNNNNNNNNNNNNNNNNNNNNNNNNNNNNNNNNNNNNNNNNNNNNNNNNNNNNNNNNNNNNNNNNNNNNNNNNNNNNNNNNNNNNNNCCACUGUGCUGGAAAGUCAACCGCAUUGUAGUAACGCUUCCUCUUAGUAAUCUGCAAAGGUAUGAAGAUGCUCUACCACAUUGCUCGUUGGUGGUUUUUCCUAGAUAGAUCCUUGUGUGACGUAGGAAAACUUUUGAAAUUACUACGUUCCCCAACAGUGGCAUCCGAGCCAAGGUUCUAUGCGUAGAUACUAUGCACGAGUAGAACACAAAAGUUGUGGGCACUGAUUUUGUCAAUUGCUUGCCGUUACUAGUCUUAUCUUGAUUUGGCGGCAUCGUGGGAUGAAGCGGCCCAGACCAACUUUACACGUACUCUUACGUGAGACUUGUUCCACCGACUGACAUGCACUUGUUGCAUAAGGUGGCUAGCGGGUGUCUGUCUCUCCCACUUUAGUCGGAUCGGAUUCGAUGAAGAGGGUCCUUAUGAAGGGUAAAUAGCAUUGGCAUAUCAACGUUGUGGCUGUCACGUAGAUAAGAAGCGUUCUAGCUAGAAACCCAAAUCAGCCACGUAAAACUUGCAACAACAAUUAGAGGACGUCUAACUUGUUUUUGCAGGGUAUGCUAAGUGAUGUGAUAUGGCCAAAAGGAUGUGAUUUUACAAAUGUGAUGUAUGAGAUUGAUCAUGUUCUUGUAAUAGGAUUCACGACUUGCAUGUUGAUGAGAAUGACAACCGACAGGAGCCAUAGGAGUUGUCUUAAUUUAUUGUAUGAGAUGCAACGCCAUGUGAUUACUUUACUUUAUUGCUAACUGUUAGCUAUAGUAGUAGAAUUAAUAGUUGGCGAGACGACUUCGCAAAGACACAAUGAUGGAGAUCAUGAUGAUGGAGAUCAUGGUGUCAUGCCAGUGACAAUGAUGAUCAUGGUGCCCCGAAGAUGGAGAUGAAAGGAAUAAAAUGAUAUUGGCCAUAUCAUGUCACUAUAUGAUUUCAUUUGAUCUUUAUCAUGUUUUUCAUCUUAUUGCUUAGAACGACGGUAGCAAAGAUAAGAUGAUCCCUCAUUAAAAAUUUCGAGAUAAGUAUUCCCCUAAGUGUGCACCGUUGUGAAGGAUUGUUGUCUCGAAGCACCACGUGAUGAUCGGGUGUGAUAAAUUCUAACGUUCGAAUACAGCAGGUGAAAGCCAGAUUUACACGAGUAGAACACUUAGGUUGACUCAACGAGCCUAGCAUGUACGGACAUGGCCUCGAAUACGGGAGACCAAAAGGUUGAACAUGAGUCGUAUGGAUGAUACGAUCAGCAUGGAGAUGCUCACCAUUGAUGACUAGUCCGUCUCACGUGAUGAUCGGACACGGGCUGGUCGACAUGGAUCAUGUAUCACUUGGAUGACUAGAGGGAUGUCUAUCUAAGUUGGAGUUCAUUCAAUAAUUUGAUUAGAUGAACUUAAUUAUCAUGAACUUAGUCUACAAUUGUCUUUACAAAUAUUGUAGAUCCAAUGGCCAACGCAAAUGUCCCAUUCAACUUCAACGUGUUCCUAGAGAAAACCAAGCUGAAAGACGAUGGGAGCAACUAUGUGGACUCGGCUCAUAACUUAAAGCUCAUCCUCAUGGCUUCCAAGAAGGCAUAUAUCCUUGAUGCGCCGCUCGGUGACCCUCCCGUUCCCGCGGCAACCCAGGACGUUAGGAACUUCUGGCAGUCGUGGAGUGAUGAAUACUCUCUGGUUUAGUAUGGCAUGCUUUACAGUUUAGAACGGGGGCUCCAAAGGCGUUUUGAGAAACAUGGAGCAUAUGAAAUGUUCGUGGAGCUAAAACUAGUUUUUCAAGCUCAUGCCCGGGUCAAGAGAUAUGAGAUCUCUGACAAGUUCUUUAGCUUAAAGAUGGAGGGGAAUAGUUCUGUCAGUGAGUACAUACUCAGAAUGUCUGGGUUGCACAACCGCUUGACUUAGUUGGGAGUUGAACUUCCGGAUGACGCGGUCAUUGAUAGAAUCCUCGAGUCACUUCCACCUAGCUAUAAGGGCUUUUUGAUGAACUACACCAUGCAAGGCAUGGAGAAGACCAUUCCCGAGUUGUAUUCAUUGCUGAAAUUUGCAGAGGUAGAAAUCAAGAAAGAACAUCAAGUGUUGAUGGCGAAUAAGACCACCAGUUUCAAGAAAGGCAAGGGUAAAAAGAACUUCAAGAAAUACGGCAAAGCAGUUGCCGCGCCCGGUAAACCAGUUGCCGGGAAGAAGCCAAAGAAAGGAUCCAAGCCUGAGACUGAGUGCUAUUAUUGCAAGGGAACCGGUCACUAGAAGCGGAACUGUCCCAAGUACUUAGUGGAUAAGAAGGUCGGCAACGUGAAAGGUAUAUAUGAUAUACAUGUUAUUGAUGUGUACCUUACUAGCGCUCGUAGUAGCUCCUGGGUAUUUGAUACGGGUGUUGUUGCUCACAUUUGCAACUCAAAACAGGAACUGCGGAACAAGCGAAGGCUGGCAAAGGACGAGGUGACGAUGCGCGUUGGGAAUGGAUCCAGGGUCGAUGUGAUCGCCGUCGGCACGCUACCUCUACAUCUACCUUCGGGAUUAGUUUUAAACCUCAAUAAUUGUUAUUUAGUACCAUCUCUGAGCAUGAACAUUGUAUCGGGAUCUCGCUUGAUGCAAGAUGGCUACUCAUUUAAAUCCGAGAAUAAUGGUUGUUCCAUUUAUAUGAGUGAUAGGUUUUAUGGUCAUGCCCCGCUGGUCAAUGGUUUAUUCCUGAUGAAUCUCGAACGUGCUGUUACACAUAUCCAUAGUGUUUGUGCCAAAAUAUGUAAAGUUUAUAAUGAUAGUCCCACAUACUUGUGGCACUGCUGCCUUGGUCAUAUCGGUGUCAAGCGCAUGAAGAAAUUCCAUACAGAUGGACGUUUAGAGUCACUUGAUUUUGAAGCAUUUGACACAUGCGAACCGUGCCUCAUGGGCAAGAUGACCAAGACUCCGUUCUCCGGAACAAUGGAGCGAGCAACCAACUUGUUGGAAAUAAUACAUAUACUGAUGUAUGCACUCCAAUGAGUGUUGAGGCUCGCAGUGUCUAUCGUGAUGUUCUCAUCCUCACUCUUGAUUUAAGCAGAUAUGGGUAUGUCUACUUAAUGAAGCACAAGUCUGACACCAUUGAAAGGUUCAAGGAAUUUCAGAGUGAGGUAGAGAAUCAACAUGACAGGAAAAUAAAGUUCCUACAAUCUGAUCAUGGAGGAGAAUAUUUGAGUCACGAGUUUGGCACGCACCUAAAGAAAUGUAGAAUUGUUUCACAACUCACGCUGCUUGGCACACCGCAACGUAGCCGUGUGUCUGGACGUCAUAAUCGCACUUUAUUGGAUAUGGUGCGAUCUAUGAUGUCUCUUACUGAUUUAGCGCUGCCAUUUUGGGGAUAUGCAUUGGAAAUUGUCGCAUUCACUUUAAAUAGGACACCGUCUAAAUCCGUUGAGACGACACCGUAUGAAUUAUGGUUUGGCAAGAAACCUAAGCUAUCGUUUCUGAAAGUUUGGGGCUGCGAUGCUUAUGUGAAGAAACUUCAACCAGAGAAGCUCGAACCUAAAGCGGAAAAACGCGUCUUCAUAGGAUACCCUAAGGAAACUAUUGGGUAUACCUUGUAUCUUAGGUCCAAAGGCAAAAUCUUUGUUGCCAAGAACGGAUCCUUUCUAGGGAAAGAGUUUCUCUCGAAAGAAGUAAGUGAGAGGAAAGUAGAACUUGAUCAGGUAAUUGUACCUCCUCUUGAACCGGAGAGUAGCGCAUCACAAGAAAAUGUUUCUGAGGUGCCUGCACCGGCUAGAGAAGAAGUUAAUGAUGAUGAUAAUGAAACUUCCGAUCAAGUUUCCACUGAACCUCGAAGGUCCACAAGGACAUGUUCCGCACCAGAGGGGUACGGCAACCCUGUCAUGGAAAUCAUGUUGUUGGACAACAGUGAACCUUCGAACUAUGAAGAAGCGAUGGCGGGCCCGGAUUCCAACAAAUGGCUUGAGGCCAUGAAAUCCGAGAUAGUAUCCAUGUAUGAGAAUAAAGUAUGGACUUUGGUGGACUUGACCUAUGAUCGGCGAGCCAUAGAAAACAAAUGGAUCUAUUAGAAGAAGACUGGCGCAGAUGGUAAUGUGACCAUCUAAAAGGCUCGACUUGUCGCUAAGAGUUAUCGACAAGUUCAAGGGAUUGACUAUGAUGAGACCUUCUCACCUGUAGCGAUGCUGAAGUCGGUCCGAAUCAUGUUAGCAGUUGGCGCAUUUUAUGAUUAUGAAAUCCGGCAAAUGGACGUCAAAACAGCAUUCCUGAAUGGCUUUCUUAAGGAAGAAUUGUUUAUGAUACAGCUGGAAGGUUUUGUCAAACCUAAUAAUGCUGACAAGGUAUGCAAGCUCCAGCGCUCCAUCUAUGGGCUGGUGCAAGCAUCUCGGAGUUGGAACAUUUGCUUUGAUGAGGUUAUCAAAGCGUUUGGCUUAUACAGACUUAUGGAGAAGCUUGUAUUUAUAAGAAAGUGAGUGGGAGCUCUAUAUCAUUUCUCAUAUUAUAUGUGGAUGACAUAUUGUUGAUGGGAAAAGAUAUAUAACUUUUGGAAAGCAUAAAGUCCUAUUUGAAUAAGAGUUUUCAAUUGAAGGACCUUGGAGAAGUUGCUUAUAUAUUAGGCAUCAAUAUCUAUAGAUAUAGAUCGAGACGCCUCAUUGAUCUUUCACAAAGCACAUACCUUGACAGGAUAUUGAAGAAGUUCAUUAUGGAUAAGUCUAAGAAGGGGUUCUUGCCUGUAUUAUAAGGUGUGAGGUUUAGUACGACUCAACGCCCGAGCACGGCAGAAUAUAGAGAAAAGAUGAGUACCGUCCCCUAUGCUUCAGCCAUAGGCUCUAUUAUGUAUGCCAUGCUCUGUACCAGAUCUGAUGUGAACCUUGCCAUAAGUUUGGUAGGGAGGUACCUGAGUGAUCCAGGAGUGGAUCACUCGACAACGGUCAAGACCAUCCUUAAGUACCUGAAAAGGACCAAAGAUAUGUUUCUCGUUUAUGGAGGUGUCGAAGAGCUCGUCGUAAAGGGUUACAUUGAUGCUAGCUUCGACACGGAUCCGGAUGACUCUAAGUCACAAGCCGGAUACGUGUAUAUUUUGAAUAAUGGGACAGUUAACUGGUGCAGUUGCAAGAAAAGCAUCAUGGCGGCAUCUACAUGUGAAGUGGAGUACAUAGCUGCUUCAGAAGCAACAACUGAAGGAGUCUCGAUGCAGGAGUUCAUCACCGACCUAGGAGUGAUUCCCAGUGCGUCGGGUCCAAUAACUCUGUUCUGUGACAAAACCGGUGCUAUUGCCAUUGCCAAGGAGCCUAGGUUUCACAAGAAGACCAAGCACAUCAAGCGCCGCUUCAACUCCAUUCGUGGAUACAUCCACAAUGGAGAUAUAGAUAUUUCUAAAGUACAUACAAAUGUGAAUGUCGUAGAUCCGUUGACUAAACCUCUUCCACGAGCGAAACAUGAUCAGCACCAGAACUCUAUGGGUGUUCGAUUCAUCACAAUGUAACUAGAUUAUUGACUGUAGUGCAAGUGGGAGACUUUUGGAAAUAUGCCCCAAAGGCAAUAAUAAAGUUGUUAUUAUUAUAUUUCCUAGUUCAUGAUAAUUGUCUAUUAUGCAUGCUAUAAUUGUAUUAACCAGAAAACAUAAUACAUGUGUGAAUACAUAGAUCAUAAUGUGUCCCUAGUGAGCCUCUCGUUGGCUGGCUUGUUGAUCAAUAGAUGGUCAUGGUUUCCUGAUCAUGGACAUUGGACGUCAUUAAUAACGGAAUCACAUCGUUGGGGAAUGGUGUGAUGGACAAGACCCAAUCCUAAGCAUAGCACUAGAUCGUAUUGUUCGUCUGCUAAAACUUUUCAAAUGUCAAGUAUCAUUUCCAUAGACCAUGAGAUUGUGCAACUCCCGGAUACUGUAGGAGUGCUUUGGGUGUAUCAAACGUCACAACGUAAAUGGGUGAUUAUAAGGGUGCACUAUAGGUAUCUCCAAAAGUGUAUGUUGGGUUGUACGAAUCGAGACUGGGACUUGUCACUCCGUGUGAUGGAGAGGUAUCUCUGGGCCCACUCGGUAAUGCAUCAUCAUACUGAGCUCAAUGUGACUAAGGAGUUAGCCACGGUAUGAUGUGUUACGGAAAGAGUAAAGAGACUUGCCGGUAACGAGAUUGAACAAGGUAUAGGGAUACCGACGAUCGAAUCUCGGGCAAGUAUCAUACCGGUUGACAAAGGGAAUUGCAUACGGGAUUGAUUGAAUCCAUCUCAUCGUGGUUCAUCCAAUGAGAUCAUCGUGGAACAUGUGGGAACCAACAUGGAUAUCCGUACCCCGCUGUUCAUUAUUGACGGGAGAGGUGUCUCGGUCAUGUCUGCAUGGUUCCCGAACCCGUAGGGUCUGCACACUUAAGGUUCGAUGACGCUAGGGUUAUAAUGUGAAUAGUAUGUGGUUACCGAAGGUUGUUCGGUGUAACACCCUGAUUUUGAUUUCUUGCCCCCAAGCAGCUCAAGAUCUUUCACAACUUGCCAAAAACCAUUCUGAGAUUUAUUUGCAAUAUUUUAUUCCUCCAAAUAAUUCUCUUUCUAUUUUGGGAAUUAUGGCAUCACUAUGGUUUGUGAAGCAACCUAUAGCUUGGAUGAGAUUUAAGUCCCAAAACUUUUACAACGUAUUCUCAAUAUCAUAUGAUUUCAAAAUAUUCAAAAAUAUUUCUUUGUCCAAUGGAGAAUUUUGGCUAGAAUAAUUAUUUCUUUUCUGACUAGAAUUGUCCCUUUGUGAAGCAACCCCAUGAUUCCUGUUUUAGAAAAUUCCCAAUAAAUUCCUGUAAUUACUAGGGAUCAUAUAUAGUUCCAAUAUGUAAAAACAUCCAAUGGUCCAAUACAAAUUUUGAGCACGAAAACUCUGCUAAGUUUCAGCUAAAAUUGAACCCUUGUGAAGGAAGUGAUAGCUAGGAGUGCACAAUAAAGCUACAAAAUUUUGGGCAUGUGUGCACUACCAAUUGACACUUCCCCACCAAGUCUCACUUUUAGCAAAUCUUGCAAUUGAGUGCUAGGAGCUCAUUUGUGUUCUGGACCAGAAAGAUGGUUUUCAAAGGAACUAUAUUCAUUUGAUCUUCAAACCUUGCUAAACUUUGCCAGCUUAGAAUCUUUUCUAUGCUGAUCCUCCCAAACAUCCUAUCUUACCCCAACCCCAACCCAUUUGAGCUCUAGAAGCACCCAAAGUCUGUAGACAGAACCUGUUUCUGAUGCUCCAAGACGUUGGUGAGCGUGAGUGAUCGAGCAAGCAGUGGAGAGUGACUAAUCAGAGUCUGGUCGACGCAAUGGACAAAGGUUCCAUGCCUGCGUGGCACUGGGGUGGCCACAACCAUGGUGACCAUGGUGCUGGCAUGCCACAAAGCGCGCUCUGCACAACUCCAGUGAUAGCCGAGCCACCCCGUAUCGUCAAUCGCUGCCCCCUCCUUGUCCUGAGUGCCGACGAUGCCCGUGGCAGCCGUGUGGGACCUCUCGAAGGUGCUGGGUCGCCGGAGAGCGCCGCCGCCGCUCCCGGCCAAGCUCCGCUACAGGACCGAGCUGACGGCUCCGGCCACUGUGCUCGUCUGCAAGCUCUUAAUGGCCAGGAGCUAUCCCAUCGCCUCCAUGUCCUCCUCCGUCACCUCAGUGCGCUCCACGACGGCCGGCUCAGCCCCCCGGCGACUGUGUUGGAGCUUAUCUUCGCCGCUUCGGGAGAAAUCGGCCGAGCUCGUCGCCGGCCUAUUUAAGGGAGUGCCCGACCCCACCGAGCUCUACACACCCCUCCUGCUUCUCCCAAUUGACCUCCCGAAGAGCGAGCCAAGGCCUAGAGGCCCUCUGGCCUCGAAAAUCACCCGAGCUCCGCCGCCUGCAGCCUCACCAUCGACCGCACCAUCCACCCCUUCCAGAGCUCAAUAGAUCCCACCAUCGACAGCACCAUCCACCCCUUCCAGAGCUCAAUAGACCCCACCAACAAUUAAAUUACUUUUAUAAAUUCCAGAUUCAAACAGAAACUUUGACCAUCUAAAUCUUUUUAUUUACAAGUCCAAAUCACUUGAUUCUUUUUCCAUUGAGUUGGUAUUGAGUUUCUCUACAAUCUGGUAAAUUUUGGUAUUUUUCUCAUACUCAUAGAAUUUCUGGUUAAUAAAGAGGUAUUAAAUGACUUUUCUUUUCUUUUGGCUAUUUCAAAUAAAUUUCAGAGGGAAACUUUGGAGAACAGGAGUGUUUGAAUAACCCCACUGAUCAAGGCAAGCCAUUAUAUCCAUGUGGUGUAGUAUUGCAUAGCAUAGCAUACUUUCAUGCAUGAUCAUCAUUCACUUGAUAUUAGCAAAUGCUUACUAAAUUAAUAAUGAUAAUUAUUUAAUUGUUGUCAUAAUUCUCCAAGUUGAUAACAACUUAGUGGUUGACAUAGAGUCACCUGUCUGGGCUUUAUCGUACAACCACGUCUUGCCGAUAUGGGACGGCCGUGACUUGAGUUGUUUCGCGUGAUUGCUUUCACCGGUACCUCCAAAGAGGGAGGGUUAUGCACGCAUGCUACCCUGAUCAUGUAGGCGGUGAUAACCCUGUGAUCCCAGUUGAGUUGUUAGGGCCCAUCCCCGGUUGGGACAAUUUAGUUUGGCCACGACGGUGGCAGGUGUCAUGAAGACAUAGGGCCACUCAUGGCUGUUGUGUAUCCCUUGCAACGGCGCCAGAAAUAGUUGUGUCGAGGGCACCAGGAAUCCUUCAGCUACGGCUACGCCUUAAGGGACUUCCUAGGCAAGUAUGCAAAGGAUUUCCCCUGCGGCCUUGGAGCCUUGCAUUGGUGUUCCCUCGAAGCGGAAAGGGUGAUGUAGCACAACGACGGUAAGUAUUUCCCUCAGUUUGAGAACCAAGGUAUCAAUCCGGCGAAAGAGUAUCUCAAGAUCCUCCACAAACACGAAAAUCUUGCACCCAACGCUAUGAAGGGGUUGUCAGUCCCUUAUAGAUUGUUUGCCAAGUGAGAACUGAAAGCAACAAAGUAACAAAGUAACAAAGCAAAGUAAAAGCGGAGUUUUAAACGAUGGAUGUGAAUAGACCCAGGGUCCGUAGCGUUUACUAGUGGCUUCUCUCAUGAAAGCAAGUAGACGAUGGGUGAACAAAUUACUGUCGAGCAAUUGAUAGAACUGUGCAGAGUCGUGACGAUAUCUAUGCAAUGAUUAUUUCUAUAGGCAUCACGUUCGAAACAAGUAGACCGAUACUUUCUGCAUCUACUACUAUUACUCCACACGUCGACCGCUAUCCAGCAUGCAUCUAGUGUAUUAAGUUCAUAAGAACAGAGUAACGCCUUAAGCAAGAUGACAUGAUGUAGAGGGAUAAUCUCAAACCAAUGAUAUAAACCCCAUAUUCUUACCCUUGAUGGCAACUGCUUGAUGUGUGCCUUGCUGCCCCUACUAUCACUAGAAAAGGUCACCACAUGGCAGAACCCAAAACCAAGCACUUCUCCUAUUGCAAGAAUCAUAUAUCUAGUUGGCCAAACAAAACCCAAGACUCGGAGAGACUUACAAGGAUAUCAAAUCAUGCAUAUAAGAAAUCGGCAAAGACUCAAAUAUAUAUCAUAGAUAAUCUGAUCACAAGUCCACAAUUCAUCGGAUGUCGACAAACACACCGCCAAAGAAGAUUACAUCGGAUAGAUCUCCAUGAAGAUCAUGGAAAACUUUGAAUUGAAGAUCCAAGAGAGAGAAGAAGCCAUCUAGCUACUAACUACGGACCCGUAGGUCUGAAGUGAACUACUCACGAGUCAUUGGAGGGGCGAUGAUGAUGAUGAAGAAGCCCUCCACCUCCAAAGUCCCCUCCGGCAGGGUGCCGGGAAGGGUCUCCAGAUGAGAUCUCGCGGAAUCGGAAGCUUGCAGCGGCGGAAAAGUAUUUUCGAGGCUCCCCUGAUAUUUUGCGGAAUAUUUGGGAAUAUAUAGGCACAAGACCUAAGUCAGGGGGCGGCCAGGGAGGCCACAAGCCUUCCCACCGCUGCCUCCCCCUGGUGGCGGAGUGGGGGCUUGUGGGCUCCGUGGAGCCCACCUAGCUAGGCCCAAAAGUCCCCUGGACUUCUUCCGUUCGGGAAAAAAUCAUUUCGGGAUUUUUCUUCCAUUUGGACUCCGUUCCAAAAUCAGAUCUGAAAAGAGUCAAAAACACCGAAAAACAUGAACUGGCACUUGGCACUGAAUCAAUAAGUUAGUCCCAAAAAAGAUAUAAAAAGGUACAUAAAACUUACUACGAAGGCAAGAUAACAGCGUGAAACCAUCAAAAAUUAUAGAUACUUUUGAGACGUAUCAAGCAUCCCCAAGCUUAACUACUGCUCGUCCUCGAGUAGCGAAGUGAUAAUGAAUUUUUGAUGCUUUCAUGCUACCUAGCAGAAGUGUCCUUUGUAAUUCCUCUUAUGUGAUGUGAAUGUUCAGAUCCAUUAGAUUCAAAACAAUAGUUUGCUAUUGACGUGGAGACAAUAAUAAUUCAAGCAAACUAGCAAAGUAAUCAUGAACUUUCAAAAUAACAAGGCCAAAAGAAAGUUAUCCCUACAAAAGCAUAUAGUGUGGCUAUGCUCUAUCAUCAUUGCACAACGAAUUUAAAUCAUACACAACCCCGGUAUUGGCCAAGUAAUUGUUUCACACCUUUUCUUUCUCAAACAUUUUCAACCCUCACGCAAUACAUGAGCGUGAGCCAUGGUUAUAGCACUAUAGAUCGUGUGGAAUGUGGUGGAGGUUGCAAGACAAAAAGGAGAAGAUAGUCACAUUUACUAGGCAUAUCAAUGAGCUGUGGAGAUGCUCAUCAAUAGAUAUCAAUGUGAAUGAGUAGGGAUUGCCAUACAAAUGAUGCACUAGAGCUACAAGUAUGUGAAAGCUCUUAAAGAAAACUAGUGGGUAUGCAUCCAACUUGCUUGCUCACGAAGACCUAAGCCAAUUUUGAGGAAGCCUAUCAUGCGAAUAUACAAGCCAAGUUAUAUAAUGAGGAUUUCCCACUAGCUAUAUGGUGGUGACAAAACGAGAGACUCUCAAUCAUGAAGAUCAUGGUGCUCAAUAUGCACAAGUGUGGAAAAAGUGGUAGCAUUGUCCCUUCUCUCUUUUUCUCUCAUUUUUUUGGUGGGAUCUUUGGCCUCUUUUUUAUGGGCUUCUUUGGCCUCUUUUAUUUCCUCACAUGGGACAAUGCUCCAAUAAUGAUGAUCGUCACACUUUCAACUCAAAACUUAGAGCAAUUAUGACUCUAUAUGGAAUGCCUUCGGUAGUGUACCGUGGCAAUGAUCUAGCAUGGCAUAGACAUCAAUGGAAACAUCAUGCUCGCUAUCUUACGAUCGUGCAAAGGCAAGGUAGACGUGGUGGCACAUAUCAUGGUGGUAGUUGCAUGGCAAUAUAUCUCGGAGUGACUUUGAAAAAGCCAUAGUAGGUAGGUAUGGUGGCUGUUUUGAGGGAGGCUAAUGGUGGGUUUUGUGCACCUGCGAAAGUUGCGCGGCACUAAGAAGAUAGUGAUGGUGGAAGGUGAAAGUGCAUCUAAACCAUGGACUCAACAUUAGUCAUGAAGAACUCAUAUACUUGUUGCAAAAGUUUUAUUAGUAAUCAAAACAAAGCAUUCAACGCAUACUCCUAGGGGAAGGGUUGGUAGGUAUAAACCAUCGCGCGAUCCCGACCGCCACGCAAAGGAUGACAAUCAAUAUACUAAUCAUGCUCAGACUUUAUCACAUAGCGGUUCACCAUACGUGCAUGCUACGGGAAUCACUAACUUCAACACAAGUAUUUCUAGAUCCACAACACCUUACUAGCAUGACUUCAAUAUUACCAUAACCACAACUCAAAACUAACUGAGAUGAAUCAAACUUCUCUAACUAUUCAAUGCACAUGAAGGUGGAAGUUUUCGUAUCCCUUUGGAUAACUACCUAUUUUGAGACUACUUUCAAAGCAUAGAUCAACUACCAAGCCACGCACCGCUGCGCUCUAAAAUAUAUAAGUGAACCACAUAGAGCAAAAGUAUCUAGCUCAAAAGAUUAAGUGAAGCACAUGUGAGCUGAAUUGUCUACCAAAAGAUAUAAGUGAAGCUCGACAAAAUCACGGUGUGUGCAUGUCUCUCUCUCUAGGUCUGCAGCAAGGAUGAUUGUGACACAACAAAAAUAAAAGACUCCUACGAUACACGGCGCUCCAAGCAAAAACACAUAACAUGUGGUGAAUAAAAAUAUAGCCCCAAGUAACGUUACCGAUGGAUUGAAGACGAGAGAGGGGAUGCCUUCCCGGGGCAUCCCCAAGCUUAGGCUUUUACCAAAUCCUUGAAUCUCUUGGGGUGACUUGGGCAUCCCCAAGCUUGAGCUCUUGCCACUCUUUAUCUUUUUGUCCAUAAGAACUUCACCCAAAACUUGAAAACUUCACAACACGAAACUUAAACAGAAACUCGUGAUAUCAUUAGUACAAGAAAGCAAACCACCACUUCCUUAAGUACUGUAGCAAACUUAAAUUCUACUUGUGCUGAUGUUGGGUUACUGUACUUUCAAUCAUCCAUGGCUAAUACCCCCCGAUACUAACCAUAGUUUCAUCAAAAUAAGCAACCAACACAACAAAAACAGAAUAUGUUAACAGCAGACCAGUCUGUAGAAAUCUGUAUGUUUCGUAUACCUCUGAUACUUCAAAAAUUCUGAAACAUCACGACAGUCUGAAGAAUUUGCGUAGCAAUCAGCAGCAAGAAGAAUCAACUCAAAAGCUCUUACAGAAAAAAAUGAAAAUUCUUUUCGUGAGCAGAAAGUUUGUGUCUUUCCCACCAUGACCAAACGAUCAUCCUCAAGACUAAUCAUAACGGUUUUGCUUGGCACGAACGCAAAAAGAAACACAAUCAUAACAGAAUUAUGAAAGUGUGGAAAACACAAAAUAGAAAGAAAGAGGGUAGAUUCGUUGGGUUGCCUCCCAACAAGUGCUUUUGUUUAACGCCCUUAGCUAGGCGAAAGUGAUGGAAUCACGUAUAGUUAUCUUUGGUGCUCAAACCAUAGGUAGCAUGAUCAUUUAUCAUCUUAAGAUUUUCAUAUUUAUUAGAUGACUCACCACUAACUCUAGGAACAAAAACAGGCUUGACGGUCUUUUUGAGAGUAAGAUUUGGAGUAUUUUGCACAAGGGCAAAAGCGGAACCCAAGUUGGUUAUGAUAUCUUAUAAUUUGCCAAUUCUAGAAGAAUCAUUAACUAUAAGUUCCUUCUCCUUUAAAUUUUUCAAAAAGUUUCCCACUUUGGAUCCGUAUUGAGUAAUUUGGUUGUGGAUCUUUCUAUCCAAACCCCCAAUAAGUUCAACUGUGGCAAUUUUGUUUUCAAUAGCGUCAAGCCUUUGCAUCACGUGUUCCAAGGUCAAGAUAGUUCCAUUAACCAUGAGCGGGGGUGAGCCUACCAAAUUAAAGAUAGCUCUAUAGGAGUCAACAGUAUGACUCCCCAAAAAGUUCCCGCCUACAAUGGUAUCAAGGAUAUACCUAUGACAAGGAGAAAUUCCACCAUAGAAACGGCGAAGGAGGACGGUAGUGGAUUGCUUACGAGUAGAUCUACUUUGAGCAUUGCAAAUCCUGUACCAAGCGUCCUUCAAAUUUUCUUCCUCAUUCUGCCUGAAAUUGAGAACUUCAUUUUCAGGGGUGUCGUUUGGAGUGGUGGGUCUAGCCAUUGAUGGACUAUCUCACACACAAACGAGAAGGAAGAGAGAGUGAAACGGGCAAAAGAAGACAACAAAAAGGAAAAAAGAAAAUGGCGAAGGCGAAUGAAAACGGCAAAUGUGAAGUGGGGGAGAGGAAAACGACUGGCAACUUGCAACAAAAGUAAAUGCAAGAGAAGAGUUUGUGAGACCUACUUGGAUAGCUCUUGAUUUCUCCUCUCCGGCAACGGCGCCAGAAAUACUUCUGAUGGCUGUUGUGUAUCCCCGACAACGGCGCCAGAAAUACUUCUGAUGGCUACUCUGUAUCCCUUGCAACGGCGCCAGAAAUAGUUGUGUCGACGGCACCAGGAAUCCUUCAGCUGCGGCUACGCCUUAAGGGACUUCCUAGGCAAGUAUGCAAAGGAUUUCGCCCGCGGCCUUGGAGCCUUGCGUUGGUGUUCCCUCGAAGCGGAAAGGCUGAUGUAGCACAGCGACGGUAAGUAUUUCCCUAAGUUUGAAAACCAAGGUAUCAAUCCGGCGGAAGAGUAUCUCAAGAUCCUGCACAAACACGAAAAGCUUGCACCCAACGCUAUGGAGGGGUUGUCAAUCCCUUAUAGAUUGUUUGCCAAGUGAGAACUGAAAGCAACAAAGUAACAAAGUAACAAAGCAAAGUAAAAGCGGAGUUGUAAACGACGGAUGUGAAUAGACCCGAGGGCCAUAGCAUUUACUAGUGGCUUCUCUCAUGAAAGCAAGUAGACGGUGGGUGAACAAAUUACCGUCGAGCAAUUGAUAGAACUGUGCAGAGUCGUGACGAUAUCUAUGCAAUGAUUAUUUCUAUAGGCAUCACGUCCGAAACAAGUAGACCGAUACUUUCUGCAUCUACUACUAUUACUCCACACGUCGACCGCUAUCCAGCAUGCAUCUAGUGUAUUAAGUCCAUAAGAACAGAGUAACGCCUUAAGCAAGAUGACAUGAUGUAGAGGGAUAAUCUCAAACCAAUGAUAAAAUCCCCAUCUUUUUACCCUUGAUGGCAACUGCUUGAUGUGUGCCUUGCUGCCCCUACUGUCACUGGGAAAGUUCACCACAUGGCAGAACCCAAAACUAAGCACUUCUCCCAUUGCAAGAAUCAUAGAUCUAGUUGGCCAAACAAAACCGAAGACUCGGAGAGACUUACGAGGAUAUCAAAUCAUGCAUAUAAGAAAAUCAGAAAAGACUCAAAUAUAUAUCAUAGAUAAUCUGAUCACAAGUCCACACUUCAUCGGAUCUUGACAAACACACCGCCAAAGAAGAUUACAUCGGAUAGAUCUCCAUGAAGAUCAUGGAGAACUUUGUAUUGAAGAUCCAAGAGAGAGAAGAAGCCAUCUACCUACUAACUACGGACCCGUAGGUCUGAAGUGAACUACUCACGAGUCAUUGGAGGGGCGAUGAUGAUGAUGAAGAAGCCCUCCACCUCCAAAGCCCCCUCCGGCAGGGUGCCGGGAAGGGUCUCCAGAUGAGAUCUCACGGAAAUGGAAGCUUGCGGCGGCGGAAAAGUAUUUUCGAGGCUCCCCUGAUUUUUUGCGGAAUAUUUGGGAAUAUAUAGGCACAAGACCUAGGUCAGGGGGCGGACAGGGAGGCCACAAGCCUGCCCACCGCCGCCUCCCCCUCGUGGCGGAGUGGGGGCUUGUGGGCUCCCUGGAGCCCACCUGGCUUGGCCCAAAAGCCCCGUGGACUUCUUCCGUUCGGGAAAAAAAUCAUUUUCGGGUUUUUCUUCCAUUUGGACUCCGUUCCAAAAUCAGAUCUGAAAAGAGUCAAAAACACGAAAAAACAGGAACAGGCACUUGGCACUGAAUCAAUAAGUUAGUCCCAAAAAAGAUAUAAAAAGGUACAUACAACAUACAAAGAAGGCAAGAUAAUAGCGUGAAACCAUCAAAAAUUAUAGAUACGUUUGAGACGUAUCAGCCACCCAGGGCAAGACUCCAGAUGAGAGUGGUUGCCGGUGGUACGAUGAGAGUGUCAUGGUUCACGCAAGUUUCGUUGGAGAAAUGCUGGUCCACCCGAACGGGAUCAUGAGGUCAGUGCUCCAGAGUGUGGGUAAAGUGUGCAACCUCUGCAGAGUGUCAAAUCUAUUCGAAUAGCCGAGUACAUGGUAUUGGACAGCCCGACCAGACCUCAGUAGUUGGUCAAUCCUGUUAAUAUUGUUAAUGAUGGAAGAACUCUUUGUAUGGUUGAAGAUGUUUGGAGAGCAAUCUGGGUGUCAUGAGACAACCCAGUCCUGAGUAAGUUGAUCCCUCAUAUAGUUGGUUAUAUGUUUAGUGUUGUUAUGCUUUGUUUGCUGCAUUACUUGGUUAUUGUGAGCUUGCGAGUACAUUCCAAGUACUCACCUAGCGUAUCAUGCCAGAUGCAGGAGAAGCCUCGGACGGAGGUCCCGAUGGUUCGUACUAGUAAGUGUCCACAACAGUGUCCGUGUGUGUGGAGUCUCCGCUAUGUUCUACUACGCCGUAGAAGUACCCAGUAGUUCCGAGGCCCAUGAUGAUGUCUCAUAAAUAAUGUAGAUACUGUUGCAGCAUCGAGGGUGCCUUUGGGCUCGCUAUUAUUGAAAGCUAUGUACGUGACACUAUCAAUAAAGUCGGCUCAUUUCUGUGUCAAGUUGUUGAGUGUUUCUAGAAGACGCGAUCUCUGGGCUAGAAACACUGGUAAUCUGGUUCUGCGAAUCGGGGUGCCACAACGCUUGGUAUCACAGCCACGUUGACUGUAGGACACCCUAGUUAGCCGCGCUAGUUCACGAGUAGUAUAGAGUCCUAGGCAAGCAUCUGCUUGUUGCAUAUUGAUUGUUGCACUUGAUUGCUCCAUGGCAUGCAUCAUAAUUCAUUGUUUCUCUAACCUUUGGCUUUGUGAGUGUAGAUGGCACCGAUUCCGUUCCAUUUCCAGUAUGAGCCUGCGCUACGGCAACAAAAGUCCUUCCCCGACGCUAGGAAUUCUUCUUGCUACUUCUCUUGUUUGCGUCGGUUUUUCCCUUGAUGAGGAAAGGGUAUGCAGCACAGGAGCAGUAAGUAUUUCCCUCAGUUUGAGAACCAAGGUAUCGAUCUAGAAGGAGGAUCUCGUCAAGUCCAGAGUACCUGCGGAAACACAAACAAGCUUGCACCCAACGCUUCAAAGGAGUUGUCAAUCCCUUCAAGAUUGUUUGCAAAGUGCGAUCUGAAGGCGGAAAGUGCAACAAAGUAAAAAGUGUAAAGCUGAAAAUAUGGUGUGGAGUAGACCCCGGGGCCAUAGUGUUCACUAGAGGCUUCUCUCAAAAUAGCAAAUAUCCCGGCGAGUGAACAAAUUACUGUCAAGCAAUUGAUAGAAUCGCGCAAAGUCAUGACGCUAUCUAAGGCAAUGAUCAUACAUAUAGGCAUCACGUCCGAGACAAGUAGACCGAUACUUUCUGCAUCUACUACUAUUACUCCACACAUCGACCGCUAUCCAGCAUGCAUCUAGUGUAUUGAGUUCAUGACGAACAGAGUAACGCCUUAAGCAAGAUGACAUGAUGUAGAUGGAUAAUCUCAAACCAGUGAUGAAAACCCCAUGUUUUUACCCUUGAUGGCAACAACACGAUACGUGCCUCGCUACCCCUUCUGUCACUGGGUGAGGUCACCGCACGGUAUGAACCCAAAACCAGGCACUUCUCCCAUUGCAAGAAUCAUAGAUCUAGUUGGCCAGACAAAACCCCCAGCUCGAAGAGAAUUACAAGGAUAUGAAAUCAUGCAUAAGAGAGAUAAGAAGAAACUCAAAUAAGAUUCAUAGAUAAUCUCAUCAUAAAUCCACAAUUCAUCGUAUCUCGACAAACACACCGCAAAAUAAGAUUACAUCGGAUAGAUCUCCAUGAAGAUCAUGGAGAACUUUGUAUUGAAGAUCCAAGAGAGAGAAGAAGCCAUCUAGAUACUAACGAUGGACCCGUAGGUCUAUGGUGAACUACUCACGCAUCAUCAGGGAGGUCAUGGCGUUUAUAAAUAAGCCCUCCAUGUCCGAAUCCCCCCUCCGGAUGGGCACCAGAACGUGCCCCAGAUGGGAUCUUGCGGAGACAGAAUCUUGCGGCGGCGGAAAAGUGAUUUUGAUGAUCUCCUGAUUUUUUGGGGAUUUUUAGGGAAUAUAUAGGCGCAACCCCUAGGGCAGAGGGCGCCCAGGGGGCCCGCAAGCCUGUGGGCCGUGGCCUACCCCCUGGCCGUGGGGUGGGGGAUUGUGGGGCCCCUGAGGCUCCCCUGCCUUGGCUCCCAAGCUUCCCGAUGUUAUUCCGUUAUGGAAAAAUCUUUUCGGGGAUUUCUUCCGUUUGGAUUCCGUUUCAAAAUUUCCACUGAAAGGGGUCAAAAACAUGGAAAAACAGGAACUGGCACUUGGCACCGAGUCAAUAAGUUAGUCCCAAAAACUAUAUAAAAUGCAUGCACAACAUCCAAAGUUUUACAAGAUAAUAGCAAGAAACCAUCAAAAAAUGUAGAUACGUUGGAGACGGAUCAAGCAUCCCCAAGCUUAACUCCUACUCGUCCUCGAGUAGGGAAGUGAUAAAGAAUGAAUUUUUGAUGUGGAAUGCUACCUAGCAUAGUUGUCCUUUGCAACUUCUUUCACGUGACAUGAAUGUUCAGAUCCGUAAGAUUCAAAACAAUAGUUUGCUAUUAACAUGAAAACAAUAAUACUUCAAGCAAACUAGCAAGGUAAUCUUGAACUUUCAAAAUAACAAGGCCAAGGAAAGUUAUCCCUACAAAAUCAUAUAGUCUGGCUAUGCUCCAUCAUCCUCACACAACUAAUGUAAAUCAUGCACAACCCCGGUAUUGGCCAAGUAAUUGUUCUCACACUCUUACUUUCUCAAACUUUUUAUAACUAUCACGCAAUACAUGAGCGUGAGCCAUGGAUAUAGCACUAUAAGUGGAAUAGAGUGUGGUGGUGGUUGUGAGACAAAAAGGAGGAGAUGGUCACAUUGACUCGGCAUAUCAAAGGGCUAUGAAGAUGCCCAUUAAUAGAUAUCAAUGUGAAUGAGUAGGGAUUGCCAUACAAGAGAUGCACUAGAGCUAUAAGUAUGUGAAAGUUCAAAAGGAAAACUAGUGGGUGUGCAUCCAACUUGCUUGCUCACGAAGACCUAGGGCAAUUUUGAGGAAGCCCAUCAUUGGAAUAUACAAGCCAAGUUAUAUAAUGAAGAUUCCCACUAGCAUAUGGUAGUGACAAAGCAAGAAGAUUUCAAUCAUGAAGAACAUGGUGCUAUCAUGAAGCACAAGUGUGGAAAAAGAUAGUAGCAUUGUUCCUUCUCUCUUUUUCUCUCUUCUUUUCAUUUGGGCUCUUAGGCCUCUCUUUUUUUAGGCUAUUUGGCCUCUUUUUUUUAUUUCCUCACAUGGGAUAAUGCUCUAAUAAUGAUGAUCAUCACACUUUUAUUUACUCACAGCUCAAAAUGAUGUUGACUCUAAAGGAAAUGCCUCCGGCAGUAUACCGGGAUGUGCAACGAUCUAGCAUGGCGUAUGACGUUGAAAACAUCUCGCUAGCUAUCUUACGAUCAUGGCAAUAUGAGAGUGAUGGCACAAGUCAUGAGAUGGAACGGUGGGAGUUGCAUGGCAAUAUAUCUCGGAAUGGCUAUGAAAAUGCCAUAGUAGGUAGGUAUGGUGGCUGUUUUGAGGAGGCCAUAUGGUGGGUUUGUGUACCGGAGAGAAUUGCCAGGCACUAGAGAGGCUACCAAUGGUGGAAGGUGAAAGUGCAUCUAUACCAUGGACUCACAUUAGUCAUGAAGAACUCACAUACUUGUUGCGAAAGUUUUUAUUAGUAAUCAAAACAAAGUGCUAAACGCAUACUCCUAGGGGAAGGGUUGGUAGGUGUUAACCAUCGCGCGAUCCCGACCUCAACACAAAGGAUGACAAUCAAUAGAUCAAUUAUGCUCCGACUUCCUAACAUAGCGGUUCAUCAUACGUGCAUGCUACGGGAAUCACUAACUNNNNNNNNNNNNNNNNNNNNNNNNNNNNNNNNNNNNNNNNNNNNNNNNNNNNNNNNNNNNNNNNNNNNNNNNNNNNNNNNNNNNNNNNNNNNNNNNNNNNCUUGGCACUGAGGUUCAAACGAUAAGAUCUUCGUAGAAUAUGUAGGAUCCAAUAUGGGCAUCCAGGUCCCACUGUUGGAUAUUGACCGAGGAGUCUCUCGGGUCAUGUCUACAUAGUUCUCGAACCCGCAGGGUCUGCACACUUAAGGUUCCACGUUGUUUUAUGCGUAUUUGAGUUAUAUGGUUGGUUACCGAAUGUUGUUCGGAGUCCCGGAUGAGAUCACGGACGUCACGAGGGUUUCCGGAAUGGUCCGGAAACGAAGAUUGAUAUAUAGGAUGACCUCAUUUGAUUACCGGAAGGUUUUCGGAGUUACCGGGAAUGUACCGGGAAUGACGAAUGGGUUCCGGGAGUUCACCGGAGGGGGGCAACCCACUCCGGGGAAGCCCAUAGGCAUUUGGGGGGUCACACCAGCCCUUAGUGGGCUGGUGGGACAGCCCACCAAUCCCCUAUGCGCCAAGAGAGAAAAAAUCAAAGGAAAAAAAAAGGAAGAAGUGGGAAGGGGGAAGGACUCCCUCCCACCAAACAAAGUAGGACUCGGUUUGGGGGGGGAGAGUCCUCCCCCCUGGCUCGGCCGACCCCUUGGGGAUCCCUUGGACCCCAAGGCAAGGUCCCCCUCCCUCCUCCUAUAUAUAUGGGGCUUUUAGGGCAGAUUUGAGACGACUUUCUCACGGCUGCCCGGCCACAUACCUCCAUAGUUUUUCCUCUAGAUCGCGUUUCUGCGGAGCUCGGGCGGAGCCCUGCUGAGACAAGAUCAUCACCAACCUCUGGAGCGCCGUCACGCUGCCGGAGAACUCUUCUACCUCUCCGUCUCUCUUGCUGGAUCAAGAAGGCCGAGAUCAUCGUCGAGCUGUACGUGUGCUGAACGCGGAGGUGCCGUCCAUUCGGUACUAGAUCGUGGGACUGAUCGCGGGAUUGUUCGCGGGGCGGAUCGAGGGACGUGAGGACGUUCCACUACAUCAACCGCGUUCUCUAACGCUUCUGCUGUACGAUCUACAAGGGUACGUAGAUCACUCAUCCCCUCUCGUAGAUGGACAUCACCAUGAUAGGUCUUCGUGCGCGUAGGAAAAUUUUUGUUUCCCAUGCGACGUUCCCCACAGUGGCAUCAUGAGCUAGGUUCAUGCUUAGAUGUCUUCUCGAGUAGAACACAAAAGCUUUUGUGGGCGGUGAUGUGCGUUUUGCUGCCCUCCUUAGUCUUUUCUUGAUUCCGCGGUAUUGUUGGAUUGAAGCGGCUUGGACCGACAUUACUCGUACGCUUACGAGAGACUGGUUUCAUCGUUACGAGUAACCCCCAUUGCUCAAAGAUGACUGGCAAGUGACGGUUUCUCCAACUUUAGUUGAAUCGGAUUUGACCGAGGAGGUCCUUGGAUGAGGUUAAAUAGCAACUCAUAUAUCUCCGUUGUGGUGUUUGCGUAAGUAAGAUGCGAUCCUACUAGAUACCCUUGGUCACCACGUAAAACAUGCAACAACAAAAUUAGAGGACGUCUAACUUGUUUUUGCAGGGUAUGAUUGUGAUGUGAUAUGGCCAAUGAUGUGAUGUGAUAUAUUGGAUGUAUGAGAUGAUCAUGUUGUAAUAGAAAUAUCGACUUGCACGUCGAUGGUACGGCAACCGGCAGGAGCCAUAGGGUUGUCUUUAUACUAACAUAUUUGUGCUUGCAGAUGCGUUUACUAUUUUGCUAGGAUGUAGUUUUAGUAGUAAUAGCAUAAGUAGCACGACAACCCCGAUGGCAACACGUUGGUGGAUGAUCAUGGUGUGGCGUCGGUGACAAAGAAGAUCGUGCCGGUGCUUUGGUGAUGGAGAUCAAGAAGCACGUGAUGAUGGCCAUAUCAUGUCACUUAUGAAUUGCAUGUGAUGUUAAUCCUUUUUGCACCUUAUUUUGCUUAGAACGACGGUAGCAUUACGAGGUGAUCUCUCACUAAAAUUUCAAGACGAAAUUGUGUUCUCCCCGACUGUGCACCGUUGCUACAGUUCGUCAUUUCGAGACACCACGUGAUGAUCGGGUGUGAUAGACUCAACGUUCACAUACAACGGGUGCAAAACAGUUGCGCACGUGGAACACUCGGGUUAAGCUUGACGAGCCUAGCAUGUGCAGACAUGGCCUCGGAACACAUGAGACCGAAAGGUCAAUCAUGAAUCAUAUAGUUGAUAUGAUUAGCAUAGGGAUGCUUACCACUGAAACUAUACUCAACUCACGUGAUGAUCGGACUUGGGAUAGUGUAAGUGGAUCAUGAACCACUCAAAUGACUAGAGAGAUGUACUUUUUGAGUGGGAGUUUAGCAUAUAAUUUGAUUAAGUUGAACUCUAAUUAUCUUGAACAUAGUCUAAGUCCACUUUGAAUAUAUUUGUGUUGUAGAUCAUGGCUCACGCAAGUGUCAUCCUGAAUUUUAAUACGUUCCUAGAGAAAGCUAAGUUGAAAGAUGAUGGAAGCAACUUUGUAGACUGGGCUCGUAAUCUUAAGCUAAUCUUACAAGCUGGAAAGAAGGAUUAUGUCCUUAAUGCUGCGCUAGGAGAUGAACCACCCGCUACGGCUGAUCAGGAUGUUAAGAACGCUUGGUUAGCGCGUAAGGAGGACUACUCAAUAGUUCAAUGUGCAGUCUUGUAUGGCUUGGAACCGGGACUUCAACGUCGCUUUGAGCGUCAUGGAGCAUUUGAGAUGUUCCAGGAGUUGAAGUUUAUCUUUCAGAAGAACGCCCGGAUCGAGAGGUAUGAGACCUCCGAUAAAUUCUAUGCUUGCAAGAUGGAGGAAAACUCGUCUGUCAGUGAACAUGUGCUCAAAAUGUCUGGGUACUCAAACCGUCUAGCUGAACUGGGGAUUGAACUCCCGCAAGAAGCUAUCACUGACAGAAUCCUUCAAUCACUGCCGCCAAGCUAUAAAGGCUUUGUGUUGAACUACAACAUGCAAGGGAUGAACAAGUCUCCCGGCGAGUUGUUUGCGAUGCUGAAAGUCGCAGAGUCUGAACUCCGUAAAGAGCAUCAAGUGUUGAUGGUGAGCAAGACCACUAGUUUCAAGAGAAACGGCAAAGGCAAGAAGGGCAAUUCGAAGAAGAGCGGCAAGCCUGUUGCCAAUCCGCCGAAGAAACCCAAGGCUGGACCUAAGCCUGAAACAGAGUGCUUCUAUUGCAAGGGUAUGGGUCACUGGAAGCGCAAUUGCCCCAAGUAUCUGGCAGAUAAGAAGGCGGGCAAAGAAAAAUCAGGUAUAUUUGAUAUACAUGUUAUUGAUGUGUACUUAACCGGCUCUCGUAGUAGUGCCUGGGUAUUCGAUACCGGUUCUGUUGCUCACAUUUGCAACUCGAAGCAGGAACUGCGGAAUAGACGAAGGCUGGCGAAAGACGAAGUGACGAUGCGCGUAGGAAACGGUUCCAAGGUUGAUGCAAUCGCCGUCGGCACCGUGUCACUUCAACUACCAUCGGGAUUAGUGAUGAACUUAAAUCAUUGUUAUUUAGUGCAUGCGUUGAGCAUGAACAUUAUAUCUGGAUCUUGUUUAUUGCGAGACGGUUACUCUUUUAAGUCUGAGAAUAAUGGUUGUUCUAUUUCUAUGAGUAACAUCUUUUAUGGUCAUGCACCGAAUGUGAGAGGAUUGUUCAUAUUGAAUCUCGAUAGCGAUACGCAUAUACAUAACAUUGAGACCAAAAGAGUUAGAGUAAACAAUGAUAGAGCCAUAUUUUUGUGGCACUGCCGCUUGGGUCAUAUUGGUGUAAAGCGCAUGAAGAAACUCCAUGCUGAUGGCUUUUGGAGUCACUUGACUUUGAUUCACUUGACACGUGCGAACCAUGCCUCAUGGGCAAGAUGACUAAAACUCCGUUCUCCGGAACAAUGGAGCGUGCAAGUGACUUGUUGGAAAUCAUACAUACCGAUGUGUGUGGUCCAAUGAGCAUGGAGGCACGCAGCGGAUAUCGUUAUUUUCUCACCUUCACUGACGAUUUAAGUAGAUAUGGUUAUGUCUACUUGAUGAAGCGCAAGUCUGAAACAUUUGAAAAGUUCCAGCAAUUUCAGAGUGAAGUAGAAAAUCAUCGUAACAAGAAGAUCAAGUUCCUACGGUCUGAUCUUGGGGGAGAAUAUCUGAGUUUCGAGUUUGGUACUCACUUAAGACAAUGUGGAAUUGUUUCGCAGUUGACACCGCCUGGAACACCACAGCGUAAUGGUGUGUCCGAACAUCGUAAUCGUACUUUGUUAGAGAUGGUGCGAUCUAUGAUGUCUCUUACUGAUUUGCCGUUAUCAUUUUGGGGUUAUGCAUUAGAAACAGCUGCAUUUACUUUAAAUAGGGCACCAUCAAAAUCCGUUGAGACGAAACCAUACGAACUAUGGUAUGGCAAAAGACCAAAGUUGUCGUUUCUUAAAGUUUGGGGAUGUGAUGCUUAUGUCAAAAAGCUUCAGCCUGAAAAGCUGGAACCCAAAGCGGAAAAGUGCGUCUUCAUAGGUUACCCAAAGGACACAGUUGGGUACACCUUCUAUCUCAAAUCCGAGGGCAAAGUGUUUGUUGCUAAAAACGGAACUUUUCUCGAGAAGGAGUUUCUCUCGAGAGAAUUGAGUGGGAGGAAGAUAGAACUUGACGAGGUUGUCGAACCUCUCAUUCCUCUGGAUGGUGGCGCAGGGCAAGGGGAAACCUCUGUCGUUGCUACGCCGGUUGAGGAGGAAGUUAAUGAUGAUGAUCAUGAGACUCCAGUUCAAGUUUCUGUUGAACCACGCAGGUCGACGAGAUCACGCACUGCUCCAGAGUGGUACGGUAAUCCCGUCUUAUCAAUCAUGUUGUUAGACAACAAUGAACCUGCAAAUUAUGAAGAAGCAAUGGUGGGUCCAGAUUCCAACAAAUGGCUAGAAGCCAUGAAAUCCGAGAUAGGAUCCAUGUAUGAGAACAAAGUGUGGACUUUGGAGAUGCUGCCUGAGGGCCGCAAGGCUAUUCAGAACAAAUGGAUCUUUAAGAAGAAGACGGACGCUGACGGUAAUGUGACCGUUUAUAAAGCUCGACUUGUGGCAAAGGGUUUUUCACAAGUUCCAGGAAUUGACUACGAUGAGACUUUCUCUCCCGUAGCGAUGCUUAAGUCCGUCAGAAUCAUGUUAGCAAUAGCUGCAUUUUUCGAUUAUGAAAUCUGGCAGAUGGAUGUCAAAACGGCGUUCCUUAACGGUUUCCUUAAGGAAGAGUUGUAUAUGAUGCAACCCGAAGGUUUUGUCGAUCCUAAAAAUGCUGACAAGGUGUGCAAGCUCCAGCGAUCCAUUUAUGGACUGGUGCAAGCGUCUCGGAGUUGGAACAAACGCUUUGAUGAGGUGAUCAAAGCAUUUGGGUUUAUACAAGUGGUUGGAGAAUCUUGUAUUUACAAGAAAGUGAGUGGGAGCUCUGUGGUGUUUCUCAUAUUAUAUGUGGAUGACAUAUUACUGAUUGGAAACAACGUAGAGCUUUUGGAGAGCAUAAAAGGUUACUUGAAUAAAAGUUUCUCUAUGAAGGACCUAGGAGAAGCUGCUUACAUUCUAGGCAUUAAGAUCUAUAGGGAUAGAUCGAAACGCCUGAUAGGACUUUCACAAAGCACAUACCUUGAUAAAGUUUUGAAGAGGUUCAAAAUGGAACAGUCCAAGAAAGGGUUCUUGCCAGUGUUACAAGGUACGAGAUUGAGUAAGACUCAGUGCCCAGCAACUGAUGAAGAUAGAGAGCAUAUGCGCUCCGUCCCCUAUGCUUCAACCAUAGGCUCUAUCAUGUAUGCAAUGCUGUGCACUAGACCGGAUGUUAGCCUGGCCAUAAGUAUGGCAGGUAGGUUCCAGAGUAAUCCAGGAGUGGAUCACUGGACGGCGGUCAAGAAUAUCCUGAAGUACCUGAAAAGGACUAAGGAGAUGUUUCUCGUGUAUGGAGGUGACGAAGAGCUCGCCGUAAAAGGUUACGUUGAUGCAAGCUUUGACACAGAUCCGGACGACUCUAAGUCGCAAACCGGAUACGUAUUUAUUCUUAAUGGGGGUGCAGUAAGCUGGUGCAGUUCCAAGCAAAGCGUCGUAGCAGAUUCUACAUGUGAAGCAGAGUACAUGGCUGCCUCGGAGGCGGCUAAGGAGGGUGUCUGGAUGAAGCAGUUCAUGACGGAUCUUGGAGUGGUGCCAAGUGCACUGGAUCCAAUAACCUUGUUCUGUGACAACACUGGUGCCAUUGCCUUAGCAAAGGAACCAAGGUUUCACAAGAAGACCAGACACAUCAAACGACGCUUCAACCUCAUCCGCGACUACGUCGAGGAGGAGGACGUAAAUAUAUGCAAAGUGCACACGGAUCUGAAUGUAGCAGACCCGCUGACUAAGCCUCUUCCACGGCCAAAACAUGAUCGACACCAGAACUGUAUGGGUGUUAGAUUUAUUACAAUGUAAUUCACAUGGUGAUGUGAGGGCUAGAUUAUUGACUCUAGUGCAAGUGGGAGACUGUUGGAAUUAUGCCCUAGAGGCAAUAAUAAAUGUAUAGUUAUUAUUAUAAUUCCUGUAUCAAGAUAAUAGUUUAUUAUCCAUGCUAUAAUUGUAUUGAAUGAAGACUCAUUUACAUGUGUGGAUACAUAGACAAAACACCGUCCCUAGCAUGCCUCUAGUUGGCUAGCCAGUUGAUCGAUGAUAGUCAGUGUCUUCUGAUUAUGAACAAGGUGUUGUUGCUUGAUAACUGGAUCACGUCAUUGGGAGAAUCACGUGAUGGACUAGACCCAAACUAAUAGACGUAGCAUGUUGAUCGUGUCAUUUUGUUGCUACUGUUUUCUGCGUGUCAAGUAUUUAUUCCUAUGACCAUGAGAUCAUAUAACUCACUGACACUGGAGGAAUGCUUUGUGUGUAUCAAACGUCGCAACGUAACUGGGUGACUAUAAAGAUGCUCUACAGGUAUCUCCGAAGGUGUUAGUUGAGUUAGUAUGGAUCGAGACUGGGAUUUGUCACUCCGUGUGACGGAGAGGUAUCUCGGGGCCCACUCGGUAAUACAACAUCACACACAAGCCUUGCAAGCAAUGUAACUUAGUGUAAGUUGNNNNNNNNNNNNNNNNNNNNNNNNNNNNNNNNNNNNNNNNNNNNNNNNNNNNNNNNNNNNNNNNNNNNNNNNNNNNNNNNNNNNNNNNNNNNNNNNNNNNUAGGAUGACCUCAUUUGAUUACCGGAAGGUUUUCGGAGUUACCGGGAAUGUACCGGGAAUGACGAAUGGGUUCCGAGAGUUCACCGGAGGGGGGCAACCCACUCCGGGGAAGCCCAUAGGCAUUUGGGGGGUCACACCAGCCCUUAGUGGGCUGGUGGGACAGCCCACCAAUCCCCUAUGCGCCAAGAGAGAAAAAAUCAAAGGAAAGAAAAAAAAAGGAAGAAGUGGGAAGGGGGAAGGACUCCCUCCCACCAAACCAAGUAGGACUCGGUUUGGGGGGGGAGAGUCCUCCCCCCUGGCUCAGCCGACCCCUUGGGGAUCCCUUGGACCCCAAGGCAAGGUCCCCCUCCCUCCUCCAAUAUAUAUGGGGAUAUUAGGGCUGAUUUGAGACGACUUUCUCACGGCUGCCCGACCACAUACCUCCAUAGUUUUUCCUCUAGAUCGCGUUUCUGCGGAGCUCGGGCGGAGCCUUGCUGAGACAAGAUCAUCACCAACCUCCGGAGCGCCGUCACGCUGCCGGAGAACUCUUCUACCUCUCCGUCUCUCUUGCUGGAUCAAGAAGGCCGAGAUCAUCGUCGAGCUGUACGUGUGCUGAACGCGGAGGUGCGGUCCGUUCGGUACUAGAUCGUGGGACUGAUCGCGGGAUUGUUCGCGGGGCGGAUCGAGGGACGUGAGGACGUUCCACUACAUCAACCGCGUUCUCUAACGCUUCUGCUGUACGAUCUACAAGGGUACGUAGAUCACUCAUCCCCUCUCGUAGAUGGACAUCACCAUGAUAGGUCUUCGUGCGCGUAGGAAAAUUUUUGUUUCCCAUGCGACGUUCCCCAACACUAACUUCAACACAAGUAUCUCUAGAUUCACAACACCCUACUAACAUAGCUCUCUAUAUUACCGAAUCCACGUCUCAAAACUAAUUGAGAGGAAUCGAAACUUCUCUUUUUACUCAAUGCACAUGCAGAUGGAGGUUUUUGCAUCCUCUUUGGGUACCUAUCACAUCCGGGACUACUUUCAUAGCAUAAGCCAACUACCAAAUCACGCACCGCCGUGCUCUAAAAGAUAUAAGUGAAGCACUAGAGCAAAAGUAUCUAGCUCAAAAGAUAUAAGUGAAGCACUAUGAGCAUUCUAGCAAAAUCAUGAUGAGUGCAUGUCUAUCUCUCUAAAAAAGGUGUUCAGAAAGGAUGAUUGUGACACAACAAAAAGAAAAGACUCCUAUGAUACAAGACGCUCCAAGCAAAACACAUAUCAUGUGGUGAAUAAAAAUAUAGCUCCAAGUAAUGUUACCGAUGGAUUGAAGACGAAAGAGGGGUUGCCUUCCUGGGGCAUCCCCAAGCUUAGGCUUUUUGGUGUCCUCGAAUUUGGCUUGGGAUGCCUUGGGCAUCCCCAAGCUUGAGCUCUUUCCACUCCUUAUCUCAUCGUCCAUGAGAACAUCACCCAAAACUUGAAAACUUCACAACACAAAACUUAAACAGAAACUCGUGAUAACGUUAGUACAAGAAAACAAACUACCACUUCUUUUGGUACUGUAGCAAACUUGAAUUCCAUCUAUAUUGGUGUUGGGUUACUGUAUCCUCACUUUUCCACGGAUAGUACCCCCCGAUACUAACCAUAGUUUCAUGAAAACAAGCAACCAACUCAACAAAAACAGAAUCUGUCAAAAACAUACCAGUCUGGAGCAAUCUGUAUACUACGUAUACUUCUGUUACCUGGAAAAAUCUGAAAAAUUACGACGGCCUGGGAAAAAAGCAUAUCAACCAUAAUAAAAAAGAAUCAACUCAAAAUAUCUUUCUGAAUAAAAAUUAAAAAUCAUCUUGUGAGCAAAAAGUUUCUGUCUUUUNNNNNNNNNNNNNNNNNNNNNNNNNNNNNNNNNNNNNNNNNNNNNNNNNNNNNNNCAGCAGGAUCAAACAACCAUUACCAAGACUAGUCAUAGAGGUUUUGCUUGGCUCAAACACAAAAAGAAACACAAAAAAACACAAUCACAACAGAAUUGUGAUGGUGUGGACACAACAAAACAUAAAUAAAAAAGAUAAAUUCAUUCGGUUGCCUCCCAACAAGCGUUAUUGUUUUAACGCCCUUAGCUAGGUAUAAAAGCGAUAGAAUCACGUAUCGUCGUAUUUGGUGCUCAAACCAUAAAUGGCCCUCAUCAUGGAUUCAUAAGGCAAUCUUAUUUUCUUUCUAGUAAAGUGUUCCAUGCCCUUCCUUCAUAUCGAUGAUAGCACCGAUAGUCCUUAGGAAAGGUCUAUCAAGAAUAAUAGCGCAAGUAGGAUUGCAAUCAAUGUCAAGCACAAUGAAAUCCACGGGUACAGAGUUCCUAUUUGCAAUAAUAAGAACAUCAUUGAUCCUUCCCAUGGGUUUCUUGACAGUAGAAUCAGCAAGAUGCAAAUUAAGAGAACACUCUUCAAUCUCAUUAAAACCCAGAACAUCACAUAAAGACUUUGGUAUCGUAGAAACACUAGCACCCAAAUAACACAAAGCGUUGCACUCAUAGUUUUUGAGUUUGAUUUUGAUGGUAGGUUCCCACUCAUCAUGAAGAUUUCUAGGGAUAGAGACUUCCAAUUCAAGUUUCUCUUCAAGAGAUUUUAUCAUAGCUUCGACGAUAUGAUCGGUAAAGGCCUUGUUUUGGCUAUAAGCGUGUGGAGAGUUUAACAUGGAUUGCAUCAAAGAAAUGCAUUCAAUCAAGGAGCAACUAUCAUAAUUGAAUUCCUUGAAAUCCACGAUAGUAAUUUCAUUACUACUCAAAGUUUUAACAUUUUCUACUCCACUUUCAAUGCUUUUAGCAUCAAGAUAGAUGGACUCUGAAUCACUGGGGCACUUUUCAACCAAAGUGGAUUCAUAUCCAGCCCCAUAAUCAUUAGGUUUGACACAAGAAAACAAAGAUUCAAUGGGAGUCACACCAAGCACUUUAGGAUCUUCGUGAUUCUCAUCACGAGAACACGCCUUUUAAGCCAUUCAUGUCUAGCACGAAUUUUGGCGGUUCUUUCUUGGCUCUCAAUCAUGGAAACACGCAUAGCUUUCAAAGUUUCAACCAUGUUGAUUUUAGGAGGAGCACAUCUAACUUUCAAAUCAUCAACAUCACUAGACAUUCUAUCAACGCUCUUAGCCAAAUCGUCAAUUUUGAGUAGCUUUUCCUCUAUGGACGCAUUGAAAAUCUUUUGAGAGUUGAUGAACUCUUUGAUAUUACUCUCUAGAUCAGAGGGUAAUCUAUUGUAAUUUCCAUGGGUAUUGUUGUAGGAGUUGCCAAAGUUAUUAGAGGAGUUACCACGAAAAGGCCUAGGAACAUAGUUUCCUCUAAAAGCAUUGUUGUUGCCAAAGUUAUUCCUACCAACAAAAUUAACGUGCAAGCUAGCGUUGCUACUCUCAAUCAAAGAAGACAAAGGCAUAUCAUUAGGAUCCAAAGGAGCACUUCUACUAGCAACCAAAUUCAUUAACUCGUCCAUCUUAGCACUCAACGAGUUAAUUUCUUCUAUAGCGUGUACCUUCUUACUAGUAGGUGACCUUUCAGUGUGCCACUGAGAGUAGUUCGUCAUGAUGUUGUCUAAGAGCUUUGUGGCUUCUCCUAACGUGAUUUCCAUGAACGUUCCACCUGAGGCGGAGUCCAAGAUAUUUCUAGAAGCAAAAUUCAAGCGAGCGUAAAAGAUUUGAAUAAUCAUCCAAAGGCUCAAGCCAUGAGCGGGACAAUUUCUAAUCAUUAAUUUCAUUCUCUCCCAAGCUUGUGCAACAUGUUCAUGAUCAAGUUAGUUGAAAUUCAUGAUAUCAUUCCAGAGAGAGAUGAUCUUAGCCGGCGGAAAAUACUUGGAUAUAUAAGCAUCUUUGAACUUAUCCCAAGAAUCGAUACUAUUUUUGGGCAAAGAAGAAAACCAAGUUUUUGCGCGAUCUCGCAGGGAGAAAGGAAAAAGCUUCAAUUUAAUCAUGUCAGUAUCCACAUCUUUCUUCUUUUGCAUAUCGCAAAGCUCAAUGAAGGUAUUGAGAUGGGAUGCGGCAUCUUCACUAGGAAGGCCAGAAAAUUGCUCUUUCAUAACAAGAUUCAGCAAAGCGGCAUUGAUUUCGUAUGACUCCGCACUAGUGGCGGGAGCAAUCGGAGUACUAAUAAAAUCAUUAUUAUUAGUAUUCCAGAAGUCACAAAGUUUGGUGUUUUCGUUCAUGGUGACUUUAGCAAGCAAGCAAGCACACAAGCAAAAAAAGAGCAGGCGAGAAAAAGGGCGAACGAAAAAGGCAAAUUGGUGAAGUGGGGGAGAGGAAAACGAGAGGCAACUCGCAAACAAAGUAAAUGCAAGAGAUGAGUUUGCGACACCUACUUGGAUGAGUUCUUGACUUGAUCUUCCUCCCCGACAACGGCGCCAGAAAUUCUUCUGCUACGACAACAAAAGUCCUUCCUCGGCGCUAGGAAUUCUUCCUGCUACUUCUCUUGUUUGCGUCGGUUUUUCCCUUGAAGAGGAAAGGGUGAUGCAGCAGAGGAGCAGUAAGUAUUUCCCUCAGUUUGAGAACCAAGGUAUCGAUCCAGAAGGAGGGUCCCGUCAAGUCCACAAUACAUGCGCAAACACAAACAAGCUUGCACGCAACGCUUCAAAGGGGUUGUCAAUCCCUUCAAGAUUGUUUGCAGAGUGAGAUCUGAAGGCAGAAAGUGCAACGAGGUAAAAAGUGUAAAGCUGAAAAUAUGGUGUGGAGUAGACCCGGGGGCCAUAGUGUUCACUAGAGGCUUCUCUCAAAAUAGCAAAUAUCACGGUGGGUGAACAAAUUACUGUCGAGCAAUUGAUAGAACCGUGCAAAGUCAUGACGAUAUCUAAGGCAAUGAUCAUACAUAUAGGCAUCAAAAAUAUCAUGGUGGGUGAACAAAUUACUGUCGAGCAAUUGAUAGAACCGCGCAAAGUCAUGACGAUAUCUAAGGCAAUGAUCAUACAUAUAGGCAUCACGUCCGAGACAAGUAGACCGAUACUUUCUGCAUCUACUACUAUUACUCCACACAUCGACCGCUAUCCAGCAUGCAUCUAGUGUAUUGAGUUCAUGACAAACACAGUAACGCCUUAAGCAAGAUGACAUGAUGUAGAGGGAUAAUCUCAAACCAAUGAUGAAAAACCCAUCUUUUUACCCUUGAUGGCAAAAACACGAUGUGUGCCUCGCUACCCCUUCUGUCACUCGGUGAGGUCACCGCACGGUAUGAACCCAAAACCAAGCACUUCUCCCAUUGCAAGAAUCAUAGAUCUAGUUGGCCAGACAAAACCCACAACUCGAAGAGAAUUACAAGGAUAUGAAAUCAUGCAUAAGAGAGAUCAGAAGAAACUCAAAUAAGAUUCAUAGAUAAUCUGAUCAUAUAUCCACAAUUCAUCGGAUCUCGACAAACACACCGCAUAAGAAGAUUACAUCAGAUAGAUCUCCAUGAAGAUGAUGGAGAACUUUGUAUUGAAGAUCCAAGAGAAAGAAGAAGCCAUCUAGAUACUAAUUAUGGACUCGUAGGUCUAUGGUGAACUACUCACGCAUCAUCGGAGAGGUCAUGGUGAACACACCGCAAAAGAAGAUUACAUCGGAUAGAUCUCCAUGAAGAUCAUGGAGAACUUUGUAUUGAAGAUCCAAGAGAGAGAAGAAGCCAUCUAGCUACUAGCUAUGGACCCGAAGGUCUAUGGUGAACUACUCACGCAUCAUCGGAGAGGCAAUGGUGUUGAUGAAGAAGCCCUCCGUGUCCGAAUCCCCCCUCCAGCAGGGCACCAGAACGUGCCCAUACAUCAGAUAGAUCUCCAUGAAGAUGAUGGAGAACUUUGUAUUGAAGAUCCAAGAGAAAGAAGAAGCCAUCUAGAUACUAAUUAUGGACUCGUAGGUCUAUGGUGAACUACUCACGCAUCAUCGGAGAGGUCAUGGUGUUGAUGAAGAAGCCCUCCAUUUCCGAAUCCCCCCUCCAGCAGGGCACUAGAACGUGCCCCGGAUGGGAUCUUGCGGAGACAGAAGCUUGCAGCGGCGGAAAAGUGAUUUUGAUGAUCUCUUGAUUUUUUUUGGGAUUUUUAGGGAAUAUAUAGGCGCAACCCCUAGGGCAGAGGGCGCCCAGGGGGCCCACAAGCCUGUGGGCCGCGGCCUACCCCAUGGUCGCGGGGUGGGGGCUUGUGGGGCCCCUGAGGCUCCCCUGCCUUGGCUCCCAAGCUUCCCGAUCUUCUUCCGUUAUGAAAAAAAAUCUUUUCGGGGAUUUUUUUCCGUUUGGACUGCGUUUCAAAAUCUCCUCUGAAAGGGGUCAAAAACAUGGAAAAACAGGAACUCGCACUUGGCACUGAGUGAAUAAGUUGGUCCCAAAAAAUAUAUAAAAGGCAUGCAAAACAUCCAAAGUUUGACAAGAUAAUAGCAUGAAACCAUAAAAAUUUAUAGAUACGUUGGAGACGUAUCAAGCAUCCCAAAGCUUAACUCCUGCUCGUCCUCGAGUAGGGAAGUGGUAAAGAAUGAAUUUUUGAUGUGGAAUGCUAUCUAGCAUAGUUGUCCUUUGCAACUUCUUUCACUUGACAUGAAUGUUCAGAUCCGUAAGAUUCAAAACAAUAGUUUGCUAUUAACAUGAAAACAAUAAUACUUCAAGCAAACUAGCAAGGUAAUCAUGAACUUUCAAAAUAACAAGGCCAAGGAAAGUUAUCCCUACAAAAUCAUAUAGUCUGGCUAUGCUCCUUCAUCCUCACACAACUAAUGUAAAUCAUGCACAACCCCGGUAUUGGCCAAGUAAUUGUUUUCGCACUCUUACUUUCUCAAACUUUUUAUAACUAUCACGCAAUACAUGAGCGUGAGCCAUGGAUAUAGCACUAUAAUUGUAAUAGAGUGUGGUGGUGGUUGUGAGACAAAAAGAGGAGAUGGUCACAUUGACUCAGCAUAUCAAAGGGCUAUGGAGAUGCCCAUUAAUAGAUAUCAAUGUGAAUGAGUAGGGAUUGCCAUACAAGAGAUGCACUAGAGCUAUAAGUAUGUGAUAACUCAAAAGGAAAACUAGUGGGUGUGCAUCCAACUUGCUUGCUCACGAAGACCUAGGGCAAUUUUGAGGAAGCCCAUCAUUGGAAUAUACAAGCCAAGUUAUAUAAUGAAGAUUCCCACUAGCAUAUGGUAGUGACAAAGCAAGAAGCUUUCAAUCAUGAAGAACAUGGUGCUAUCAUGAAGCACAAGUGUGGAAAAAGAUAGUAGCAUUGUCCCUUCUCUCCUUUUCUCUUUUUUUUCAUUUGGGCUCUUAGGCCUCUCUUUUUUAUUUUAUUUUCUUUUUUUGUUUUUGGGCUCUUUGGCCUCUUUUUUUCCUCACAUGGUACAAUGCUCUAAUAAUGAUGAUCAUCACACUUUUAUUUACUCACAGCUCAAAAUGAUGAUGACUCUAAAGGAAAUGCCUCCGGUAGUAUACCGGGAUGUGCAACGAUCUAGCAUGGCGUAUGACGUUGAAAACAUCUCACUAGCUAUCUUACAAUCAUGCAAUGGCAAUAUGAGAGUGAUGGCACAAGUCAUGAGACGGAACGGUGGGAGUUGCAUGGCAAUAUAUCUCGGAAUGGCUAUGAAAAUGCCAUAGUAGGUAGGUAUGGUGGCUGUUUUGAGGAUGGCAUAUGGUGGGUUUGUGUACCGGCGAGAAUUGCAUGGCACUAGAGAGGCUAGCAAUGGUGGAAGGUGAAAGUGCAUCUAUACCAUGGACUCACAUUAGUCAUGAAGAACUCACAUACUUGUUGCGAAAGUGUUUAUUAGUAAUCGAAACAAAGUGCUAAACGCAUACUCCUAGGGGAAGGGUUGGUAGGUGUUAACCAUCGCGCGAUCCCGACCUCAACACAAAGGAUGACAAUCAAUAGAUCAAUUAUGCUCCGACUUCCUAACAUAGCGGUUCAUCAUACGUGCAUGCUACGGGAAUCACUAACUUCAACACAAGUAUCUCUAGAUUCACAACACCCUACUAAUAUAGCUCUCAAUAUUACCGAAUUCACAACACCCUACUAACGUCCCACCAGGCGCUUUGUCUCGCAGCCGCCGUGAGACUCCUGCUGAGUGGGCCUCACUCUUUGCCACUCCUGCUGCUCCGAUGUUGAGGCGUCGUGUUCCUCCUUCCCUGGAAGCAGGACCGUCCCGUCAGCGACGCCGUGUUUCCUUUGGUCCGCAAGAUGAGGUCAACAUCAUCAGUUGCGACUCUAACUCAGGAUCUGAUGAUGAGGAGUCUUCGAUCUUUCAGUGCCCGUACCAUCCGCGCCACUAGAGUCGAGGUUGGAGUUGCCGAGAAUGCAUCGUUGCAUAUGUCAACUGCCGUAUGAGCAGUCAAGUCAUGAUAUUUCCCCUACUAUCUUGUCAUGAAUAAUGUUGAGUCUUAUUGUAUAAUUAUGUUGUUGUUUAUUCGCUUUACCGUGCAAACUUUUUCUUGGUGUUUUACGACCAGGCUUUCCCUUAUGGAUGUUUCUCAUCGACUCGGUGUUUGGCAUUGGGAACAAUAAUUUAGGAUGAAGGGAAGAUGUAGCCAUGGCAACGAUGGAGCCCCCAUCCGUCGAUCCGCCACGCAGGCAGGACAGCCUCCCAAAGAUCUACCACCUCCACCAGCUCAAGCACCCACCACUGAACAUAUUAUGAGAAUGUUUGAGGAAAAGAGAAACCAGAACUCAUGGAAUUUCUGAGAAGUAUGCAGGCCAUGGUAGGCCAGGACAACAACAAUGGGGCACGGUCCAAAUUGUCAGACUUCCAGCGUACCAAACCUCCCAAUUUUGGCCAAGCAGCAGACCCAAUUGAAGCUGAUGACUGGCUCUAGACAUAACCCGUUGUGAUGAGGUGGAUAAGGUUCCUUUUUCCACCCACUAUCUUGAAGGGCCGACAGCUAUAUGGUGGGACAACGCAAAGGCAGCAUGGCCAUAUGGAGAAGAAAUUACGUGGGAAAUAUUCAAGGAAGCAUUUCACAACUAUCAUAUCCUUACGGGCAUAAUGAAGGUAAAGCAGAGAGAAUUCCUGGUCCUUACACAAGGAGGCAUGACUGUGGCCGAGUAUCUGAAUAAGUUCAACAAUCAGGCACGAUACUCCACUCAUGAUGUAUCCACUGAGGAAAGGAAGGUUGUCGCUUCCUAGGAGGUCUAAAUCAUACCCUCCGUUGUCAGCUCUGCAUGCUGGACUUUCCAGACUUCCAGACGCUUGUAAACAAGGAUUUCAUAGCUGAACGAGAGCUUAAGACUGGGUACGAGGAUCGCAAGAGGAAGUUUGAACCAAAAAGGGACAACAAGGAGCAGGUUGUACAGAAGCCGCGUACCUGGCAACCCAACACUACUGUAUACAAGGCCUUCGGCAAACAACCGGUCCUAGAGGAUUGCCGCCGCAAUAACACUUGUUUCACUUGGAGCCAAAGCGGGCACUAUGCAAGGUACUGCCCCACCAACAAUGGAAAAAUAUCCUCUGACGUCAAGCCGCAGGUCAAAACCAUUGGAAGCCAUCCUAACCCCAAGUACACGCAAGGGCGCGUCUUCCACAUCUCCGUCGAGGAAGCGUGCAAAGCCCCAGACGUGAUUAUCGAUAUGUUUCCUGUUAAUAACAUACACAUGGUAGUUUUAUUUGAUCCAGGGGCUUCCCACUCUUUUAUUUCGAGGAAUUUUGCCGCCUUGCACAAAUUUUCCCCUUCGCUGUUGGAUAAGAUCAUGGUGAUACAAUCCCUUGGCUCUCGGCUCAGAACAAAUCUCGUAUACCAAGAUCUGGAAAUACUUACACAAGGGGCCGCAUUCCCAGCUGCACUCAUUGCUAUUGAGUCUCCAGGACUGGAUGUGAUACUUGGGAUGGACUGGUUGACACCCCAUCAAGUGUGUAUCAACUGCGCUAACCGAACCGUCACGCUGGUCAAUCGGGCCGGACAAACCGUCCAAUUUUUGGCCAACAACAUGAAGUCAAGGAAAGGGAUGGCAUAUCAUACCGAAGUCACGAACAUGAAUUUGAUUCCAGUGGUAUGUGAGUUCCCGGACGUAUUCCCAUAGGAAUUACCCGGAAUGCCGCCCGAUCGGGAACUGGAAUUCGCAAUGGAGUUGGUUCCUGGCACUGCCCCAAUCUACAAGAAAUACUAUCGUAUGCCAGGACCUGAGUUGGCCGAAUUAAUGAAGCAGUUGGACGAAUUAGUACAGAAGGGAUACAUCCGUCAAAGCAUCUCACCAUGGGGAUCACCAAUACUGUUCGUCAAUAAAAAGGAUGGAAGCUUGCGAAUGUGCAUAGACUACCGCCGACUUAAUGAGGUCACUAUUAAAAAUAAGUACCCGCUCCCACGCAUCGACGAUUUGUUCGACCAGCUGAGUGGGGCACGAGUAUUUUCCAAAAUUAACCUCAGGACUGGGUAUCAUUAGCUAAAGAUGAAGAAAGAGGAUAUACCCAAGACAGUGUUUGCCACCCGAUAUGGCAUGUAUGAAUUUACGGUCAUGUCAUUUGGACUAACAAAUGCUCCCUCUUACUUUAUGAGCAUGAUGAACAAAGUCUUCAUGGAUUUCCUAGACAAAUUCGUGGUGGUGUUCGUAGAAGAUAUCCUGAUAUACUCCAAGGAUGAAGAGGAGCACAAGCAACACCUCAGAGUUGUCUUGGAAAGACUGAGAUCCCAUCAACUGUAUGCCAAGUUCAGCAAGUGCGAGUUUUGGCUAAAGGAAGUAGGAUUUUUGGGGGCAUAUCCUGUUAGAGCAAGGGGUGGCAGUUGAUCCCAGUAAGGUAACAACAGUACUGAACUGGAAGACACCAGUCUCAGUGACCGAAGUCCGUAGCUUCCUGGGAUUGGCAGGCUACUACCGACGGUUUAUAGAUGGCUUCUCUAAGAUAGUCAAGCCGCUAACACAGCUGCUAAAGAAGAAUCAGAAAUAUGUCUGGACAACAGCAUGCGAGAGCAGCUUCCUGGAUCUAAAGACCAGACUAACGACAACACCUGUCCUAGUCCUUUCGAACAUUCACAAGAGUUUUUGACAUUUAUUGUGAUGCUUCCCGAAGAGGAAUCGGCUGUAUACUGAUGCAAGAAGGAAAGGUUGUGACCUAAGCCUCCCGACAACUACGACCGGAUGAGGAGAACUAUCCCACACAUGAGUAUGAGCUAGCAGUCGUGGUACAUGCCUUAAAGAUUUGGAGGCAUUACCUCAUUGGCCAACGAUGUGAGAUAUUCACACACCACAAAAGUCUCAAGUACAUCUUUACCCAGCCAGAUCUGAAUCCCAGACAACGGCGAUGGCUUGAGCUAGUCAAGGACUACGACCUGCGAAUCAAUUAUCGCCCAGGAAAAGCCAAUGUGGUGGCAGACGCUCUGAUUAGGAAGCCAAUCACGGUGAAUGUGUUAACAGUAAGUAUUCACCCAAGAUUGCAAGAAGAAUUCACAAGUCUCAACAUGAUACUCUGUGGUCCAGCCACUCUAGACACGCUAGAUAUUACCCCCACCCUGAUAGAAGAGAUCAAGGAAGCACAAGAAAGGGACGAGGGAAUCAAGAGAAACAAAGCAUCGCUUCCACAACGGAAGGACGAAUCCUUUCGACUAGACGACCAAGGCAUCUUGUGGUUUGAGAAACGGAUCUGCGUUCCUGACCAGGAUAGCCUGAGACAGCAAAUACUCAGGGAAGCGCAUGAUUCCGCAUAUUCUAUUCAUCCAGGAGGUACGAAGAUGUACCAAGAUCUAAGAAGGACAUUUGGUGGUGAGGAAUGCGGAGAUACAUGGCAUAUUAUGUCGCCUGUUGUGAUGUUUGCAAUAAGGUAAAAGUGGAACAUCAAAAGCCCGCCGGAUUACUGCAACCUUUAUCGGUUCCCCAAUGGAAAUGGGAUGACAUAUGUAUGGACUUCGUUGUCGGACUACCUGAGUCCACAUGGGGCAAUGAUGCUAUCUGGGUCAUCGUGGACAUGCUCACUAAGGUAGCCCACUUUAUCCCAGUGAAAACUACCUUUAAUGCCAACCAGCUGGCACAAUUAUACAUGUCCCGGAUAGUAAGCCUACAUGCAGUACCCAAGUCCAUCACAUCCGAUAGAGGCUCUCUAUUCACCUCAGCAUUCUGGCUACGAUUACAUCAAGCCUUGUGAACCAUGUUAAAUCACAACACAGCAUACCAUCCUCAGACUGAUGGGCAGACUGAAAGGGUGAACCAAAUUUGGAAGACAUGCUUCGGUCAUGCGCUCUCACCCAUGGACCCAAAUGGGAAUAUAGCUUACCCUAUGCGGCUACAACAAUAGCUAUCAGACGAGCCUGAAGAUGUCACCCUUUGAGGCAUUGUAUGGCAGAAAGUGCCGAACCCCGUUGAAUUGGUCACAAACAGGAGACAGUCGCAACUUCGGAACCGACUUGAUGCUGGAGGUCGAGAAACAGGUCAAAGACAUUCAGGAACGCCUCAAGGCAGCUAAGUCCCGCCAAAAGAGCUAUUAUGACCCAAAGCACCGAGAAGUGACCUUUGAACCAGGAGAAUAUGCCUAUCUCCAAGUAACCCCCAUGAAAGGAGUGAGAAGGUUUCACACUCGAGGGAAGCUUGCACCGAGAUAUAUCGGUCCCUUUCUAGUGAUCGCGAGAAGAGGCAGAGUUGCCUAUCAGUUGGAAUUACCACCCGAACUGUCACAUGUGCACGACGUUUUUCACAUCUCGCAACUAAGGAAGUGUAUCGCACCGCCAGUAAAGUAGGCAGAUAUGAGCGAGUUAGAACUGGCUAAGGACUUGACCUAUGAGGAAAAGCCGGUCAGAAUUUUGGACGAGAUGGAAAGGACCACCCAGAGCAAAGUGCUUAAAUUUUAUAAGGUACUAUGGGAGCACCAUACCGAAGAAGAAGCUACUUGGGAGAUGGAAGAUUUUCUGAGAUCUGCAUAUCCAUACUUGUUCCCUGAGCAACCGAAUCUCGAGGACAAGAUUCAUUCUAAGGGGGGUAGGUUUGUAACACCCUGAUUUUUCAAACUUCUUCUUUUCAAAAUAUUUUGGAUUUCCAUUUGCAAGUUGAUGGAUUUUCAAACCAUUUCAACCAAGAUGGGUUCUAAGCCCGCGAUUUCUUGCCCCCAAGCAGCUCAAGAUCUUUCACAACUUGCCAAAAACCUUUCUGAGAUUUAUUUGCAAUAUUUUAUUACUCCAAAUAAUUCUCUUUCUAUUUUGGGAAUUAUGGCAUCACUAUGGGUUGUGAAGCAAACUUAAGCUUGGAUGAGCUUUAAGUCCCAAAACUUUUACAACAUCUUCUCAAUACCAUAUGAUUUCAAAAUAUUCAAAAAUAUUUCUUUGUCCAAUGGAGAAUUUUGGCCAGAACAAUUAUUCUUUUCUGACCAGAAUUGUCCCUUUGUGAAGCAACCCCAUGAUUCCUGUUUUAGAAAAUUCCCAAUAAAUUCCUAUAGUUACUAGGGAUCAUAUAUAGUUCCAAUAUGUAAAAACAUCCAAUGGUCCAAUACAAAUUUUCAGNNNNNNNNNNNNNNNNNNNNNNNNNNNNNNNNNNNNNNNNNNNNNNCAGCAGGAAAACUUUGCUAAAGUUCUGCUAAAACUGAACUCUUGAGAAGGAAGUGCUAGCUAGGAGUGCACAAUAGAGCUACAAAUUAUUGGGCAUGUGUACACUACCAAUUGAAACUUCCCAACCAAGUCUCACUUUAAGCAAAGCUUGCAAUUGAGUGCUAGGAGCUCAUUUGUGUUUUGGACCAGAAAGAUGGUUUUCAAAGGAACUAUAUUCAUUUGAUCUUCAAACCUUACCAAACUUUGCCAGCUUAGAGUCUUUUCUACGCUGAUCCUCCCACACAUCCUAUCUUACCCCAACCCCAACCCAUUUGAGCUCUAGAAGCACCCAAAGUCUGUAGACAGAACCUGUUUCUGAUGCUCCAAGACGCUGGUGAGCGUGAGUGAUCGAGAAAGCAGUGGAGAGUGACUAAUCAGAGUCUGGUCGAUGCAAUGGACAAAGUUUCCAGGCAUGCGUCGCAUCGGGGUGGCCACAACCAUGGUGACCAUGGUGCUGGAAUGCCACAGAGCACGCUCUGCGCAACACUAGUGACAGCCGAGCCGCCCUGAGUCAUCAAUCGUUGCCCCCUCCUUGUCGUGAGCGCCGACGAUGCCCCUGGCAGCUGCGUGGCACCUCUCGAAGGUGCUGGGUCGUCGGAGAGCGCCGCCGCUGCUCCCGGCCAAGCUCCACCACAGGACCGAGCUGACGGCUCUGACCACUGUGCUCGUCCGCAAGCUCUUAAUGGCCAGGAGCUAUCCCAUCGCCUCCCUGCCCUCCUCCGUCACCUCAGUGCGCUCCACGACGGCCAGCUCAGCCCCCCGGCGACUGUGUUGGAGCUUAUCUUUGCCGCUUCUGGAGAAAUCCGUCGAGCUCAUCGCCGGCCUAUUUAAGGGAGUGCCCGACCCCUCCGAGCUCUCCACACCCCUCCUGCUUCUCCCAAUUGACCUCCCGGAGAGCGAGCCAAGGCCUAGAGGCCCUCUAGCCUCGAACAUCGCCGGAGCUCCACCGCCUGUAACCUCACCAUCGACAGCACCAUCCACCCCCUCUAGAGCUCAAUAGACCCUACCUUCUGGUUCAGGGAGUCCCACUAGUGCUCCUCGACUCCUUGCCCCGAGUUCUUCCCCGCCGGAACGCCCGUCUCCGAUGACCACCCGAAGCCGCCGCCGCCGGAGAAGAAGGGGACGACGCCGUCUGUCCACCUCUCGCCAAGCUGCGGGUACGUGUGUGCUCAUCGUCGACCGCCCGUUCCAUUCCACCCAAUCCCAGGCGUCGCCUCCGUCUUAGUCACCGGUGACCAUCGCCGAAAGGCCGCCUCGCCUCUGUUCCGCUCCUCCCUCCUCUCUGUUCUCGCGGCAGGCCCCACCCGCGAGUGGCUGUGGUCCGCGGCCAAAGCGGUAAGUGGAGGCGCCCCUCCACUUUACGCCUUCGACGUGGCCCCCUGCCAGAAUUUAAAUUCUUUUAUAAAUUCCAAAUUCAAACAGAAACUUUGACCAUUUAAAUCUUUUUAUUUACAAGUCCAAAUCACUUGAUUCUUUUUGCAUUGAGUUGGUAUUGAGUUUCUCUACAAUCUGGUAAAUUUUGGUAUUUUUCUCAUAGUCAUAGAAUUUCUGGUUAAUAAAGAGAUAUUAAAUGACUUUUCUUUUCUUUUGACUAUUUCAAAUAAAUUUCGGAGGGAAACUUUGGAGAACAAGAGUGUUUGAACAACCCCACUGAUCAAGGCAAGCCAUUAUAUCCAUGUGGUGUAGUAUUGCAUAGCAUAGUAUACUUUCAUGCAUGAUGAUCAUUCACUUGAUAUUAGCAAAUGCUUAGUAAAUUAAUAAUGAUAAUUAUUUAAUUGUUGUCAUAAUUCUCCAAGUUGAUAACAACUUAGUGGUUGACAUAGAGUCACCUGUCCGGGCUUUACCGUACAACCACAUCUUGCCAAUAUGGGACGGUCGUGACUUGAGCUGUUCGCGUGAUCGCUCUCACCGGUACCUCCAAAGAGGGAGGGUUAUGCAUGCGUGCUACCCUGAUCAGGUAGGCGGUGAUAACCCUGUGAGCCCAGUUGAGUAGUUAGGGCCCAUCCCCGGUUGGGACAGUUUAGUUUGGCCACGACGGUGGUAGGUGUCAUGAAGACACAGGGCCACCCAGGGCAAGACUCCAGAGGAGAGUGGUUGCCGGUGGUACGAUGAGAGUGUCACGGUUCAGGCAAGUUUCGUUGGAGCAAUGCUGGUCCACCCGAACGGGAUCACGUGGUCAGUGCUCCAGAGUGUGGGUAAAGUGUGCAACCUCUGCAGAGUGUCAAAUCUAUUCGAAUAGCCGAGUCCACGGUAUUGGACAGCCCGACCAGACCUCAGUAGUUGGUCAACCCUGUUAAAAUUGUUAAUGAUGGAAGAAUUCUUCGUAUGGUUGAAGAUGUUUGGUUAGCAAUCUGGGUGUCAUGAGACAGCCCAGUCCUGAGUAAGUUGAUCCCUGAUAUAGUUCGUUAUAUGUCCAGUGUUGUUAUGCUUUGUUUGCUGCAUUACUUGGUUAUUGUGAGCUUGCGAGUACAUUCCAAGUACUCACCUGGCGUAUCAUGCCAGAUGCAGGAGAAGCCGCGGACGGAGGUCCCGAUGGUUCGUACUAGGAAGUGUCCACAUCAGUGUCCCUGUGUGUGGAGUCGCCGCUAUGUUCCGCUACGCCGUAGAAGUACCUAGUAGUUCCGAGGCCCAUGAUGAUGUCUCAUAAAUAAUGUAGAUACUAUUGCAGCACUGAGGGUGCCUUUGGCCUCGCUAUUAUUGUAAGCUAUGUACGUGACGCUAUCAAUAAAGUCGGCUCAUUUCUGUAUCAAGUUGUUGAGUGUUUCCAGAAGACGUGAUCUCUGGGCUGGAAACACUGGUAAUCCGGUUCUGCGAAUCGGGGUGCCACAUUCGGAGUCCCGGAUGAGAUCCCGGAUGUCACGAGGAGUUAUGGAAUGGUCCGAAGGUAAAUAUUCAUAUAUAGGAAGUGGAGUUUUGAUGACCGGAAGAGUUUCUAAGAUCGUCGGUAUUGUACCGGGACCACCGAAAGGGUUCCGGGGGUCCACCGGGAGGGGCCACCAGCCCCAAGAGGCUACAUGGGCAGAAAGUGGAUGGGAACCAGCCCCUAGGUGGGCUGGUGCGCCACCCACCUAAGGCACAAGGCGCACAAGAGGCUAAGGGGGCCAACCCUAGGGCAUGGAGGGGCUGCCUUGGGCUCCAAGCCCACCCUAGGGUGCUGCCACUCCUCCCAUCUUGGCUGCCGCACCCCCUAGGGUUUCCUUAGGGGUGGCUGGCCCUGCUCCUCCUCCCUCCUAUAUAUAGUGGAGGGUUUUGGGGCUGCAAAGAACACCAUUCCUCUCUCCCUCGGCGCAACCUUUCCUCCACUCCUCCACGUCCUCCGCGGUGCUUGGCGAAGCCCUGCCAGAGAACUGCAUAGCUCCACCGCUACCACGUCGUCGUUCUGCCGGAGCUCUCCCUGAACCUCUCCUCUGUCCUUGCUGGAUCAAGGCAUAGGAGAUGUUACCGGGCUGCACGUGUGUUGAACGUGUAGGCAUCGUUGUUCGGCGCUUAGAUCGGAAUCCACCGCGAUGUUAAUCGCUACGAAUACGACUCCAUCAACCGCAUUCUAGUAACGCUUCAACCUAGCGAUCUUCAAAGGUAUGAAGAUGCUCUACUACAUUGCUCGUUGCUGGUUUCUCCUAGAUAGAUCCUUGUGAAGCGUAGGAAUUUUUUUGAAAUUACUACCUUCCCCAACAAGUGGGCCCCGAGAUACCUCUCUGUCUUACAGAGUGAAAAAUCCCAGUGUUGAUCCAUGCCAACCCAACAGACUCCUUCGGAGAUACCUGUAGAGCACCUUUAUAGUCACACAGUUACAUUGUGACGUUUGGUACACAUAAGGCAUUCCUCCGGUGUCCGGGAGUUGCAUGAUCUCAUGGUCGUAGGAACAGAUACUUGACAUGUAGAAAAGAGUUGCAAUAAACUGACACGAGCACAUGCUACGUUCAUAAUUUCGGUCUUGUCCAUCACAUCAUUCUCCUAAUGAUGUGAUCCCCUUAUCGAACACAUCUCAUGUCUAUGGUUAGGAAACCUUGACCAUAUUUGAUCAACGAGCUAGUCCAUUAGAGGCUCACUAGGGACAAUGUGUUGUCUAUGUAUCCACACAUGUAUUUGAGUUUCCAAUCAAUACAAUUCUAGCAUGGAAAUAUAAUAAUAACUAAUUUAUUAUUGGCUCUAGGGCAUAUUUCCAAGACUAGCCUCACUCACGGUAGAUCUUCAUGAAUUAGGUGAUCUCCUUGCCCUUACAAACAUCUUGGUUCAACUCCACAACACGAAUUAGGAGGCUCCCAAGCGACACCUAUCCCAUCUAGGAGGCACCACCCUCCAAAAGGUAAUAGAUGUGGCAGACCGAUGAACUCCUUGCUCCUGUGGUUGAAAGAUAGUCUCCUCAACACUCAAUCACCGUGUCACAGAUUUGGCAUGGGUAGGAGAGAUUGAUCUUGUGCAAAGCAACAUGGGGAGGCUAGAACUCAAGGUUCAAAUGGUAGGAAUGGAAUAUCUUGAUCUCAACACAAGAGUAAAGUGGCUCUCUCUCAGAAAAAUAAAUCUGUCAAUGAAGUGUGUGUUCUAUGUGCUUCUUGAGCGAAUGAGAGGUAGGUGGAGGGGUAUAUAUAGGAAACACCCAAAAUCCAACCAUUACACCUAAAGUGACAAACUCGGUGACAUCAAAGUUACAAAAUCGAUGGUACCGACUUGCUCAAAAGGGUCAACUUUUGAAUCUCGAUGGAACCUAUAUACACAACUCGGUAGAAUCGAAAAGGUGGCUAACGGUCAGAUGACUCAACUCAGUGACACCGAUGCUCAAACUCGGACAUUCCAAUUUUGUGUAUUGAGGCAACAGAAGGUUGGUCACCCAAACUCGGUAGCACUGAUGCAGAAUCGGUUGUACCGAGAUGGUAGGUUUGGCUAGGGUUCUGUCUUGGAUGAAAGUUGGUAGGGCCGAUUAUGGAAACUUGGUGGCACCGAUUUUGGAUAUUUUUCUUGGGACAGAAGUGUUAUGUGGGAGAAUGUCUUAGUAUUUUUGCUGGCUAUCUCUGAUCACUUGAGCAACCAAUUCAUUUUAAUACCUCAUGCCCUUUUAAUAGUAGUGGCUUUCCUAUGGACUCAAAGUGAUUUCUCACAAAGUGUAAAGUGAAGAGUCUUCUCCUUGAAGCUUGAGCCAAUCUUAUUCCUUCCUUCAUCAAGGGGCUUAUCCUCACAAUCCUAUAGCCAAAGUUCUCUGUGGACUAUACCUGAAAUAUACUAGGUAAAAGUGUUAGCUCAAGAGACAAUGUAUGUUGUCAUGAAUUAUCAAAACCACCAAGGGAGCAUGUGUGCUUUCAACAUGUUUCUCAUGUUCCGGAUGUUUACUCUUGGCCUUUUCAGCGUCAAGGCUCAGUCGAAGGGCUUGCAACUCCUUAUCCACAGCAUCAUCACGACCCCCGAGCCCGCGGGCAGUUUGUCAUCAACAAACACAAGUCAAGCAAAAUACAAAAAUAAUAACUCUAAGACUACACCCGACUAAUCGAGUCAAUGGUAGCCUCGAGGACUACACCCAGUGGGUGGGCUCAGCGUGCCCCCACUAGAAAGAUAAGAGGAGCAACAAAGGGGCUCGUACCCUAUCUACCUUUCUUGAAUCAAAACAAGAACUAUGACUACCGUCGAUUGCUCGAUUCGACAGUAUCCUCGGGGACUGCACCCAGUGCGUGCGCUCAGCGCACCCCCACUAAAAACGGUCACCCAGUGGGUGUGCCUCGGAGGAAACCCACUCAGGACCGAAUUCAGAAACAAAAAUAUAUGUGUGAACGAAAAGGACUCACCCGAAUGUUCUUCGCCACGGUUUCACUAGCAACGUAUGCUUCUUUCAGUCUCGCAACCAUCACUCCCAGUUGAGCCAGAGCCGCCUUGUGUGCCCCCUCUUGGUCCUCCAGGAUAUCGUGCAGAUGGAAGAGGUUGUGAUCCAUAGGAGGAAGUGGCAAGGUGACAGACGGACCAGAUCCAAAUGACACUCCAGCCAAAGUAGCCUCCCGAGCCUCAAGAACCUGAACCUGGGUAGCCCAGGACUCAAUCACUCGUCUGGGGGUUGCAGCUUGCUUGGAUACUUCGCCAACCACUGCAGGACUAACGGGAUCAAGUUCGAUCACAUUUCGUGGCUCUGCACACAUCCACCAACAUUCAAAACGUCAUUUCGUGGUUGGGUCCCAAGUCCCGAAUGGCACAUAAAUAAGCCCAAGGGAGGUGGCGUUGGUAUCCGCCCGCCCUUUGUCAAAGGUCUUUGGUUCCAGAGAAGCGGUCGAUGUAUCAGGCCUACAACAAAGACAACAAGAAAACCAACCAUUACUUGGAAUACCUUGAAAAACAAAGAAAUAAUCACUUGGUAAAAGUAAUUACGCCGAAGCCACUAGCACGUCGACCUUGAUGCGUGGUACAGAGGCCUUCCGAGGUUUCGAGGUCGUGGUUUUGGGAUGUUUGGUAGCUUUCUCUGGUUAUACCUUUGGCUCACUCUAGCCUCGUUUGUAACUGCGGAUCGGCAUAGCCAACACAGUCAGCUUCACCACCUUUGGAGUCCUAGCGCCCCCAAUAUGGACCCAGGGUCCUGGCACGCUUUAGAGCGAGUCUCGAGUGAGACUUCAUCAGACGAAGAAGACUCUGCCUCAUCCCCGUGUUCGUCUCCACUCUCCUCCGUCUCCUCGUCGUCAUCUUCAUCCACUUCAUCUUCCGAGUCUUCGUGGUGAUCAAUGUCACCUGCCACAUCGAUGGGUGAGUGGUCAACCGUCGGGAUGGAACUGACCACCCGUGUAAAAGCCUGUCGAGUGGCGGAGUGAGAAUUACAAAUGAAAAUGACAAGCAACAAGGAAGUUCACUCGGUUCAAGUGCGUAAAGAUUUACCUCAUUCGGAGGAUGCUUUGCUAAGAAAGGAGGCGUCAACCUAGUUCCUCUGGGAUUGUCUCGCACACGUGUUACAGCCUUGAGAUUUUCCUCUAGUUGUUCUGUCCCGAUCUCCUUCGGAUGGACGCGGGUUGGGUCAUCCGAACCGCUAGACAUCCACAUGGGAUGAGCCCUCGCCUGCAGAGGCUGGAUCCUGUGCUGGAAAAAUACUUCCAGAAGGUCCAUCCUAUUGAUGUUCUUCCGCAAGAAAGAAACCAAUGCUAUCACCAGGAUAUCUACGUUCGUCCUCUCUUCCUUCGACACUGUCAAUGAAGGAGCCGACUGAAUUCACUCAGGCGAAUAAGGAGGACGGCUCGGCCUACCCUCACUGACUGGAACAUCCUCGCAAUAGAACCAGGAGUCAUGCCAACCCUUCAGUGAGUCGGGGAAGGACAUAUGAGGAAAACUACUCUUGCCCCUAAGCUGUAUUCCUAAACCCUCGCAGAGUUGCACUACAUGCGCCUUUCCCCCGACUGAGAAGACUUUUUCACUGUCAUCACUCGGCACGUGAACAAUUGCUUGAAUAAUCCCCAGUGCGGGUAGCAUACAAGGAAAUUCUUGCACAAGGAUACGAAAGCAACUAAGUACAAGACAACUUUGGGGGAGAUGAUGAAGUUGCGCGCCGAUAAAGUCAAGGAAAUCGUGGAAGAAUGGAUGCGGGGGCAAGGAGAAACCUCUUCCACAUGGGUGACCAGGAGCACCCGCUCGUGACCCCUCAGUGAAGGCUCUAGCUCGCCUUCAUCCGGCAACCGCCAACUGCCCAGAACCACCAGGCCUUCGCUCUCCAGGUCUAGCAUACGCUCCAUGGAGACUCGGGACGACAUCGAGUCGCCCUGAAUCCAGCCUGGUGGAAGCGUCCCGGCACUCGAAGAAGAAUCACGCGAACCCUUCUUGGCCCGCUCGGCUUUCACAGUCGUGCCUUUCACCAUGCUGCACGGUGGGUCGGGUGAGGUGGGGAAACGACGCAGGUGGCAACCGCAAGGUUCAAGAGAGGGAAUGAGAGCAACUCAGAUCUGGUGACGUGGUUCCUCUACCCCGCUACCUCAGCCAAUUUAUACACUACAGGAAGAUGCCCCAUAGAGUAUUCCUUCAUCACGAGGAAGAUCUACAAGAUCGAGGUGACAACGUUCCUAUAGCAUGCCAACGACGUUUCAAGUGCGGAAAUCGAGGUGUCCCUCCAAUACUUCCACUUCCCAUGUUGUAGCUGAUUCCGCUUCCCCAGCGCACUCCAUCGAUUCAAAAUAUCGUGGAGAAUCCGCUCCCACUGAUGACCCGAAUGGACUCUGUAUCCGUGGCGCAUAAUGAGGUGAGCCGAAUACCCUACCGUUCGUCCUUCCAUGAGACCACAAGCAUUCAAACAACACAAGAAGGCAAUCAGAUUGCCCGCACCAUAGCGCGAGUGGGACCCAUCCUACCUCACCGAUUGGACAAUCGGAGCCCCGAGCUCGUGAUCGUCCGUGUCGUUGAAUUUGCCUUUUCAAAAGGUAUUCAAUUGUUACCGAAUGGAAGCAUACCGACAUGCUCCAGCACUCGAAAUCUUUCACUCUUGAAUCCGCUGAGGUUUACUGAGAGCCCGAGUGACGUAGCCCCAAGCCAUAACCUCGGCGUCCCUGAGACACCGAGGGCACAAGCGAGUGCCUUCCACUCGGCUAGUAAAAUCUCAACUGAUUCGAGGGCUACAUACGGGGUUGUGCAUUAGGGAUAGUCCUACGGACCUGCAUCCCUAGGCCUUCCCAAGACCCUACAUGGACAUCAGCCUCCCAAAAGCCACCUGUGCAGUCUUGACUUCACUCGGACAAGUGUACCUUCACUCAGCCCACAUGGGGUCACUCGGACCAUCUCGUAUCAGUCAGAUGUCCCUCUACACUCGGACUGCAGUAUGGCAUGGGCAACGAAGGGACUGGAACAACUACAAACUUAAAGAAUCACACAAAGUGCAGUGAAAAUGUGUGUUACCAGUAACGCUGAUGUUAGGGUUGCCAUUACUAGUAACUCCCGUAGUUAUUAGCAUUUACUCACCCUUGUAAUGAUAUCCGACUGGUCGUGACACACUCUAUAUAAGCCACCCCCGGGCUCGUGACCAAGGGUUCAACAUUCUGUACUAUCACAUAUUCUACAAGCACACACGAGCCCCCAUGAGACUCCAGACGCAGGGUUGCUACCACUCUCGAGUGGAGCCUGAACUCGUACAUCCGAGCGUAUCCAUUGCGCCCUAGCUAGGCUCCGCCCUCAUUCGUACCCCUGGUAUUAUUGUCUUGAUCAUUCCCACGACACCCCGCGUCCCCGAAUUUGUGCUCCCACAUCGUCUUGGCUCAGAGUUGAAGAGGGAGAAUUCAGAAGUUGAGCAUGACGUUGAUCACGACGGGGAGCUCGAGAUUCCUCUUGGUGGACCACCACUUGAUUUUCUUGAUCAAGGUAGCCACCUCUUCGAGGUUCCCCUAGGUUAUGCCCUUCUCCCUCCAUGAGCUGAGCUUUUUGAGGGGCCCGACUGAAAAGGCUGAGACUUUGCCUUGGCUGGGCGCGAGCUGCUAGGUGAUGUAAAACCACUCGCACUGCCACUCCUUCAUUGUUUCGAUGAAGGUGCCCUUGAACGAGUCAGCGUUUCGUUCUUGUUGACCAUGGCUCCUCCACACUCUGCCAGCUCGGUGCCGUUAGACUUCGGCUUGAUUUCGAAGAUGUUCAGCCAGAGGCAGAAAUGCGGUGCACAACGGAGGAAGGCCUCACAUAUUGUAAUAAAGGAGGCGAGGUGGAGGAUGGAGUUCGGGGCCAUAUGGUGGAAGUCGAUCCCGUAGUAGAACAUCUCUUGCACACGAAGGCGUGCAGCGAGAACCCCAAGCUUAGGAUGACGUGGGGGACAAAUAUUACCCAUUCCCCUGACAUGGGAGUGGGUACUUGCUCGUUGGCGCCAGGAGCUCGGGGUACCGUUGUUGGUUGGGAUGUAUCCGGCCUCGCACAACUCUAGAAUGGUGUCGUCCAUCACGAUAGAACCACCCCAAUGCCCUCCAAGGGUAUCAGCCAUGGCUAGAUGUGGAGACUCAAGUUGAUGGAGGCGAGAUUGUAUGUGAGCGCUGGAGCUCAACGGAACAGCAGGCAAGGGGAGAGAUGAAAGUGUAAUUACUUACGUCGUAUCUUUUACACUCUUAUAGGUUGUUGAAAGGCCAGGCCUCCCCCUUACCGUGCCGAUAAAACGCCACUCCCACAAAGAUGUCGUUAUCCACAUGGGGGGCAAAAUCUUGAUGAUAUCCCUCAUAAAGCGGGAACGGUCUCCAUCUUGAUGGCACUUGCUAGUAGAAAGGAUGUCACGGUCCAUGAUUUGAGGAAGGCACUAACUGCUCAACCUAUCCUCGGGAGUGUCGCUUUGAUAAAGUUGUCAGGGUAAACGACAUUGUUCACACCUACACGUAAAGUUGUCAGGGUAAACGACAUUGUUCACCCCUACACGACCGGCCUUCGAGGCUAAGCGAACCCACCUGUUUGGAUCAAAAAUAGAGCUCGGCUCGAUCUUAUUAUAAGGCACCAUUCUUUUUUAAGGAUGGUUUGGGCAUUUUGAAGUCAUGAAGGGGAACUCGUUUGAAAAGCCAAUGACUUUGCACCCGAAGUUAUCUUCAUCAAGGGAAUCAUCCUCGGCAUAGAAGACCAGUUCGGGGGCUAGUGACGGUGUCAUGGACUAGGGGGUCCUAACCUAGCUGGCCCAGACUCUUUGGGCUGGGCCGAGAAGUCCUCCACCCUCUCAAGAUGGACUUUAGAGAUUGCACGAUGGAACAUGAUCGAGUCUGCAUCUGCCGAAGGCUUAUGUAUGCUCCAAGACUUCUCCUGCCACCUUUACCGUAGGAUACCGACCUUGUAACCCUAGAUACCCUACUCGUCGUGUAUAUACCCCGUGGGGUUUAGCCCGUGGAGGGGCUCCAACACAACAUUACUCAACUAGCCCUAGGGUUAGAACACAUCUCUCGAUCUUGAGGUAGAUCAACUACAUACUCGAUACUUAUCCAUCAAUGUAAACACGAGCAGGGCAUAGGGUUUUACCUCCAUCAAGAGGGCCCAAACCUGGGUAAACAUCGUCUCUUCCGUUCUUGUUAUCACUGAUUCGAGAUCCACAGCUCGAGACCCCCUACCCCGAGGUCUGCUGGUUUUCACACUCACACCUGCCGCUGGAAUGCAAGUGGUUAUUCCUUUGUAUAUGUCUACAAGAGAGAAAAAUUGUGCCACCAAAAUGAACCACAUACUCAUCCUGCAUGUGGUGGUGAUGAGUCAAGGUAGGCAUUCCAACCCACCAUUACCCAAGGAGUAUCUCUCUUAUGCAUGAAAUUGUGGAUGUAUUUGAGUAGAAGGGAUUUGUUUUGAAUUUUUAAAUCCAUAAUUCCAAGGCCACCCUUUUGUUUAGGUCUGCAUAUCAAGUCCUAGGCAGCAAGUGAGUGUGUUUUUGCAUGUCUGUUUGCAAUUUUCUCCAUAGGCAGUGUCUUCUAGCACGAUCAAAUAUCUCAAUUAACUUGAGGGGCAGUUUGAGAACUAACAUAGAAAAUGAAAGUAGAGAAGAUAGAGCAGAAUUGAUUAGUUGCACCCUCUCACCAUAAGAUAGCGAAAUUGCAGUUCACGUUAGUCUCCUCUCGAUGCGUUCGACCAAAGGCAUCAAUUCCCAAAAAGUAGGUUUAGAUGUGCCCAUCAUAGUUCCCAUUCUCAAAAGGUUUUCAAUAAUAUGGUUGAAGAAUAAUUGAGCAAAGUUGACGAUAUAUCUACAAAUAUGGAUAGGCUUGUGUAUGAUGUUGAUAUUGUUGAAAUCAAAGUUUUGCCAUCUAAUAAGGGUAAAUUAUCUAAAUCUUUAAAAGUCAUAUGUGCCUCCAUUGACCAAAGUAAACAAGGAACGGGGAGGAUGAGAUCUAGACGUGAAUUUCUAGAAAAGGCGUUUGCAUCAGAUUUUCAUGAUAGUAGUGAUAAGGGUAUAAAAAUGAUUGAGGUGUCAUCUAUUGAAUCAUUGCCCACUAAUAUAAAAAUUGAUGAUAAAGCAAGUGAAAAUGAGUCAACAUUAAUUAAAGGGCGUCCCAGUGCGGGUGAUGAUCAUAAGGCUAUUAAUAAUGCCAACUAUUCAAAUAUAUCUUAAAGCAUACACCAAAUCUUCAUAGAUUUUCAUCUUGAGUACACCGAGGACGAGAGACUAUGGAGCCCUUAUUUCAAUGAUUGGUGCAUCAUCGACCCGACCCAUAGACGACAGACCGACAUGGUAAGCACCCUUUAAUCCAGGACAUCGUCCGCGUCCACUCCAAGCCGGUUCCAAUGUGAAGCGGCGAUUCUACAACGACAUUAAUGUGGGCAGCUCACGUCGGGCAGGAACGCACGCGAACGAGUGAGGAGGGUUUUGGGUGGCCAGAAUGACAGAAGCAGGUGUGGGUGUUGUCCGGACGUCUGUAAACCCUCUCUAAAUUGUCUUCGGUUUACAAAAAAACAUGUGUGAACCUCUUGGAGGACCGAUACACGUGUUGGAUGGCAUAAAACGCGGUAUGAACGUUUGCGUGCGAUUUGAGGAUGAGCAUUGGAGACGGCCUUAGGUUUUUGUUCCUAUCAGAUGAUUCGUUGUCGAUCGCCUCUUGAGUUUUUUUUAUAUGUCCCAGCUCGUUUCUCUUUCCUUUUUUCCCUCUUGCUGCUGUGCUUUUGUGUAAUCUAUCUAUUAUCAUAUAUUUAAAAUGAUAGAAAACGAGCGGNNNNNNNNNNNNNNNNNNNNNNNNNNNNNNNNNNNNNNNNNNNNNNNNNGUUCAGAUAUAACAAUAAAAAAAGAAGUCAAAACUACAGUUGUGAUUCAUCUCUCACGUUUUAGAAAAAGUGGUGAGUUAAAAUUCCAUCGAUGCAAAAGAAAAGUGUCCAUCUCUAAUACGGCUAUGCACGUGAUAAAAAAAACCUCUAGAGUCCAUAUCACGUGUCAUGUUUUUUUAAGUAUGGCUGCGAUUUGCUGGAAGGUAGUACACAUAAUAGACAUGUCCCACGUUUUAGCAUAAGCAAUGUGUUAAGAGUCUAUCGACGCAAAAUAAUAAUCCUACGCCCAUGAAUCUAUCAAAUGCAUGACCAAAGACAAAAACAAUUGAUAUAUUUUUGAUAAGAACACGCACAAAGAAGCUGAUUGAAUUCCGGCAAGAACCCGCACGACACAACUAAUUGGUCUCCGGCAAGAAUACGCACGGCAUAUGGCUGAUCGAUUUCAGACUAGAUUAUUCACAUGUGCAGCUGAGAACCACACGAACACACAUCCAUUUUUAUCGUAUGUCCUCUGUACAAAGGAUCAACUAAAAUAGACAUGAGCACGCGUACAAUCACAUUAAAGGCCCUAGAGGAACAUAUCCACACACAUGGAUAACGCUCACAUGCUAGUUAUCCAAACAAUAGUAAACAUCGACAGAUUAGAGCAUUGGAAAAUGCCAGAGACAGAUGAAAGGCAUGGCAACAACAGGAUCAUCUUACAGUUGGAAACUAAACUUGUUCCUUGAAUGAAUUUGUUACAAUGUACAACUUAUAUGCACCUGAGAAAGCAACUAACAGCCCGAGAGAAUAGACACGCAGGCCAGGGCGAGUGGGGCGAUUGGAUCCUCCUAAUGUGGAUCAGCUAGACUAAGUACAUACGUACAUACAAUGAUACAAGUAGUAUAUACAUUCUAACACCCCCCUCAGCCGGAACACCAUUUGGAAGGACGUUUAGGCUGGAUCUGAAAUCGAUGAAGACGGUAGUCGGCAGUCCUUUGGUGAAGAUAUCUGCAAACUGCGAGCUCGAUGGAACAUGGAGAACACGUGCUUCACCAAGAGCGACCCGUCCUUUGGUGAAGAUAUCUGCAAACUGCGAGCUCGAUGGAACAUGGAGAACACGUGCUUCACCAAGAGCGACCCGGUCACGAACAAAGUGGAGAUCAAUCUUAAUGUGUUUAGUUCGUUGAUGUUGAACCGGGUUGCAAGCAAGAUAUGAGGCACUCACGUUGUCACAAUAGACAAUAGUGGCACGCUAUGGCGGGAGACGAAGCUCAUGGAGUAACUGGCGGAGCCAACCUGAUUCCGCCACACAAUUUGCAACACCCCUGUACUCAGCUUCAGCGCUAGAACGAGAGAUGGUAGGCUACCUCUUGGAGGACCAGGAGAUGAGAUUGGCACCGAGAAAUACACAAAACCCCGAGGUAGACUUGCGGGUGUCGGGACACCCGACCCAAUCUGCAUCCGUAUAAGCAACAAGAUCCAUCGAGGAGGACUUAUAGAACUGAACGUCGAAGUGAGAAGUGCCCUUGAGAUACCGUAGGAUGCGUUUAACAAGCUGCAUAUGUGUGUCAGGGGAGCAUGCAUAAAAAGGAAAACUUGUUGAACGGCAUAUGCUAUGUCAGAGCGUGUGAGUGUUAGGUAUUGAAGGGCGCCAGCAAGACUGUGAUACUUUGUGGGGUUGGAGAGGAGGUGACCAUCAUGGGAGGACACUUUAGAGCUAGUGUCAAUGGGUGUAGGAACAGGUUUGCAAUUGAGCAUCUGAGCACGCUCAAGGAUUUCAAGAGUGUAUUGCUGCUGGCAAAGAAAGAGACCCAUAUGGUUGGGGGUGACAUUGACACCCAAGAAAUGUUGAAGAGCACCCAAGUCAGUCAUAGAAAAUUCCGACUUUAGAGAGUUGAUGAUGGUGGUAAGAGUGCGUGGGGAAUUUGCGGUGAGGAUGAUAUCAUCAACAUAAACAAGCAAGUAUGCAAUGGAUGUGCCAUGGUGCAAAAUGAAGAGAGAAGAGUCACUCUUGGAUGCAUGAAAACCAAGGGAUAAAAGGAAUGCUUGAAAGCAAAGAAACCAAGUGCGAGGAGCCUGUUUCAAACCGUAUAGAGACUUACGAAGGAGGCACACAUGAUCCGGUUUGGAGGAGUCCACAAAACCGGACGGUUGAGAACAGUACACCGUUUCCUUGAGGUCACCAUGGAAGAAUGUGUUGUUGACAUUGAGUUGGUGAAUUGGCCAAGAGUGAGAGGUGGUGAUGCUCAACACCACACGGAUGGUUGCGGGCUUCACGACGGGACUGAAGGUUUCCCCAUAAUCAACACCCUCUUGUUGGGUGAAACCACGAACAACCCACCGAGCUUUGUAGCGAGCCAAGGUACCAUCGGUGUUAAGCUUGUGGCGAUAUAUCCAUUUGCCCGUGACAACAUUGACACGUGCAGGUUUUGGGCACCAAAGACCAAGUGAAGUUGUUCAUUAAAGCAUAAUACUCAUCUAGCAUAGCUUGUUUCAAUUUAGGGUCUUUGAGGGCAGAUUUGUAGGAGGAUGGGAGAGGUGAUAUGGGGCUGGAGGUGUUAGUGGUAAGAAAUAAGCGCUUGGGCAUGCAAUAGCCGUGUUUGGCAUGGGUGGCCAUGGUGUGAGAGUUGUGUGGUGGUGCAACCGGUAGUGCAUGGGGAGGUAGACGUGGCGCGGGAGGAGUGGAUGGCUCGGCGAUCAGAGAGGAUGUUGUGGGGCCAGGCGAAUUGGUCGGGUCCGAGGAAGUGGAAGUAACUGUUGCGGGAUCCGAGGAGGAUUCGGUGGCAGCGGCAGAGGCGCGUGGGCCGGGCGAAGCUACCGAGGUCGCGACACGUGGCUGUGACGAAGUGGGCGACGCGGGCGCGGUCGCCGAGGCGGGGUUGUCGGGGCGGGACCGAGACAAGGUAGUGGAUGGGGAUCGCGAGGGUGGAGCUGGUGGGGUCCCCGGGUUGGUGGAUUGGCAGGUAGCGAGGUGGAAGGUGGGGUGGGGGCCCAGGGGCGGUAUCGGGAUCCAGAGUAACAGGUGUAGGGGGGACUUUUGCAUGGGGAUUUUCUGUGGUCGUUGGCGUCGCGUGGCCGGAGGUGGGUUGGGUAUAGGGGAAAACGGAUUCGUCAAAGACGACAUGGCGUGAAACAAUGACGCGGCGGUUUGCUAGGUCGUAGCAGCAAUAGCCUUUGUGCUCGAGGGGGUACCCAAGGAAGACACAACGGGUGGAGCGAGGAGAGAGUUUGUUGGACAUGGUGGCGUAGAGGUUUGAGAAACACAAACAACCGAAAACGCGAAGAUGAUCGUACUGUGGGUGCGCACCAUGAAGAAGGUAGUAGGGUGUUAGAGGCAUGGUGGCGCGCGAUGGACAGCGAUUCAGGAGGUAAGUGGCGGUAUGUAAGGCCUCGAACUAAAAGGGAGGAGUAAGAUUGGCUUGAAGAAGAAGGGUGCGCACGAUGUCGUUGGUGGUUCGAAUGAGGCGUCCAGCCUUUCCAUUUUGGGGCGAUGUAUGAGGGCAUGAGAACCGGUAGGCAAUGCCAUUGGAUGAAAAGAAGGAGCGUAAGGAGGUGUUGGGGAACGUCGCAUGGGAAACAAAAAAUUUCCUACGCGCACGAAGACCUAUCAUGGUGAUGUCCAUCUACGAGAGGGGAUGAGUCAUCUACGUACCCUUGUAGAUCGUACAGCAGAAGCGUUAGUGAACGCGGUUGAUAUAGUGGAACGUCCUCAUGUCCCUCGAUCCGCCCCGCGAACAAUCCCGCGACUAGUCCCACGAUCUAGUACCGAACGGACGGCACCUCCGCGUUCAGCACACGUACAGCUUGACGAUGAUCUCGGCCUUCUUGAUCCAGCAAGAGAGACGGAGAGGUAGAAUAGUUCUCCGGCAGCGUGACGGCGCUCCGGAGGUUGGUGAUGACCUUGUCUCGGCAGGGCUCCGCCCGAGCUCCGCAGAAUCGCGAUCUAGAGGAAAAACCGUGGAGGUAUGUGGUCGGGCUGCCGUGGAAAAGUCGUUUUAAAUCAGCCCUAAAACCUCCGUAUAUAUAGGUGGGAGGGAGGGGACCUUGCCUUGGGGCUCAAGGAGCCCCAAGGGGGUCGGCCGAGUCCAAGGGGGAAGGCUCCCCUCCCCAAACCGAGUUGGACUUGGUUUGGUGGGUGGGAGUCCUUCCUUCCCUUCCCACCUCCCUUUUUUUCCUUUUCUCUUUGAUUUUCUUUCCUAGGCGCAUAGGGCCCUUUUGGGCUGUCCCACCAGCCCACUAAGGGCUGGUGCGCCACCCUCAUGGCCUAUGGGCUUCCCCGAGGUGGGUUGCCCCCCCCCCCCCCGGGNNNNNNNNNNNNNNNNNNNNNNNNNNNNNNNNNNNNNNNNNNNNNNNNNNNNNNNNNNNNNNNNNNNNNNNNNNNNNNNNNNNNNNNNNNNNNNNNNNNNNNNNNNNNNNNNNNNNNNNNNNNNNNNNNNNNNNNNNNNNNNNNNNNNNNNNNNNNNNNNNNNNNNNNNNNNNNNNNNNNNNNNNNNNNNNNNNNNNNNNNNNNNNNNNNNNNNNNNNNNNNNNNNNNNNNNNNNNNNNNNACAUUGCUUGCAAGGCUUGUGUGUGAUGUUGUAUUACCGAGUGGGCCCCGAGAUACCUCUCCGUCACACGGAGUGACAAAUCCCAGUCUUGAUCCAUACUAACUCAACUAACACCUUCGGAGAUACGUGCAGAGCAUCUUUAUAGUCACCCAGUUACGUUGCGACGUUUGAUACACACAAAGCAUUCCUCCGAUGUCAGUGAGUUAUAUGAUCUCAUGGUCAUAGGAAUAAAUACUUGACAUGCAGAAAACAGUAGCAACAAAAUGACACGAUCAACAUGCUACGUUCAUUAGUUUGGGUCUAGUCCAUCAAAUGAUUCACUCAAUGAUGUGAUCCAGUUAUCAAGCAACAACACCUUGUUCAUAAUCAGAAGACACUGACUAUCUUUGAUCAACUGGCUAGCCAACUAGAGGCUUGCUAGGGACAGUGUUUUGUCUAUGUAUCCACACAUGUAAAUGACUCUUCAUUCAAUACAAUUAUAGCAUGGAUAAUAAACGAUCAUCUUGAUACAUGAAUUAUAAUAAUAACUAUAUUUAUUAUUGCCUCUAGGGCAUAAUUCCAACAGUCUCCCACUUGCACUAGAGUCAAUAAUCUAGCCCUCACAUCAUCAUGCGAAUUACAUUGUAAUAAAUCUAACACCCAUACAGUUCUGGUGUUGAUCAUGCUUUGGCCGUGGAAGAGGUUUAGUCAGCGGGUCUGCUACAUUCAGAUCUGUGUGCACUUUGCAUAUAUUUACGUCCUCUCCCUCGACGUAGUCGCGGAUGAGGUUGAAGCGUCGUUUGAUGUGUCUGGUCUUCUUGUGAAACCGUGGUUCCUUUGCUAAGGCAAUGGCACCAGUGUUGUCACAGAACAAGGUUAUUGGAUUCAGUGCGCUUGGCACCACUCCAAGAUCCGUCAUGAACUGCUUCAUCCAGACACCCUCCUUAGCCGCCUCCGAGGCAGCCAUGUACUCCGCUUCACAUGUAGAAUCUGCUACGACGCUUUGCUUGGAACUGCACCAGCUUACUGCACCCCCAUUAAGAAUAAAUAUGUAUCCGGUUUGCGACUUAGAGUCGUCCGGAUCUGUGUCAAAGCUUGCAUCGACGUAACCUUUUACGGCGAGCUCUUCGUCCCCUCGAUAUACAAGAAACAUCUCCUUAGUCCUUUUCAGGUACUUCAGGAUAUUCUUGACCGCUGUCCAGUGAUCCACUCCUGGAUUACUCUGGAACCUACCUGCCAUGCUUAUGGCCAGGCUAAUAUCCGGUCUAGUGCACAUCAUUGCAUACAUGAUAGAACCUAUGGCUGAAUCAUAGGGGACGGAGCGCAUAUGCUCUCUAUCCUCAUCAGUUGCUGGGCACUGAGUCUUACUCAAUCUCGUACCUUGUAAAACUGGCAAGAACCCUUUCUUGGACUGUUCCAUUUUGAACCUCUUCAAAACUUUAUCAAGGUAUGUGCUUUGUGAAAGUCCUAUCAGGCGUCUUGAUCUAUCCCUAUAGAUCUUAAUACCUAGAAUGUAAGCAGCUUCUCCUAGGUCCUUCAUAGAGAAACUUUUAUUCAAGUAAUCCUUUAUGCUCUCUAAAAACUCCACGUUGUUUCCAAUCAGCAAUAUGUCAUCCACAUAUAAUAUUAGAAACGCCACAGAGCUCCCACUCACUUUCUUGUAAAUACAAGAUUCUCCAACCACUUGUAUAAACCCAAAUGCUUUGAUCACCUCAUCAAAGCGUUUGUUCCAACUCCGAGAUGCUUGCACCAGUCCAUAAAUGGAUCGCUGGAGCUUGCACACCUUGUUAGCAUUCUUAGGAUCGACAAAACCUUCGGGUUGCAUCAUAUACAAUUCUUCCUUAAGGAAACCGUUAAGGAACGCCGUUUUGACAUCCAUCUGCCAGAUUUCAUAAUCGAAAAAUGCAGCUAUUGCUAACAUGGUUCUGACGGACUUAAGCAUCGCUACGGGUGAGAAAGUCUCAUCGUAGUCAACUCCUUGAACUUGUGAAAAAACCUUUGCCACAAGUCGAGCUUUAUAAACGGUCACAUUGCCGUCAGCGUCCGUCUUCCUCUUAAAAAUCCAUUUGUUCUGAAUAGCCUUGCGGCCCUCAGGUAGUACCUCCAAAGUCCACACUUUGUUCUCAUACAUGGAUCCUAUCUCGGACUUCAUGGCUUCUAGCCAUUUGUUGGAAUCUGGGCCCAACAUUGCUUCUUCAUAAUUUGCAGGUUCAUUGUUGUCCAACAACAUGAUCGAUAAGAUGGGAUUACCGUACCACUCUGGAGCAGCACGUGGUCUCGUCGACCUGCGUGGUUCGACAGAAACUUGAACCGGAGUUUCAUGAUCAUCAUCAUUAACUUCCUCCUCAACCGGCGUCGCAACGACAGAGGUUUCCCCUUGCCCUACGCCACCAUCUAGAGGGAUGAGAGGUUCGACAACCUCGUCAAGUUCUAUUUUCCUCCCACUCAAUUCUCUCGAGAGAAACUCCUUCUCGAGAAAAGCUUCGUUUUUAGCAACAAACACUUUGCCCUCGGAUUUGAGAUAGAAGGUGUACCCAACUGUCUCCUUUGGGUAACCUAUGAAGACGCACUUUUCCGCUUUGGGUUCCAGCUUUUCAGGCUGAAGCUUUUUGACAUAAGCAUCACAUCCCCAAACUUUAAGAAACGACAACUUUGGCCUUUUGCCAUACCACAGUUCGUAAGGUGUCGUCUCAAUGGAUUUUGAUGGUGCCCUAUUUAAAGUGAAUGCAGCUAUUUCUAAUGCAUAACCCAAAAACGAUAACGGCAAAUCAGUAAGACACAUCAUAGAUCGCACCAUCUCUAAUAAAGUACGAUUACGACGUUCGGACACACCAUUACGCUGUGGUGUUCCAGGCGGUGUUAACUGUGAAACAAUUCCACAUCGUCUUAAGUGAGCACCAAACUCGAAACUCAGAUAUUCACCCCCACGAUCAGCCCGUAGGAACUUGAUCUUCUUGUUACGAUGAUUUUCCACUUCACUCUGAAAUUUCUUGAACUUUUCAAAUGUUUCAGACUUGUGCUUCAUCAAGUAGACAUAACCAUAUCUACUCAAAUCGUUAGUGAAGGUGAGAAAAUAACGAUAUCCGCUGCGCGCCUCUACGCUCAUCGGACCACAUACAACGGUAUGUAUGAUUUCCAACAAGUCACUUGCACGCUCCAUAGUUCCGGAGAACGGAGUCUUAGUCAUCUUGCCCAUGAGGUAUGGUUCACACGUGUCAAGUGAAUCAAAGUCAAGUGACUCCAAAAGUCCAUCAGCAUGGAGUUUCUUCAUGCGCUUUACACCAAUAUGACCUAAGCGGCAGUGCCACAAAAAUAUGGCGCUAUCAUUGUUAACUCUAACUCUUUUGGUCUCAAUGUUAUGUAUAUGCGUAUCGCUAUCAAGAUUCAAUAUGAACAAUCCUCUCACAUUAGGUGCAUGACCAUAAAAGAUGUUACUCAUAGAAAUAGAACAACCAUUAUUCUCUGACUUAAAAGAGUAACCGUCUCGCAAUAAACAAGAUCCAGAUAUAAUGUUCAUGCUCAACGCAGGCACUAAAUAACAAUGAUUUAAGUUCAUCACUAAUCCUGAUGGUAACUGAAGUGAAACUGUGCCGACGGCGAUUGCAUCAACCUUGGAACCAUUUCCUACGCGCAUCGUCACUUCAUCUUUCGCCAGCCUUCGUCUAUUCCGCAGUUCCUGUUUCGAGUUGCAAAUAUGAGCAACAGAACCGGUAUCGAAUACCCAGGCACUACUACGAGAGCCGGUUAAGUACACAUCAAUAACAUGUAUAUCAAAUAUACCUGAUUUUUCUUUGGCCGCCUUCUUAUCUUCCAGAUACUUGGGGCAAUUGUGCUUCCAAUGACCCAUACCCUUGCAAUAGUAACACUCCGUUUCAGGCUUAGGUCCAGCUUUGGGUUUCUUCGUCGGAUUGGCAACAGGCUUGCCGCUCUUCUUCGAAUUACCCUUCUUGCCUUUGCCGUUUCUCUUGAAACUAGUGGUCUUAUUCACCAUCAACACUUGAUGUUCUUUACGGAGUUCAGACUCUGCGACUUUCAGCAUCGCAAACAACUCGCCGGGUGACUUGUUCAUCCCUUGCAUGUUGUAGUUAAACACAAAGCCUUUAUAGCUUGGCGGCAGUGAUUGAAGGAUUAUGUCAGUGAUAGCCUCUUGCGGGAGUUCAAUCCCCGGCUCAGCUAGACGGUUUGAGUACCCAGACAUUUUGAGCACAUGUUCACUGACAGAUGAGUUCUCCUCCAUCUUGCAAGCAUUGAAUUUAUCGGAGGUCUCAUACCUCUCGAUCCGGGCGUUCUUCUGAAAGAUAAACUUCAACUCUUGGAACAUAUCAAAUGCUCCAUGACGCUCAAAGAGACGUUGAAGUCCCGGUUCUAAGCCAUACAAGACUGCACAUUGAACUACUGAGUAGUCCUCCUUACGUGCUAACCAAGCGUUCUUAACAUCCUGAUCAGCCGUAGCGGGUGGUUCAUCUCCUAGCGCAGCAUUAAGGACAUAAUCCUUCUUCCCAGCUUGUAAGAUUAUCUUAAGAUUACGAGCCCAGUCUACAAAGUUGCUUCCAUCAUCUUUCAACUUAGCUUUCUCUAGGAACGUAUUAAAAUUCAGGGUGACUGUCGCGUGAGCCAUGAUCUACAACACAAAUAGAUUCAAAGUGGACUUAGACUAUGUUCAAGAUAAUUAGAGUUUAACCGAAUCAAAUUAUUCGCUAAACUCCUACUCAAAAAGUACAUCUCUCUAGUCAUUUGAGUGGUUCAUGAUCCACUUACACUAGCUCAAGUCCGAUCAUCACGUGAGUUGAGUAUAGUUUCAGUGGUAAGCAUCCCUAUGCUAAUCAUAUCAUCUAUAUGAUUCAUGAUCGACCUUUCGGUCUCAUGUGUUCCGAGGCCAUGUCUGCACAUGCUAGGCUCGUCAAGCUUAACCCGAGUGUUCCGCGUGCGCAACUGUUUUGCACCCGUUGUAUGUGAACGUUGAGUCUAUCACACCUGAUCAUCACGUGGUGUCUCGAAACGACGAACUGUAGCAACGGUGCACAGUCGGGGAGAACACAAUUUCGUCUUGAAAUUUUAGUGAGAGAUCACCAUAUAAUUGUACCGUCGUUCUAAGAUGCUAUUACUACUAAAGCUACAUCCUAGCAAAAUAGUAAACGCAUCUGCAAGCACAAACGUUAGUAUAAAGACAACCCUAUGGCUCCUGCCGGUUGCCGUACCAUCGACGUGCAAGUCGAUAUUUUCUAUUACAACAUGAUCAUCUCAUACAUCCAAUAUAUCACAUCACAUCGUUGGUCAUAUCACAUCAAGAAGGAACUUGGUGUGGUUGGUGAUGUGGUCACUAAAAAUGGGGUGGCGAGAGGGGUUCGCCGGCGGUGCGGGUGGUACGGCCGGAGCAGUAGUGAAGGAGAGAGGAGCGAACUGCGAUCCGGAGGAGGCGGAGGUGAUGCCGAACGAAGCCGGGGAGGUCGCCGCAGAGGAGGCCGGGGUAGAACCCGCACCGAGCGCACUGGUCGAGAGGGAGGACGGCAGGGCGACGUCGAUGAGAGCGUCGGAGGAGGAGGAGGAGCCGGCCAUGGGAGCGUCGGAGGAAGGAACCUGUAGCUAUCUGAUACCAAAUUAAAAACUAAACUUGUUCCUUGAAUGAAUUUGUUACAAUGUACAACUUAUAUGCACCUGAGAAAGCAACUAACAGCCCAAAAGAAUAGGCACGCAGGCCAGGGCGAGUAGGGCGAGUGGAUCCUACUAAUGUGGAUCAGCUAGACUAAGUACAUAUGUACACACAAUAAUACAAGUAAUAUAUACAUUCUAACACUUACUGCAUGUAGUCCCCGUGUGCUAGAUGCUUCCAUUCCAACAUGUUUGACAAAUCCAACUUCAUAGGUACAAUGUAAAUAAGCAAUUAUCACUACGACUUCCCCCGCUAAAAAAUAAUUAUGGCUUACAAGAAGUUGAGCGAGGUCACUAAAUCGUUAAGGUGAAAAUUCCACAGAAAAAUUAAGUGUUUAAUUAUUAUAAAUGUACAAUAGUCUAUUAUAUAUAACAAGGUUAUGAAAAAAAAACAUGGGCCAUGCAAUUAAAAAAAGUUCCCAUAGAAAAACAUUCAAUAAAAAUCUAAUACCAAAAGAGAUGAAGGCCAAAAAUAUAGAAAGUCUACGUGUGCAAAAAAUAUUGUAUGUUAAAGUGAUAUUCGAUACUUGAUACUCCAUCCCACAAAAGAAUGUUAUUGAGAACAGAAAAAUAAGUGUUUAAUAUGCACAAUAGUCUGUUCUAUAUAACAAGGUUAUGAAAAAAAUGUGGACCAGGUACUAAAUAAAUAAAUGGUCCCAUGGAAAAUAUUUAAAGUGAAAUCUAAUACCAAAAGAAUUGUAAUGGAAAAAUAAGUAUAUUUGUGCGAAAAAUAUUGUAUGUUCAAGAUAUAUUCGUAUUCUCUAUACUCCAUAUAACUUAGGGCUAUUUAACAUAGGUAGCAGACAUAUCUAUGUCGAAGUAAUAUUCCUUUGAAGCACUCUAUAUUUCUCUUAGAUCGACCAUAAUACAAGUAAUGAAUCAGACCAUAGCGAGCCAUUUUAUUAUAUUUUUCUAAAGGAAAACUAAGACGGACUAACUAAUAUGUAAAUCAGCUGAUGAAAGAGCCGCAUGCGAAGAAAAAUAAAUGCAAGUUCUCUCUUUGAAUCAAUAUUUAUUGUUUUGUAGUAAUGCAUUUCAAAUCUGUGUAGGACUGUAUGUCUUUUUUUUAUCAUUGGUAUAAAUUGUUUUCAUUAUGCAUUUCAAGGAAUUUCAACCACAAUAGAUGGACACGAGUGAAGGUGAGUAAUACAAGUUGCAUAGAUGAAAAAAUUACCAACAAAUUUCUAUACGAGAAUAUUUAGAAAUUUUGUUUCUCUAUAUACAACAUGUUCCUGCAUCACACUCACACACCCUCAUACUACACGUGUCUCAAAAUAUAAAACACUCAUCUCAAAAUAAGUAUGCAAUUGACAAAUGCAACAUCGCCAAGUUACAAAGGGAGGGAUACAAAUGAUACACGCACUUUUUGCGAAAAAUCAAAUGAAUAAUCUAGCCGCGCAAACGCGCGGGCCACCCGCUAUUUCUGAACAAGACAAAAGACCGGCUGUCAUUUCCAUCGAGCGGGACAAGGCUCGGUUUACAAGUUUGAAAUUCCCCACGAACAAGUUGUGAAGGUUUGUGCGUAUGCGUACGCCCGCCCACGGAUUUGCUCGAUCGGCUUGACACCCGUGUCAUCCUUAGCUGUCCGCCUGUCAUCCGGUCGCGGGGGCAAUCAAUGGCCGAAGUUAUCGCCGCUGACAGCACGCACGCGCUACGCCGGCCCGCGGCGGAGGAAAGGAUGCAUGAAUUACUCCUCCUACGUAAGAGUAGAUGCGAGCCGCCGCCUGCACGCGCAAUGUGCCCUUGGUUAAUGCGGCUGUCCUCCGUCCGGUGCGCCGAGCACCCGCACGGUUAACCGAGCACCUACCCCUCCUUGAUUCCGAUUCCACCCAGACGCGAGACGACGCGCAUCACUCGGCCGGCGUACCAACCGAUCUGGAGACUGCAGAACCAACUCAUCACUCCACCGUGCAUCAUGCUCGUCGCCGGCGAGUUAAACGGCGGCGGAUUGCUUCCGAUCGAUCCCAUGGCGUGAACCGCUGGUCGGCGGUAAGCUAACCAACACGAGGAGCGUUGGGUUUUGGUUUGGUGGUCAGAAUGGUCGGUCGAUUUCAGCGCAGGUACGGAGCAACCUGGAUGGGGCCAUCCGCGGCGACGCGAGUUGACGGGUCGAUGAUACGGAGGCGGUGGUGUGCACACUGCAUGCAGCGGCUGUCGGACGGUUUCAGUGGAUGGAUAGUGGGCACGAGGUUGCAGGCCUCGGCCGGACGGACGGGACUAUUCCCCUAGCCGCGCUCAUGUUUCCCUGCGCCCCGGCGGGAAGGGAAGAGAAGAGAAGAGAAGAAGGGACCUUUCACCAAGAUUGUACUUUGAUCAUUGGAUUUUGUACGCCGUAUUAAGACCGAAUAGUCACUUUGGAGCAGGGGCACAUUGCGUCCACUUUUACUACUUGAUACUAUAUGAUAUGAUGUAGGUCAACGAAAAUGCCUUUUGGAGCUCGGUUUUCAUGCAGGACGGUUUUUGAAAAGCUCAAAAUUCAUCGGAAUUCAUAUUUUUACAUUAGAAAAAAACUGAAAAAAUGCGGAUAUACAUGGAGGCAGAACACACGUGCCUCCGAUAUGUGCAAAAAGAUUGUACUCCGUAUUAAGACCGAAUAGUCACUUUGGAGCACGGCCACAUUGCACCCGUUUUUAUCCGAUAUGAUGUACUUUAUCUGAUUUAUCAGUAAAGCCGGUUUGUUUACUAAAAGAAGACAAUGCAUCCGGGCUUUUUUAGGUUCUAAACAAAUUAUUUGUACUGCUCAAAAAUUCCAAUUUUUUGUGUACGUGCAUAUCUAGAAGUGUAGUAUACCUCUGCAAAACUCCAUGAAUCUACAUGCUUAUAUGUGAGAUAUACAGAAAACAUUACAUGAAAAAUGGCUUGUUUUUCCUUGUCUUUUGGGACAUAAUUUUAUCAUUUUUUGUAGCGUAUGAUAUAACUUAUUAUAAUACGAAAAAUAAUUGGUACUUAGAGCACAUCCAUAUCAAUUCGUGUAAAAAAACAACUAUUAUUUAAACCUUUCAGUAAUUUUUUUGCCAUUCAAAGAUACCAGCUCAAUGAAGCACAUGCUCCAAAAAUCCGCUUAAGUGUUUGGACAAAAAAUUGAUAAACAACCACUCUAUCAAACAGUACAAUCCAUCCGCUUUAAAUUGAUAUCACCAGGAUCUUAUUUGAAAUUUAUUUAUCUACAGUUUUUAUUUUGUAUCACAUAAAUCAUAAAUUGGCAAAAUAACCAAUAGUUAACCUACAUAUAAAACUCGCUCAUGUAUACUUUCCUUAAAACUUUUGAAAUUAAAGGGCAUUUCAUUAAAAAUGCGGGGUUCAUCAUUUUAGUAAAACUCCAUAAAACAAUCUAAUUGUAAUCUUAAGGUGCUUCGAUCACGACAGCUAGAGGAGGGUCGUCCCAACAAAUCAAGUUUUUAAAGAUGGAACUUACUUCAAAUCUCAGCAACUUCCUGAACUUAGUAAUCAUGUAUCCGCAAAUCGACGACUACAUAUCAAAUAGACAAUUUUUAAGUAUUAAUCCCUCUGUUCGAUAAUGUAGUGUGUAUAGAUUGUACGAAAAGUCAAACUUAAUAAACCUUGAUCACGUUUGUAGAGAAAAAUACAUACAUCUAGAAUAUCAAAUACAUAUCAUAAGAUAUACUCCCUCCAUCCCAAAAUAAGUGUCUUAACUUUAUAUUAGCUCUAGUACAAAUUUGUACUAAGCUUGAGACAGUUAUUUUGGAAAGGGGGGAGUAUUUUCAUACUAAAUAUAUUUGGUAUUGUAAUUAUAGAUAGUUUUAUUAAUAAACUUAGACAAAGCUUUUGAAGUUUGACUUUUUAAAUACUUUAUAUGACUACAUUAUGGAGUGAAGGUAGUACAAAUGAUAAAUGUCUAUUCACAAAAAAAAAAUAUAACAAAUGUGUUUAUUCAAAUUUCCACUUUUACACUAGUACCAAAAAGAAAAGAAAAUAAAUACAUUUAUCAUCUACAUGCAGGCCAAGUCACCGCUAAUACAAACAGUGCAAAAACACAUUUUUAACUAUAUCUAAUUCACGGCAUGCAUCAUGUGCUCGUCUUCACGGCAUGUUUUCCUGUGCUCGUCUUUCAUUACUGCCGGAGGGGCGCGACUAUAUUGCACAUAUAGCGAGAUAUAGAUCAGCCUUGCGUCAGGCCGCAAUGGGUCGUCCCGGCGCAUGCCACAUUCGUUCAGCGAUUUUUUCUUCCAUUUUCGCAUUAAUUUCUUGUUUUUUUACCUUUGCUUAUAUUCUACUGUAUAAAUCAUAUUAUAAAUAUAUUAUUAUAACCGUUAUAAAAAUCACCUUAUACAAAAAAAAUAAGGUGUUAAUCAUGCAUUUAAGAAAUUAAAAGUGUUAAUCAUGCAUUUAAGAAACGCUAAAUGUGUACACAAAAUUAUUUCUAACGUAUGCAGAAAUUGUACGGUUUGUAUGAAAAAAUAUCCAAAAAAACUAAUAAUAAUGUAUUUGAAAAAAGGUUAAACAUGUAUAUAAACGUGUUUCUGCUAUAUGCAAAAAAAAUAUAAUGUUUUUCAGAAAAACUAGAAAAAAAUGUAAUUCUUUGAAAAACUGUUAAUCGUGUGCUUAAAUAUGUUAAAACUGUAUUUAAAAAUGUUCCUUUUUUAGAACACAAUAUAGACGGAUGCGCUCAUAUAUACGGAUGUACACUCAUCCCUGUGAACACACACGCACAUCCUAUCACUAUGAUCACCUUCAAGAGACUGAGUUGGUGUAUCAUCUUGAGAUUGAUGGAGUCAUCCUAGACCUCUCGUAGUCGACGAAAAUGUCUUCUCGUAGUCUCAUGUACUUGGAGAAAGUAGACAUAAAAAAUAUAAGUUCUAAGAAAUGUUAAUCGGGUAUUUCCAAAAUGCUAAAUGUAUACAAAAAUGUUCCAGAUACGAAAGAUGAAGAAUGUGUAUGAAAAACUAUUGACACCAAAAUAAAUGUUUGGAAAAAGUAUUAAUCAUUGACUAAAAAAAAUGUUCCCCGUGUAUGGAAAAAAUGUUUCAGAUGCAUUCGAAUUUUUUUCAUUUGUUUUAAAAAAUGUUCCUGUUAUAUAUGAAAAUACAAAAAUAAAAACUAUAAAACAGUAAAACCAGUGCAAAAGUACGGAAAUAAUGAAAUACGAUUAAUAAUCCAAGAGAAAAGGAAGGAAACAAUUGAAAAAUUAAGAAAGAAAUGAAGAAAAAGAAUAAAAUAACAAAACCAGUAAGAAAAACGAAAGAACGAUGAAAAGAAGCGAAACAGUAAAGAAAACAGAAAAAAAAUAAUGAAAAAUUAAGAAAGAAAUGAAGGGAAAAAAGAAAACUGAAGGAAAAUAUAUUUUUUGGAAACCGGUCCGAAACCCUCGAAGAACACACGAUCGAGCGACUAGAAUCUAGCAACCGAGAUAAAAGACUGAAAAUGGGAGGCCCAGAAAAGACGGGAAACGGAAAUCCUUUGCGCAAGAUCUGGUUUCAUCUUGCCAGAAGCGAGAUAUAGGUCUGGCAAUGCUGGAGGCCCUUGUGCUUAACAUAUUUUCCAACUUCGGGCGUGGUAGAAUUCGGCCUAAUAAUGGAUGCAUUAUUUGUUUAUUCUACUUGCUCAUCUACACGAACUUGGUCGCUAAUAAAUCUUUAUAAAAGUCUCUUGAGCCGUCCAUCUAAAAAGAUGAAAAAGCCAUGAGCAAUGAACGUCGGGGAUGACCCCCAAGAAGUGCAAACCAUGAAACUACAAAAAACUUCGCCAUAAUGUGUGGAAGGAUUCCAACUCCAUGAAAAACCAAAGCAACAAAAGAACAUGUCACAAUAAAAUAAAUUCAUUAGAACUUGAAUAAUCGACUCUGCCAAGACAUACAACUCUAUGUCUCCAUGGCACUGCCACAAAGAAUCGGAGUAAUUUUAUCUGCAAAAAACCAAGAUGACUUCUUGAUGUUGGCGAAGACUAAAUUUCUUGAAAAUUUGAGGUCCCAACCACCUCCUACCGCUAACAUGGCAUCCUGAGACGAGGGGAAUCCUUGCAGCGGCAGCAAGGGUUUCUAGUAUUCCUUUAUUCGGUUAUAUAUUUUUUUAGAGGUAAAUGCUUUGCUUUAUUGAUCAACAACGCGGAGUUCAGGAAUUACAUGUAAAUUAAAGGGUUGUAGGAGCCACAUAUGACGUCCUUCCCCCAAGUGCAAAGCAUACUUAGCUAAGAGAUGAGCUUCCCUAUUAGAUACUCUCCCUUCAUGAACAAAAGAGAUAAGCCGAAAGUUUGAAAUGCCAUCAUUUACUUCUUCCACUAUCUGGCCUGUAACCCCAUGUGUGCCCGAGUUGAUCUCCCGUACUGCUGUAAGACAGUCCGAAGCCACGACGAUAUGCUGGAGGAGAAGAUCCUGUGCUAGAGCCUGUGCUUACCGGCAUGCCAAUGUUUCCAAGAUGUGAGGAUCGGUAAGCCCAUGAAACACCACUGCCGAUGCACCCAGGUACUUGCCGUGGUCGUCGCGACAAACUGCGCUCACCGCACCAAUAGGGGGGUUUUGUAGACUGCCCCAUCGAUGUUGAUCUUGGCAAACCCCGCCGGUGGUGGUCUCCAACAUGCUGCUGCUGUCCGUGUCGUUCCUGCAUGUGAUAAUAGCCUCUCCGGUCUUGUCCCCUUCAGCUCCUGGAUGAACCUUGUGACAAACGAAAGGGUUGUCGCAGGACUCUGGUGUUCUCCCUCAUGGAUGAGCUUUCUCCGUGCAUACCAUAUAGCCCACAAAGUGACUGUCAUGCGGGUUAGUUCGUCCUGAGAGACAGAUGUAAACAUGCUGAAUAGCCAGGAGCGUGCAGAAGGCUCGGCAGUAGCGAGCAUAUGUUCAACCAGCUGUUGAUCAUGUAAUACCCAUACACAGCGAGCCAUCGUACAUGUAACCAGCGAAUGGAACCAAGAAUCUGCGACGCCACAUACAGCGUAGGACGGUGUCGAUGCCAUGUGCCGGUGGUGGCGCACAUCUGCUGUAGGGAGAGAAGAACAUGCAAGUCUCCAGAGAAACACCUUUAUUUUCGACGGUACUGGUAUGUGCCAUAGUUUGUCCCAACACUUCCUCUCCCUAGUAGUGUCGGCAGGUCCUCCGCGUCCUUCUAGCCAUGCUUCUCUUCGCAAUUUCGUCGUAAUGAGCCUGCGGUAACACGAGCGAAUAGUGAACUGGCCAUUCUUUUCUUGUGACCAGGCCCAAUAGUCCGAGCUUUGUCUGGUAGGAAGGGGUAUGUUUAAGAUCACCUCCGCAUCAAUGGGAAGAAAAGUUGCGCUUAUCACCUCAUGUUUCCACUUAGCAUCCGUGUUAUCAAUUAACUCCGACACCAUCAUAGGUAUGUGGGUUGCCAGGCAUGUUAUUGGACGCAUCGACGCAUCCUUAGGUAACCAGUUCUGGUUCCAUAUGUUAGUUUCUGUGCCAUCUCCAAUUCUCGUGAUCAAAUCAACCUUGAGGGCUUCUCUCCCUUCCAUAAUUGCCCGCCAGAUCUGUGAAGGGUUGUUUCCCAGUUUUGCCUCCAAAAUUCCAGUGGAUGGAAAAUACCGAGCUUUAAGGAUCUUUGACUGAGUGUGUUCGGAGAAGUAAGAAGCCGCCAUGCUUGUCUUGCUAGGAGAGCGAUAUUAGUUCUAUAUCCCUAAACCCGAGUCCACCUUCCUUUGGGCGGGUCAUUACUUCCCAAGAUACCCAGCAGGUUUUCCUUUCUCCAUUCUUACUUCCCCACCAGAACUUACGGAUCACCGAAUUGAUAUGUAGACAAGGACCCCUCGGCAGUUUGAAACAUGCCAUUGAAAAAACAGGGAUUGCUUGCGCAAUAGAUUUAAUCAGCACCUCCUUCCCUGCAGAUGAUAACAUCUUCUCCAUCCAACCUUUAACCUUACUCCAAACCCUAUCCUUUAGAUACUUGAAAGCGCCAUUCUUGCUGCUGCCCACAUCUAUGGGCAAGCCAAGAUACUUUUCGGUUAAGCUUUCAUUCUGGACGUUAAGAAUAGCUUUGAUGGACUCUCUGAUCAUUGGAGUACAUCCUCUGCUGAAAAAAAAAUAGAUGAUUUUGCUUGAUUUACUUUCUGUCCUGAUGCUCUACAAUAGGUUUCCAACAUGGCAGAUAUGGCAGUGGCGUCCUCACAACUUGACUUGAAAAACAGCAGGCAAUCAUCGGCAAAGAGUAAGUGGCUGACCGAAGGGGCCGUUGGCGCCACUUUUAUUCCAUAAGAAGGCGAUGACUCGUUCUGAGAUUUUAGGAGGCACGAAAGGCCCUCUGCUGCUAACAAGAAAAGGUAGGGUGACAAAGGAUCCCCUUGUCGAAUUCCCCUUGUAGGUUUGAAUUGUUCCAACUUCUUCCCAUUGAGCAAUACUAAGAAACUUACUGAGCUCACCAUCUUUAAGAUUGUAGCAAUCCAAUCAGGAGCAAAACCCAGACUUAGCAUCAUGGCUUUAAGAUAAUCCCAUUCCAGGCGAUCAUAAGCUUUCAUCAUGUCUAGUUUCAAAGCGCAAAACCCAUUCUGCUUAGAUUUAUCUCGCUUCAUGAAAUUAAGGCAUUCGUAUGCUGAGAUGAUGUUGUCAGUGAUCAACCUGCCUCCUACAAACGCAGACUGCUCUUCUGAUAUGAUUUCCGGGAGGAUGCUCUUUAAUCUAUUAGCCAAGACUUUGGAGGCUAUUUUAUAAAUAACAUUGCAAAGGCUAAUAGGGCGGAAUUGAGCCAGCAGAGUGGGAUUGUUUACCUUUGGUAGAAGGACCAGGAUAGUCUCAUUUAGGCCAUUAAUUUCCUCCUCCCCUUUCAAUACUUUCAGUAUGAUGUUCGUGAUCUCAUCACCGCAAACGUUCCAGUUGCGCUGAAAAAAAUGGGCGGGAAAACCAUCCGCUCCUGGAGCUUUAGUAGGGGCCAUCUGAAAUAGUGUUGUUUUAAUCUCUUCUUUGGUAUACUCAGAAGUCAGGUGUAGGUUCAUUGCACCCGUCACUCUCCUGGGGACUGUAUUCGUGACAGCUUCCAUAUCUGUUGUGCCCUCUGAGGUAUAUAGGUGGUGAUAAAAAUCAGUUGCCAUAUGCUCCAAUUCCGUUUCACCGCCGACCAGAGACCCAUCCUCUCUUACCAGUGAUUUUAUCCUGUUUUUGCGACGUCUUUUACUGGCUCGCAAAUGAAAGAACUUGGUAUUCUUGUCGUCUGCCGCUAACCAGGAGAUUCGGGAUCGUUGGCGCGACAUGAUUUCCUCUCGACGAUAUAGUUCUGCUAGUCUGUCUUUUAUCUUGAUCUCCCGGUGAGAAGGACCCGUGCGGGCAGGGUCCCCUUGAAGUAGUGUCAAGUCUACAUUUAGUCGCUUAAUCUCGCAGCGGACGUUGCCAAAAGUGUCUUUAUCCCACCUUCGCGGUCCUUUAGACAAAGACUCCAGUUUUGCCUUAAGCUCCUGAACUGUUGUGGCCCUUGGGCCUUGCCAAUGUUGUUGUAUUUACUCCUGAAAACCAUCAUGUGCCUCCCACAUCACCUCGUAUCUGAAUUGUGUGCUGGGAAGAUUGGUGCCAGGGGGGUCACCGUCCAUCUGGAGUAGGAUUGGAUUGUGGUCUGACGUGGCCGCUGUUUUAUGUGACAAGAUUGCCCGCGGGAACAGCGUGCUCCAUUCCCCGUCCGCCAGUGCUCUAUCUAGACGGACACAGGUAUAUGUUCCCCCUGCCACUCGUCUUUCAAUUGUCCAUUUUGUUCCAGAGAAACCAAGAUCAUUCAGACCACAGAUAUCAACUGCAUCUCUAAACCCAUUUACCUGUGUCAGACUGCGAUGGCUCGACCCUUUGUACUCGUCCAGUCGCAAAACCUCGUUAAAAUCACCAAUGCAUAACCAUGGCCAUGUGCUGGCAGAAGACAAUGAUCUCAUGAGAUCCCACGUUAUGUGUCUGUUUUCAACUCGUGCCUCCCCAUAGAUCACCGUUAGCCUCCACUGGGGGGUCCCUCGUACUGUUAUCAGAGAAUCAAUGUGAUAGUCCGAGUAACCAAAAUUCUCAAGCUUUAUUGCAUUGUUCCAUAAAACACCAAGACCUCCACUCCUUCCACAACUACUAACAGCAAAAGAAUUGUCAAAACCUAGUGUACUUGCUAGAUUCUCGACUCGUACUGCAGGGAGUUGAGUCUCGAUCACACAAAACACUAGUGGAGAGAACCGCCUCGCAAGGGUGCGAAGCUCACGAACUGUCUCAGGUCUACCAGCCCCUCGACAGUUCCAACAGAGGAUAUUCAUUGAGCUCGGUGGCGCUCCUCUAAGGAGCCCGCCAUAUCGCUCUGUGUGUCUGUCUUCUUCAGGGGAGACGAGCCCGCUCUAUGCUUCUUCCUAUCCCGAGGUGCCACAUAACCCUGCGGUGGUGGAGGAACCUUCUCAGAUGUCGCCACCACCAUCCCAGCUCCAUCAUUGGCAUAUGAUGUAGUAGACAUAUCCAAUUUCUUUUUUGCUGACGGGACAACCAUCAGCGAUUGUGUUUCCACUCCUUCCUGUAUUUCUUCUCCGUCAUACUAUCUAUCAGGAGUCGUUUUCAUUGGGCUUUCAGCUGUGUCCUCCAGGAUCUCAUUCUCACUUAGAUCAGCCUCGUGUGAGGAGCACUUUCUAGCUGUGGGAGUUGCUCUUGCGUCCCCAGCUGAUCUACGUCCCCGACCGCGGUUCCGAGGUGGAUUAGAGUGACUGGCUUGGCUGUACUGAUAUGACGGUAUAGCUCUCCUUUUCGCUAUCAUCCAGUGGCCAUACUCAAUUUGGUCAGGACCAUGAACACCAUCGCCACAUUCUUCCAGGCUAUGUCCCAUAAUUCCACAUACCUCACAAAAGAAACCAAUUUUCUCGUAUUUAACAGGCAGCAGCAUGGUCUCCUCCCCACUGAUUUUUAACGGAGUGAAACGAACCAAGGGUUCACCAACUUUUAUCUUUGCUCGAACCCGGACAUAGUUCCCUUCAAAAACCCUAGCAGGGUUUAAUUCCACGCUCUUAACCUGCCCGAUCCUCCUUGCUAGCUGAUCGAGCACCCCUUCCCGGCGAUAGAGCUCCGGGGUAUCAUGGAUUUGGGCCCAGACCUAUGUCCGUUCCAGCGCCACCGCAUGUGGUUUUCCCUUCCCGUCAUAUUCCUCCAGCACCACCAUCAAUCCUCUGAAUAUCCAAGGACCUUGAUGCAUCACCCUAUUCCAAUCACCGACACAGAAGACUUGCACGAUGAAGAGAUUAUCAUCCGCUUCACGAAUAGAUGGUUCCUGCGCAAGCCGCCAGAUGAACUUCAUCGUUGUUUUAAAGGAUUCAGCGCUGAACGUAUUGGUCGUGUUUACUUUUGCUACUGCUAGCCAUCGAUUUUCUUGCGUGAAUUGGGCAAUCUCAUCCUCCCCAACCAUUACUGCGUCUAGCUCUGACUCCUUCAGCUUCAUGUUCUUCAUCGCUGACUCCAAGUCGAUCGGCGCUUUACCCCUCCUGUUCCCCGAAGAAGAUCUCGGGUUCGUAGUCGAGGCAGGCGCCAUGCUCUCGAAGCCCCGCCUCCGAUCCGCCGAUCGGUACUGAUUGGUGUAAAGAAACCUCACGACGGCAAGGAGGCCGCCGGAGUAAAAACCCUAAACCCUAGGUGCCGCUAGGGUUAGUCCCCCUUUAUUCGGCUAUAUGAUGAUACUAGGAGAAGCUUUGAGGGCUCUUUUGGAAGACAAACACACGUGACGCCCCAAAUUGGCGACCUUGCUAGUAUGGCCCAUAUUUUUUUUCUUUUUGCGGGAAAAAGAUAUAUUUUCAGAAAAUAGGUUCUUAGAAUUACUUUCAAACAAUUCUAAACAUUUCAAAAACUAUUACGAAAUAUUUGAAAAAUUCUGUUAUAAUUUUUUUUACCGUAUAUUUGAAUAAAAUGUUCAUUAUAACUACAAAGUGUUGACAUAGUUAGAAAAAUACGUCAUGUAUUUCGAAGAUGCAUACAUUCAAAAAUGUUCAUAUAAUUUUAAAAAGUGCUUACGCCUUGAAAAUGCACAUGUAAAUUUGAACUUUGUUAAUGUUUUUAAAAAUGUUUUGUGUACUUUUAAAAGUGCUCUUAUCUUUGAAAACUUUGGUAUAAUUUUUAAAAUUGUUUGUAUGUUUAUUAGAAAUUUACGUUUAUUAAAAGUGAAGAAAUAUAAAGUCAGAAGGAAGGAAAAUAGAAUAAAAAAGAAAAGAAAAAGGGGGAAAUAAAAAGGAAAUUCAUAAGGAAGUUAGAAAAAUAAAAAUAACAAGUAAACCGAGUUAAACUCAACCAAUAAACUGAAUAAAUAUCAAACAAAAAAGAAAAAUAAAAUGCAAGCUAGUCGGCAGUUUGCGUGUACCAUCUCCCUAUGGGUUAUCCCGAAAGAGUGCGUGAGUGCAAACAAGGAUUAUGGGGAGCACCUAUGCCUUGCUUUAAGCCUGAAAACAAAAACUGGAGUUAUUGCACUAGUUCAAAUUUAAUCAACAUCUUACGUGGCGGGAGGGCCCAAAAAACCGCGCCUGGGGGGGGGGGGGGGGGGGGGGGGCCNNNNNNNNNNCCCGGGGGGGGGGGGGGGGGAUGCGGGGCGGUCUCGCCACGCGACGGAGUCGGGAGGGUGCAAGGAUCAACGACGCAUCGGUGAUGGCUUCCUCAUGGGGAAAUUGUGGGAGGGGAUGCCCGUUGUACGUUGGCUGCGUGACGUCGGCGGCGGCGGGUCAGAUCAUAUCUAACCCCGACGGCAAAGGCAUUGGGCCUGGUCUUCGGUUAGAUCCGAUCCGGUCGGUACGAACUUCAUGCGCGGCGGUGAUGAUCGGUGGCCGUCCCGUGCACACGAUGCUAGAUGGAGUGUCCUCGAGCGGGUGAAAAUCCUACUCUUGGCAUGUUGUCAAGGCCGGCGAUGGCGACGUUUUCCUACGUCGUCCCCUUCUUGAAGGCCUUAUCGUGCAGAAGCUCUAGACCCCUAUCCGUUACCUUCGGGGGAAACUCUUGAGGGCGUUAUUUUUGGAGGUGUGCAUAGGCUCAAGGGACCAGUGGACAACAUCUACGGUGGAGUGACGUUUCCUGUGUCACAUCAACGUGGUGAAGUCUCGGCAGGGAGGCACAGGAAAUUCUCGACGAUAGAUGGGUGAUGAUGAAUGCUCGUAUGGAGGAGGCGCUGGUUGCGCCAUGGGGGCGUCGACGGCAGGCCUGACAAGGUCAAUGUGUUAGCACCUGGUCUGAAGAUGGAUUGAUGAAAGACCGCGACGACGACCAAUGAUAGUGCAUCGGACCGGUUUAGGCUAUAGACCCGAUAUGUGGCUUGGUCGGGGCAUCCGGCUUUAGAUCUUAAGCUUUGGUGUGAUGUGUGUUUGGUAUUCGGUUCCGAUAUUCGACACCCCUUUAUCAAUGAAUAGGAGUAGUGAUAGAUGUUGUCAAGAUGAUGGCUUCACGCAUAUUGAUGUAUUACUUUGUAAGGUCUUUGUAAACAAUUAAUAAAAUGGUUACAUGCAUCUAUCAAAUGCAGAGGUCCGGGGUCAUCCUGUUUUUCUAUAAAAAAGCAACAUCUUACAUGGCCUACUAAUAGGUAAGAACUUUUAAAUAUAAUUCAAAAUUAAAAAUGCCUUUUGGAGCUUGGGCUCCAUGGCACCAUUUAUUUUUGAAAAAUAUUAAAUUUAAAAUUUUCUGUCCCAAAAAAUUCUUGAAAAUAUGCAAGUACACAAGGAUGAAAUGUAUAUGCGUGCAAAAUUUCAGGAUUAAAUACCUUAAGAUGUGAUCUGUGCAAAAAUAACAAAUUCAUUGACUUUUGGGAUGAAUAGUAUCAUGUGUUAAAAAGUCACAAAUUUAUCUUUUUUGCACAGACCUUGUUUCAACGUAUUUUGUUGUAAAAACUUGCACACAUGUGUGCUAUACCUUCAUGUAUAUCCGUAUUUUUCAGAUUUUUUGAAAUAAAAAAAUAUGAAUUUUGAUGAAUUUUGGGGUUUUCAAAAACAGGGCUCCAUGGAGCGCGAGCUCCAAAACGCCCUACAUAUUCAAAUUUUGUUAUUUACAUUUGUACAAUUUGUACAUCGGGUUAGAAAACGAAAUCAAAUAUGGGGACAAAUAUAUUUGAUAUAUUUUUUUCAUAGAUGGUAUGUAAAACUAAUAACCAAUUUAUUAAUAAAAUGAAAUAAAUCUAUGUACUAAAAAGAUAAAAUUGCCCAUUUAAAUAUAAAAUGAGCAUAUCUAUUAAAAGAACAUAUCCAUCUCAUAUUUAAAACAUGUUCAUACAAAUAGAAAUCAAAAAUUAAUUAUUAAAAAGAUGUUAUAUUUAGGAAUAGUUCUUCAUAUAUGUUAAAAUAUUGUUUGUGUAAUUUUUAGAAAAUGUUCAUUCAAUUUUGAAAAAGUGUUCACUGGUUUUAUGAGUAUAGAAAGUAAAAAAAGUUAAAGUAAUAGAACACAUAGAAAAUGUUUGAAAAUAUAAUACACAUAUAUUUAAAAAGAACAAAACUGCAAUAAGAAAACCAAAUAGAAAAUAAGAAGCUGAAAAUGAAAAAGGAUCCGAAAAAACAACUAUAAGGAAUAUGUGUGUGUUUACCAAUAAAAUUUUCUGUGUGUGUUUACUAAUAAAAUUUUCUUUUCAAUCUUCCAACCAUUAUUAUUUUUACUUAACAAUAAAUAUUCUUCCCUUGAUACUGAUUAAUCAGUUGUACGACUUCGGUGGUGUUCUUCAGAAAUACAUGAUCAUUCCAACGGUUUUUGGAACGGAUUUCAAAAGUAUAUGUGUAUAUAGCAUAAUGAAAUCUUCCUAGAAACUAUGUGAUGCAUAAAAUAGUCUGCUGUGUGUGGGGUGCAUAGCCAUGGAAAAAUUGUCUCACAUGUUUGAAUGCAUAGUACAUGUAUGCCAUUUCUUGAGAUAAAUGCAUACUACAGGCUUUUUUAGAGAUAAUACAUAGUACAUAUUUUUAUAUAGAAAAAUACAUAAGUCCGAAUAUCAUAUAACUCUGAUAGGUCCAAUCCUGAUUAUGUUGGAACCAGAUAAGUCAAAAUCAUAUUCUACGCUUAUUUUGUAGAGUUUCUCAGAAGAGCUUAUUAUUUCUUUUUAAGGUUCAUUGUGUAUAUAUGGUUCAUGUAAAAUUGCGUACUGAACCGUAACUAGCAACUUAGUAUGUUGUUGAGCAAGCGCCAUAAUGAUCAUCAACACAUGAAUCUCAGUCUCCAAUGCCUCAUUGCAACCGAAUAAGAACCAAUAUGCUGAAAAGAUAACUCAGUCGUUAUGUCUUUGCAGAAUCAUCCAAACCACUAUUGUGCCAUCUUCCUCCAAGAAUAACCCAUCAACAGAUAGUGCAGUCAUAUUAGGUGGAGGUGCAGGCCAUUGUAGCACUUGAGGCGAACGGUCAGGCUUCGGACAACCUGUCUCUCGCGUCACUCAAGCUUAAGGGGCAGGACGCCAUUGGCUCCAUAGCCUGUGUUAUAGCAUAUUUCUUCAUAUGCGGUUUCGGUAAUUGAUGACAAUCCCUAUGGACUAAUGGUUUCCUUAAGUUAUAUUCGAAGGAUUUGUCCAUAGGCACUUCUUGAAGUCCAUCUGUUGGUUUCAAGGAAUUUAUAUGAUGACGAAGGUGGUAUUCAAAGUAUUAUCCAAAGAUUGAUCAUAAAGACACAAGGUUGAUCAAGACUAAGCAGAGAGUAAAUCAAGAUGAUCAACACACAAAGCGUACAAGAUGUACCAAGAAGGAUCAAGUGAUCCCAUAGUAUGGUAAGCAUUGUCCAUAACGCUUUUGUGUACUAACCCAUGUCUUCGUGAGAGUUCUAUGUGGGGUUAGGUGUGUUUCCAUGGGUUUGCGUCAAGAGAAAAAUCUCAUUCAACCUAUGAAGGAUGACAUCAAGUGGUGAUCGUCAUCAAGAUUGCGGUGUGCAAGUUCAGGUGGAGCAUCACGAAGAUAUCAUGCUUGAAGCUUGCCGUCCAUUGUGGUGGCAAUGAACUUGUGAAGAAUGUGCUGAAGAGUGGUUCACCCAUAGUGAGUAUGGGGGAUCAAUCAAGAAAGGUGGUCCAUCUUGAGGAAGCCAAGAUCAUCAUCAUCUAGCUCAAGAGGACUAGGUGCAACGUAUAGGUUUGCCCUUGAUAGGUUUUUCUAUUGUAGGAUAGUUUGCCGUACUUUCGAGGGGGCUCUCAAGUGAGUAGCUUGAUCGUAUUGUUCAUUGAGAGCUCAAACCAUUUGCAUUCUUGCAUCAUAUCUUGGUUCUUGUUUGGUGUUUCUCCUUGUGAGUUUUAGAUCUUACGGUCAUCUUCAUGACAAACUCGAGUUCAUCAAAAACGGAGUCCAUAUGCAUCUUCUAUGAUGUUUUUUAUGUUGGAAGUUUUUGCAGGUUCUUCAUUCAUAGAGGUCUCACAUCUCUAUAUCAUUGGCAUUCUCAUAACUGCAUGUUCUUAUAGGUUGUUGUUGGACAACUCUUCAUUCAUAGAGGUCGCUGUUGGAAGUUUUUGCCGGUUCUUCAUUCAUAGAGGUUGACGUUGGAUAUCUCUUAUCGUCGUGAAUUCAACAAGCUUGAGUUUGCUUGAUUCAGAGUUCGUAUGCGAAAGUUAUAGCAGUUUCAGUAUCCAGCGGUAGUACCGCUCCUGGUGCGAGCAGUAGUACCACUCCUGGAGUGGUAGUAGUUUUUUGCUACCGCUCCCGGGCGGUAGUACCACUCCCUCAGACGUUCUGGCAGCGGUAGUACCGCUCCUAGCAGCGGUAGUACCGCUCCGGUCGGGCUGUGAGUGGGGAUAACGGUUGGAUUCUUUCCCCCACUAUAUAAAGGAGGUCUUCUUCCCCAUUUGAGCUUAUCUAUGCGUUGAGCUCGUGUUCUUCCCCCAUUGUUGACCUUCUUAGAGCUUGCUAACUCUCAAUCCCUACAAUGAUUCUUGCUAGUUCUUGAGGGAAAAGAGAGAUGACAUCUAGAUCCACAUCUCCAACAAUCACUUUCUCCUCUUUGUGAGGGGAACCCCUUGGAUCUUGAUCUUGGACUUGUUUGUGAGCUCCUUGUUCUUACUCUCAUAUUUCUCCAUAGCUUUUGUUUUGUGGAGGGAUUUGAGUGUGAGGUACUUGACCACUUCGUGUGUUCUUUCCAUUGCAUUAGUUGAAUCGGUUUGAGUUCUCCACGGUGAUACGUGGAAGUGAGAAGUUGAGAAGCUUAUAACCCUUGGGGUACUUGGUACCCCUAGAAGGUUGGUGGUGUCUCGGAGUUCAAUCAUUGUGGUGUAAAGCUCUGGGCAAGCGUUGGGGUCUCCAAUUAAGUUGUGGAGAUUGCCCCGAGCAUUUUUGGUCACCUCGAAGCCAUAUGCCAUUGUGCUAAAGCUUCGUGGUGUUGUUGGGAGCCUCCAAUUAAGUUGUGGAGAUUGCCCCAACCUUGUUUGUAUGGGUUCGGUGACCGCCCUCAAGGGUCCCUUAGUGGAAUCACGACAUCUUGCAUUGUGCGAGGGCAUGAGGAGAUUACGGUGGCCUUAGUGGCAUCUUGGGGAGCAUUGUGCCUCCACACCGCUCCAAACGAAGAUUAGCAUCCGCAAGGGUGUGAACUUCGGGAUACAUCGUCGUCUCCGCAUGCCUCAGUUAUCUCUUACCCGAACCCUUAACUUAUGCACUUUAUUUUGUGACAGCCAUAUUGUUUCUUGUCAUAUAUAUUGCUAUCAUUUAGUUGUUUAUCUUGCUUAGCAUAAGUUGUUGGUACACAUAGGUGAGCCUAGCUGUUUUAGGUUUUGUGCUUGACAAAUUAAACAUAAGUUUUAUUCCGCAUUUGUUCAAGCCUAAACAGUAAUUAUUUUAAAGCGCCAAUUCAUUCUCCCUCUAGGCGACAUCCACGUCCUUUCACCUGCCCAGAAGUUCUACCGGAAUCUGGGAAGAGCCGGAGAAUGCUUUUAGGUCCAAUUUUCAAGGCACCUACAUUCGGCCCCCGGAUGCCAAUGACCUCAGCCAUGCCAUCCAAAAGGACGGAGAAUCGGCUCAAAAAUUUCAAUAAUAGGUUCUUAACUAAAAAGAACCAAAGUGUUGACUCCCUCGAUGCCAAGGCCAUUGCAACAUUCGGGCAUAGCAUCCGGAACGAAUGGUUAGCCCGAUAGCUCAGACAUGAGAAGACGAGGACCAUGUCGGCCCUCACAACAUUAAUGAAUAGUUUUUGCACGGGAGAGGACAACUGGCUUGCACGCAGCUCCUAGAGGAGCAACCCUGGUACAUCGGAAGUCCGAGAUGAGUACGGAAAGCCUAGGCGCAAUAAGCACAUGUGUCAAAACAAGAAAAACGACAGUGACGCCGAGGACCCAACACUUCACGCAGGAUUCACGAGCUCAUGGGCUGGACCCAAAAAUAAAUCCUUCAAAGGAAUCAAGGAUGGCUCAAGUGCCCUAGAAAAAAAAUACUCGAAAAGGCUUGCCAGAUCCAUGACAUCCCGGAUAAACACGCCAACCACACCAAUCGAAACUGUUGGGUGUUCACACAGCUUGGCAAGGUUGUGGCCUUCGUUCCGGGUAUCACUCCCUUGAACGUGGUUUUGCUCGGUAGGAUUUGUGAUGGUGGAAGCAGUCAGAACGUGAUAUAUGCGGAUACGGUAAGGAAGAUGAGGAUUGACCCAUCACAAAUCCUACCCAGCAAAACCACGUUAAAGGGAGUGAUACCCGGAAUGGAGGCCCGGUGCAUGGGCUCUAUUGUACUACAAGUUGUUUUCGGCUCCCCCGACAACUUUCACUAGCAAAACUUGAUUUUCGAUAUAAUCCCCUUUCAUAGUGGCUACCACACAUUGCUUAAUCAUAAUGCCUAGUUGCACAAAAUGUAUGAACAAUUAUAUUUCGGAAAAAAGUAUAACACAAGAUAAGAGGCGGAGCCGACGUCGAGCCAAGCGUCCCAACUCUAUAUCGUGAAUAAUACACGCGAGCGCACGCACUACAUAUGGUAUGGAUUCCUCUUUAUCACUCCAUCUAGGUGAUAAAUGGGAUCUCCACUUAUACUCACCACACCUAUCACCCUCCGAGGUGGGACAAAACAAUUCUUGCAUGACUUGUGUGUACGUCUCCUGAGUAUAUGCAUGCUGCCAAGCAAGGAACUAUCACUAAUGCUUCCACCAAUUUUGUUGCACAUAAUGCAUAUGGACCUGUUGGUGAAGGCAUGUUGGACUGUAGUCCGACGAAUUAACUCAAUUUUAAGUCCCUCCUAAAAAAACUGAAUCUUAUGUUAUUUAGUUAUUCAUCACCUCAUGACAUGAUUAAUUUUAUAGGUAUAUUCUGUUGUUGUUUUUCAAAAUUCAGUAUGAGCUUUUUUCUUAUUUGACAACCCUUAGUUGCGCAAUUGUUUUGCCCUUUUUGAAAUCAAGGUUUGUUUUCUACAAAUUAAAACAUAAAACUAAAGUCAUAAUGUACAUAAUAUUGAUAUUGAAUCAUGUGUCGAUGAUUUGUUUGGAAACGUUUUGUCAUUUUUAAGUGGCUCUAAGAUCUUGGUUAGCAGUCUUUAAAUGCUUGAUGAACAACUACAAAUGGUGAUGAAUUGAAUGAAAUUUAGUGAAAUACACUUUGUUGUUGAUUACUUGGAACAUUGAUACAUAGAUAAGCAAAAACCUAGUGGUUGGUAAUUGGAACCACAAGUUAUAAAUUGCAAGUCUAAUAGAACUCACCUACUCAUGGUGUGGUAAUCUCGUGAUUUUUUAGGGAAAGUGCUACACAUUGAUACAUAGAUAGCCAGGAAAAAAUGAUCAAUGUGCCAAAGGUACUUAUUCUCAACAUUAACAUCUUUUGUACACUUGGUUGUGCAUACAUAGUGUAUCUCAUGUAUACAAGAGGGACAUUGAUAGGCAUGUAUUAACAAGACAACCAACAAAUCAAGCAAGAUUGGACUUGUUCAAAAUCACAACUUUGAUCAUGAAAAGUGAAGGUCCCAACAUUACAAAUUCUUAUUUUCAUCUACAGGCAAUUGAUUUCUCACAGACCCAAACAUGUCACUCAAAGUGUUCAUCCAAUACUGGAGGUCAAGUCACGAGAGGGUGCACGGGCCUAGCCACCACCAAGUUCUUCAUCUUGGUGCCGAACUGCACCAUCAGCAAUAUAGUGCUGCUGCAGGACACACAUAUGGAACCAUCUCAUAUAUUCAUGGGAAAAACUCUACUCAUACUUGAAAUAAAAUCUUGAAUAAAAAAUCGGUGUCGGGCCGCCGUGGCUACGACCUCGAUGUCACACACGCUUUCGGUUUCCCCGCUGCCGCAACAGGUCGUGCUCCAUCACCGCCGCCACACCCACGCGCAAAACCUCGCGUCUGGUAGUUCUUCCUUGAAUCCUUCUCCAUCACCUAAAUUGCAAGUAUGAACUAGCUGCAAGAUCACUAUGGUGGCGGAGAUGGCUAUGGAGAUGAAAAUGGCGGCGGCUAGGGUUUGUGGAUGAAAAUGAUGGUGAGGUUCUGCCUUCUGUGCUUGUUCGUCGUCCUUCUGUUGACAUUUUGAUGGGAUCCCCUUUAUAAAUGUUUUGAUGAGAUUUUGAGCCAAACAGGCGCUCAUGUGAGCGCUUGUGCAUGUAUGGAACAUCUUCUUUUGCUUUGUCUUUGCAGAAACACAUCUUGUUGAUUCUUUCUCCCUCCAUUUUCCUUCCUUUCCAUUUCCACACGUGAUUUCUUCCCAUUUUUAACCCAUUUCCCAUGGGAAAACAUCAAAGAGACGAUUUAUGUAAUCCAUUGUAUUCAUUAGUCAUUAGUAGCAAUAUUGAAGCAAAUAUCUCUUUUUAAUUGAAUUAUCUCAGUUUAAACAAAGGUGAAAUGAGUGUAAAAAUAUCACUCAUCACAAACUCGUUUGAAUGGGGGUGAAUAUUGAGGCGUUCUCUCAUGAAUAAUACCAUGUUCCGCAAACAAAGAAUCAAACUCAUUAGAGAAGUACUUUCCACCAAGAUCUGACUGGACUCAUUUAAUUUAAUUUUCAAGUUGGUUCUCAACUUCUGCCUUAUAGAUAUUGAAGUAGUGUAGAGCCUCAUCUUUAGUAUUUAACAUAUACAUAUAGCAAUACUGGUGGAAUCAUAUGUUUGUAGGAGAUAUGCCCUAGAGGCAAUAAAUAAUUAUUAUUUUGCAUCUCCAAGUUUGUAAUGAAUGUUUAUGUUCCAUGCUAUAACUGCAAUGAUUCCCAAGUGUACAAUAACCACGAGGCUCAGAGGGAAACUCAUGUGCACGUGUGGUAUAACAAACGGUAAAAUGUAUUCCUAGUUAUGCAUCUAAGACUAGCUCAAGUAUUGCAUGAUGAUCUUGUUUUGCUGGUCAUGGGCAAGAAUGUGCCGACAAUUUUGGGGGCACAAUGUUAGAAGAACAUUUGUGUUGAAUCGGCCCGAAUUGAUGUUAUGCUACGAGAUACAUUCAUCACAAGUAAAUGGUUUAUAACACACAGAAAGUUAACACUUGCAUAAUUCCUUAGACCAUGAGAGUAUCGAGUUCCUUUGUACUUGCUUCGUAAACUUUGGGGUUUGUUAAACGUCAUCUGUAACAGGGUGGCUAUUAUGGUUGCUUAUGGUUUCAAGAAAAAGUAUGACAAGUAACUUGGUAGCUCAAUAUUGGGAUUUUAUCCUCUCACAAUGGAGAUAUAUUCUUAGAGCAACUCCAAUGGGGUGAGACAUUUCGUUCGUUGCCGUCCGUUUGGGUUCGCGCGGACAAAAAGUUGGCCCAAUGCGCCGACCCAAAUGGACACGCGUCCGCUUUUUGUCCGCGUGCCGACCCAUUCCCGGUCCAAUUUUGAGCCUGAUUCACGUCGACGCGGACACGAAGUGGACGAGCGGGACGCACGCCUACUCCCCUCCGUGGUCCGCCAGUCGACUACAAAGCGACCACAUUUUCCUUCCACUUCCCCUAAACCCUCCCGCUUGAUCCAGCGCCCACUCCCACCGCCAUGGACGAUGACCUCGAGGCCACUGCCGGCCUCGCCUCCCUCGCCUCGUCCAGCGCCUCCCUCACAGGCACAGGCAAGCCCUGUGCCCCCCCCCCCCCCCCCCCCCCACCCCCCCCCCCCCCCCCCCCCCCGCAAAGACCGUCGCUCCGCCCAAGAAGAAGAAGAAGGAGUUGACGCCCGAGGAACAGGCCAUGGAGUCGGCCAAGAGGAAGGGCCGGAGGCAUGCGCAGGAUGCAAGGGGCGAGGCAGCUGCCGCCGCUGCCGCGCAACAGGAAGACACCAAUGCCUGGGUGAAGAAGGCAAUAAGGGAGACCUUGUUGUACCUAGGGGCAAACCCUAGCCAGAACGGGCUUGUCAACGACGCCGUUGCCGCGAUCGCGGCCAGCACAGGCUCGUCAGCAUAUCCUCGGAUGAUGCUGACGGUGUCGCCGUGUACGUUCUCCACGUAGCCGAUUCCUGGCUUCCACGUCUACCCGCAAGGCAACCGCUUCUCCGGGGAAUGCUUGCCGAAGGUGAGCAUUCUGGCCUCUUCCACGCCCGCGUCGGUGACCAUCAACCUCAACGCCUCGCCUGUGUUAGGCGGAUCAUCGUCCGGAGGCACGAGGAAAUGCGAUUGCGAGAUGCCAGCCGACAUGCCCAUCGGCGCCCGUAGUCUAUUUGAUGGAAUGCCUGCGGCCGUCGACGAUCACACAACAAACCGUUUCCUCGAGAACAUGAUCUUCAAAGGCGGUGCACCGAUGACUGGUGGUUACUCUACGGCUUCCUAUGAUCCCUAUGAGACCCAAAGCCACGACAGCCGAGCGCCAUUCAUGCAAGCCACCAAUGAUCCACAUGGCAUGCACGACGCCUUCAUGCAAGAUCAGGUCGGCCUAGACGGAUUACCGCUCGACCAUGAGUUCCCAAAGGACUACGGCCUCGAGGAGGAGGAUGAUGACAUGGACAUUGAUGGGGAGCCUCUGUUCGAGGAGGAGCUCGCCAACCAAACUGUUGUUGGCGCGAAGCCGAAGCGCAAGAGCAAGUGGACAAAGGCAUACAUGCUGGUCGAGGAAAAGCUCCUUUAUGAGUGCUGGAGGGACAUUGGGCAAGACCCGAAGGUCGACGCCGAACAAAAGUAUUCAGCCUUAUGGACUCGUGUCCAUCGUGAGUUCCAUGAGAGCAAGAAUUUUACCCCAUACCAAAUGCAAAGCAAGCAUGGAUGGGUGUCACUUUCAAAGUGUUGGAGGGUGAUUCAACAAGAGUGCAACAAGUUUUGUGCCACCUAUGAGAGCAUCAAGGCAUGCCCCGUGAGCGUCCUUGGCAUGCAAGACAUGGUAUGCAUGCCCUCUCAUUCCCUUUUGGUGCCACACAUUUUCCCAUUGAUUGCAUGUCCAUUUUCCCACAUAUGCUUGCUUGGUUUAAAUUGUAGGUGUUCCAAGCUUUGGAGGCAUUCAAGGUUCAACACGACGGCAAGGCCUUCCAUCUCUACCAUUGUUGAACUAUCAUCAGCGAGGAGGAGAAGUUCAAGCCGCAAUAUGCCGCCCUCUUGGCGCGUGGGGGGAAAGAAGUUGUGGAGGACCAUGGUGAUGGCGAUAAGGCCUGACUGUGGGGGAAGACCAACUCGAAGAAGGAGGACAAGCAGGACGCAACGUCGAUCGCCUUGCUUGAAAAAGUGGAGGGCAUGAUAAGCAAGAAGGACUUGAGGGAGUAGAAGCGCCGACAAGAAAAGUAAGAGCAUAUGAACGCCUUCGUGGAAAUCCAAAAAGGAGGGUCUCGAGAUGGACGUGAAGAAGCAAGCCAAGAUGCUUGAGUUGGAGGAGGAAAAACAACCCAAGAUGCUCGAGAUCGAGGCCGCCAAUGACAAGACCAAGGCGAAAUAAGUGGCCCUCGCAAGAAUGAAUACGGGUGUGGAGAUCAUGAAGGUUGAUCUAAACACCGUGUCGUCGAGGAAGAGGUUAUGGUUCAAAAAGAUGCAGGCCAAAAUGCUCAAGUUAGACCAGCUGCGGUCUGCGAUGGAGAUCACAGUCCUUUUUUAUGCCGACAAGUGUGCUAGCAUGACCACGGGCCGACAUGGUAGGGUUGAAUUCCCGCCCCUUUUGGUGUGUUGGCAUGUGUGCCGGCUGGUGGGAAGUGUGCCGGCAUGAACUGUGUGGUGGUUAUUUGUAGGUUGGCAAUGUAUGUCGGCCGCUCGCAUGGUGCCGGCAUGAACUCUUGGCCAUUGGCAAGAUCUAUGGUCGGGGGCCUUUUUAAUCUAAAUGUGCGGACAUUAAAUGGGUCGCCCAUGUUGGACGCACGGUGAUACGUCCCAAACGUAUCUAUAAUUUCUGCUUGCUCCAUGAUCUUUUGGGUGACAUUGUUAUAUGUUUUGCUACACUUUUAUAUCUUUUUACACAUAUUUGGACUAACCUACUAACUCAGUGCACCUAGUGUCAAUUUCUACCCGUUGAUGUCUUUUUUUGCAGGGGCUUUUACCCAAAUUUCCAGAACCACAAAAAAACCCGAGAAAAAUAUAUAAAAAUCAGCGUUACGGAAGCUUCCGGAGCAUCGAAGAUGGGCCAGAGGGGAGCCACGGGCUGCCCAGGAGGCCUCCCAACGCGGCCUAGCCCCUGGUCGCGCCCAUAGGUCGCCUCGGUGGGCCCCACCUCCUCUGACGCCCUCCUUUGGCCUAUAUUUACCCUUCCGAUCGGAAACCCUUCCAUCAUAUCCAGAAUCACGAAUUUCUCCAUCGUUCCGCCGCCGUAGCGCUUCCGCGAUCGGGAGCGUCAGGAGACCUCUUCCCGGCACCCUGCCAGAGGGAGGAUUGACCUCCGGGAGAUUCUCCACCGCCAUGGACGCUUCCCGUACAUGCCGUGACUAGUCCUCCUUGGACCAUGAGUCCAUGACCAUUAGCUAUGUGAUGUCUUCUCUCCAAUCUUGUGCUUCAAUGAUUAGCCCUUGUGAGCUGCCCUACAUGAUCAAGGCAUCUAUGUAAUUUUCCUGCUAUUGCUAUGCUCGGUUUGCUGGGAUCUGAUGGAUUAUGAGAUUAUGUUCAGAUUGUGAUGAGUUAUAUAUUUGAUUAUCCUGUUAUGUUAUGUUCUUUAGUGAUUCAUGCAUGUUCUCCGUUGCUCUUUAUUGUUGUGGCCGAGUAGUAGAUUGCAACUCCAAGAGAGAGCAUUAUGGAUGAUUGUGGGUUCAUGCCCCCUGAUGUCUAUCUUGAGUGACAGAAACAUGAGACUAGGGGAUGUGCUAUUGCCACCAGGGAGAAAACAAUGGUGCUUGUGACCACGGUUGCAAGGAUUGUUUACCUUACACAUAGUUCGUUAAUGCAGUUGUCCAUUGCUUUGAGUUUACGCUUUGGCUGGGGCUCGCAACUUAAUACCAGCAAGAUGUUCUGGAUAGAUACUCAAGGUGGAUGAUUAGUAAGUAGAUGUUGAUGAAUAAACGGUCUUUUUGUCUUGGCGUAGUGCCCAUUACUAUUGAGCAUUUAACUUUCAAGUAGCGUAAUUAGCAUUGCGGUGCUUUUAUAAUUCUGUCAAUUGCCCAUUUGUAAUUUGUUUACCCAAGCAUAGUUGUUUAUCGUCUUUCAGGAGAGAGACAUCACUAGUGAACAUCAUGUGACUCAGGUCCAUAUCACCACCAUUGCUUACACCCCCAUCAUUUACUGCUUUCAUUUACUUUUCCAUUGCAAUCACUAUCACUAUUCCCGCUUGUGUUUUGAUCCUUUCCAAACUACAAGGCAAGAGAGAUUGACAACCUAUCUGUACUCGUUGGGAGCAAAGUUAUUUGUUAUGUGUGCAGGUCCACGUCUUCUGCUAGCUCCAGAGCAGCGGACACCUACUUGUUGAUCCUCGGAGUCCUCCUGGUACGAUAAACCUUACAGUCCCCGUGUAAGGGAAAAUUGCUGCUGACUACAUCUCCACCUUCCACUUGGGGUAACCAACGAGGGGCGAGAAGUAUAUUCGUUGACUUGUCAUCAAUCAAGUUUGUGGCGCCGUUGCCGGGGACUCCAGUCUUCAAGAUAGGGGAGUUGCACACUAUCUUUUACCUUUUCUUUUUAGCCUUGUUAGUUUACUUUCUAGUUUUUGCUUUAGAGUCUUAUACCAAAAACCACAAAAAAAUAGUUGCUUUGUUCUUGCUUGUUGCUUCUGCUAUGGGUUCCACUGAAAACACCAAGUUGUGUGACUUCACUAGUCACAACAACAAUGAAUUUAUCUGCACUCUUAUUGCUGCUCCCGCCACUGAGGCUACCUCAUAUGAGAUUAAACCUGCUUUACUGAAUCUUGUUAUGAAAGAUCAAUUCUCUGGUGCUGGAGAUGAUGCUGCUUUGCACUUGAAUAAUUUUGUUGAGCUUUGUGAUAUGCAAAAAUAUAAAGAAGUAGAUGGUGAUAUUGUUAAACUUAAGCUUUUUUUCCUUUCUCCUUGAGAGGAGGAGCUAAAGUGUGGCUUCAAUCUUUGCCUAGGAAUAGCAUAGAUUCUUGGGAUAAGUGCAAAGAUGCUUUUAUUGGGAAGUAUUAGCAUCCUGCUAAGAUUAUCCAUUUAAGAAGCAACAUUAUGAAUUUUAGGCAACUGGAUAAUGAACACGUUGCUCAAGCUUGGGAACGCAUGAAAUCUCUUGUUAAGAAUUGCCCUACACAUGGUUUGACUACUUGGAUGGUUAUACAAACUUUCUAUGCAGGAUUGAACUUUACCUCGCGAAAUCUGUUAGACUCGGCUGCGGGAGGAACCUUUAUGUCAACUACACUUGGUGCUGCCACAAAGUUAUUGGACGAGAUGAUGACAAACUAUUCUCAAUGGCACACCGAGAGAGCUCCAAUGGGUAGGAAGGUAAACUCUGUUGAGGAGAUAUCCUCCCUUAAUGAUAAGGUUGACAUGAUCAUGACUUUACUUACUAAGCAAGCUCCUAUUGAUCCUCAUGAUGUCCCUUUAAAUUCUUUGGUUGCUCAAGAAAGAGAGCAAGUUGAUGUUAAUUUUAUUUCUACGAAAAACUUUAAUAAUAAUGCUUAUAGGAGUAAUUUUGGUAUCAAUCCUAGACCGUUCCCAUCCAACAACUAUGGGAACAACAACAAUUAUCCUAGCACCAAAAGCUCCACUUCUGAAUUAGAGAGCAUGCUUAAAGACUUUAUCACUUCUCAAAGAGCCUUCAACAAGAGUGUAGAAGAGAAAUUAGAAAAAAUAGAUAGUCUCUCUUUGAAGGUAGACAACAUAGCUCAUGAUGUAAAGAUGCUUAAAAUUAGAACCCCCCCCCCCCCCCCUGGAAAGGAAAACCACACCCAUGAAUGUUAUCCAAGUCCAAAUUAAUGAGAACAUAAGAAUGCUAGCCAAACUUAAAGAUAGAUGGGCUAGAGAAAAAGAAGAGGAAGAUGGGAUUAAGAUCCUUCCUACACAUACUACCAUUGCUACUAUACAAGUUGUUGAGGAUCUCAAAACUUUUAGCACCCAUCACACCCCUAGUACCAAUGGACAUGUUAAUGGUGAUGCUAAUACCUAAACUAUAGGACAAGAAGGUCCUUUGAAUUUAUAGACUACCAAAAGAAUGAGCUUAGAUGACAUUACCACCACUUUAAUUAAUGGUAGUAACCUUGAUUUUGACACUUGUAGUCUUCCCGAAGUUAUCACCUUUUUGCAAAGAAUGGCUAAAUAUCCCCACACUAGUACACUCAAUAUUGCCUUCACCGAGCAUAUUACCAAUGCGCUUAUCAAAUCUAGGGAGGAGAAUCUCAUGUUAGAGACUUCUAUUCCUAGAAAACUAGAAGAUGGUUGGGAUCCUAUGGUCAAGAUUAAAUUUAAUAAUAUCUCUUGAUUUUCCUUAUGUGAUGUUGGAGCUAGUGCCUUCGUUAUGCCCAAAAGAAUGUAUGAUAUGCUUGAUUUACAACCUUUUGAUCGAUGUUCUUUUGAUGUUCGUCUUGUUGAUUCUUCCAUAAAGAAACCUUUAGGGAGAAUUGAUGAUGUUCUUAUUGUUGUCAAUCAUAAUUAUGUGCCCGUUGAUUUUCUUAUUAUGGACAUUGAGUGUGAUCCCUCAUGUCCAAUUAUUUUGGGACAUCCUUUUCUCCGCACCGUUGGUGCUACCAUUGCCAUGAAAGAAGGGACCAUCAGAUUCCAAUUUCCCCUUAAAAAGGGAAUGGAACACUUCCCUCGAACGAAGAUUAAGUUACCUUAUGAGUCCGUUAUUCGGGCAAGUUAUUCUUAUGCAGUUGAUAAUACUUGAUCUUUUUGAAUCAUGCCUAGCUCAAAGGCAUAAAAGAAAGCGCUUGUUGGGAGGCAACCCAAUUUGUUUUUACUUUCAGUUUUAGUGGUAUUGAUACUUGUUACUACUGUAGCAACAUUAUUGUAUCUUUAUUUUUAAGCUUUGUGCCAAGUUUUAGCCUCCGAUUGCAAGAAAGUUCAAAAAUUGUGACAUGAUGUCCAGAAACAGAUUCUGUCUGCUUGAUGGAAAACUUCGCCAAAAAUCAACAUGUCAUCUUUUUGAUCUGAAUUUUUUUACAAUAUGCUAUAUAUAAUUUUCUUUCUGACGUCUGUUCUGAGUUUUUUGAUUUGAGUUGCGUAAGUGUCUCGAAAAAAUUAUUUACUACCUGUUGUUCUGUUUUUCAUAGAUUCUGCCACGUUUUGCGUUUUCAUCAUUUCAUAAAUCCUAAUCUUGCUUUCCCUUUGCAAAAACCUUUUGGCAAUCAUGAUAAAUAGUAUCUUUUCAUGAAAAUAUUUAUUUCCAGUAGGGAAUGAAUUAUUUUAUCAUGGGUACUAACCACUCUAAUCAGCUUAUGAUAAGUUUCAUAUGAAGGGAGUUUUCAAGUAUGCGAUGGAAGAUGAUGAAAGAAGAUUCAGGAGUGUCAAGCGCUCAAUCUUGGGGAUGCCCCCAUGCACCCCCAAGAAAUAUUCAAGGAGAUUCAAGCGUCUAAGCUUGGGGAUGCCCCCAUGCAUCCCCUUCUCUAUCAACAAUCCUCAGUUCAUCCAUCUCCAUGCUAUAUUUUUAUCACUUCAUAUGUUAUGUGCUAUGCUUGGAGCGUCCCGCUCUUUACUUUUUUAGUUUGUUUUAGUUUUGCUUGAUGUUCAUAACAAGUCGGAACCUAGCCUUCCUUGUUUGGGAGAGAAACACGCUCCAUUCCACUCUAGAAUGCACCAUAGGUUUUCAUUCUUAUCUUUUUUGUGUGUUCCCUAUCUUUACAUAGCUAUUGUCAUGCUUAGCUCUUAGUUUUCAUGCUAUAUCUUUUUAAGAGCUUUUAUUUAGGUUCCUUUUGGAAAUCUCUUGAGUUAUCAUGCUUAUCUUGUUUAGAGAGUUGGCUUGUUGCACUGAGUUGUGUGUCUUGCAUGAGUAGGUAAUUGAGGUUGCUAUUUAAGUAUAGUAGUAACUUGCAAUAGUUUUGAGGUAAUGAUUUGAGUAAUGUUUCGACUAUUGGUGCCAAGAUCUUGAGACUAUUAGUGAUAGGUGUCGUAUUUUGGGAAAUCUGUGUGUUUUUCAAAAACUAAAAAUUAGUUGAGAACUCUAGCUACUAGAUUGAUCGCUGACCUCUGGAGGGGUUGGAAUAUAUAGAGUACCCUCACGUUACCAUGGGUCGAGGAUGCACAAGGAUAACCAAACCCCCAAAAACUCCUCCUCGGGGUACUUGUCUCCUUGUGAAUUUCCUAACUAGAUAGAGAGUUACCGAUAAUAAGUGUAUGAUUUCUUCGGACUAAUGCGGGUAUUCGAUUGUUGGCACUUCCACCAUCCAUAUUUUGCUAGCCUCUUCAGUACCGUGCAUUGCCCUUUCUCAUCUUGAGAGUUGGUGCAAACUUCGUCGGUGCAUCCAAGCCCUUGGCAUGAUACGCUCUGUCAUCAUAAGCCUCAUUAUAUAUUUCCUCAAAACAACCAUCAUACCUACCUAUUAAGGCAUUUCCAUAGCCUUUCUGAGAUACAUUGCCAUGCAACAUCCACCAUCUCAUGACUUGAUCUUCAUGUCAUACAUGCUUUUGCUUGAUCGAGGAGUCGCAUGCUAGUUGGGCCUGACCCUUAUUAUUGCUACAUGACGCGCUAGUAUCAUUGCAUAUCCUGCUACACUGGCAGAAGCAUACAUUUGCAUACAUCAUGAUAGUUUUCAUUUUUCUUUAUGUGAGUACUUCUUAUAAAGUGUGAUGGUCUUCUUCUUUUUCUUCUUGUAAAACAUAGAGUGUUACCCUUAAGUGAGGAAAAUAUCCCAAAGAGGACAAAUUAAAAGAUCCCAAAGAGGACAAAUGAAAAGAUCCCAAAGAGGACAAAUGCGAGAUAAAAAGAAAGAGCCAAAGAGGCCACAAAAAAAUAAAAAAUAAAAAAUAAAGGAAAUAAAAAGAGAGAAGGGGCGACACUACUAUUCCUUUUAAAAGAUCCACACUCGUACUCCAUUGCUAUGUUUGUACUACAUAGAGAUUAUCAUUCAUGCAUAACAAUGUGGGACCCUCACACUAUAGAACUUGGCUUGUAUAUUCCAAUGAUGAGCCUCCUCAAAUGAGCUAUAGGUCUUCAUGAGCAAGAAAGUUGGACGCACCCCCACUAGUUCCAUUGGAGAGAUUACCUUAGCUCAUAUAUGCAUCCGUUGCAUGGCAAUCCCUACUCCUCACAUCAUAUCUAUCAUUUGGCUUUCUCUCGCCUAUGGUUGUCCUCAUUGAUGUGAGCCUUUCACACCUUUUUGUUUUCCUUCCCCAUCAUUAUUCUAUUUUCCAUCCUAAGUGCCAACAUAUCUUACUUGCGCUCAUCCAUUGCAUGAGUGCUCAAAGUCAAAAGGGAGAGGAUCAUUUUGACUUGUGCCUGACUAGUGGUCUCGGGAUGAGUCAAAAUAAGAUUCUGAAGGAGACCAAGUGUGAAGUUUAGUAGAUUGAGUUAUAAAUUAAAAAUAUAUAUUUUAUGCUCUAAACCCAUCUCCCAUUUCUUGCACGCAAACACCAUUUGGAGACAUUCGAGUCACGGACAGUGAGAGCUCUUGCACCUUUAUGUUCUUACUUUGCUAAUUUCAAUACUAAAUAUAGACUCUUGCUUGUUAUUGUCUUGACUUGAAUUGCAUAUCUUACUUGCUUUACAUUGAAGUUCUUAUAUGUGUGUUAGCAUGUCACCACAUAAAUUAUUUGUGUUAUCAUUUACCUACUCGAGGACGAGCAGGAAUUAAGCUUGGGGAUGUUGAUACGUCCCAAACGUAUCUAAAAUUUCUGCUUGCUCCAUCAUUUUUGGGUGACAUUGUUAUAUGUUUUGCUAUACUUUUAUAUAGUUUUACACAUAUUUGGACUAACCUACUAACUCAGUGCACUCAGUGCCAGUUUCUGUCUACUGGUACUUCUUUUGCAGGGGGAUUUACCCAAAUUUCCAUCGCUCCAAAAAUCCUGAGAAAAAUAUAUAAAAAUCAGCCCGACGGAAGCUUCCAGAGCAUCGAAGAUGGGCCAGAGGGGAGCGAGGGCUGCCCAGGCGGCCUCCCGGCGCGGCCUGGCCCCUGGCCGCGCCCAUAGGUCCCCUCUGUGGGCCCCACCUCCUCAGCGUUACGGAAGCUUCCGGAGCAUCGAAGAUGGGCCAGAGGGGAGCCACGGGCUGCCCAGGAGGCCUCCCAACGCGGCCUAGCCCCUGGUCGCGCCCAUAGGUCGCCUCGGUGGGCCCCACCUCCUCUGACGCCCUCCUUUGGCCUAUAUUUACCCUUCCGAUCGGAAACCCUUCCAUCAUAUCCAGAAUCACGAAUUUCUCCAUCGUUCCGCCGCCGCAGCGCUUCCAAGAUCGGGAGCGUCAGGAGACCUCUUCCCGGCACCCUGCCGGAGGGAGGAUUGACCUCCGGGAGCUUCUCCACCGCCAUGGACGCUUCCAGGACAUGUCCUGAGUAGUCCUCCUUGGACCAUGAGUCCAUGACUAGUAGCUAUGUGAUGUCUUCUCUCCAAUCUUGUGCUUCAAUGAUUAGCCCUUGUGAGCUGCCCUACAUGAUCAAGGCAUCUAUGUAAUUUUCCUGCUAUUGCUAUGCUCGGUUUGCUGGGAUCUGAUGGAUUAUGAGAUUAUGUUCAGAUUGUGAUGAGUUAUAUAUUUGAUUAUCCUUUUAUAUUAUGUUCUUUAGUGAUUCAUGCAUGUUCUCCGUUGCUCUUUAUUGCUUUGGCCAAGUAAUAGAUUGUAACUCAAAGAGGGAGCAUUAUGCAUGAUUGUGGGUUCAUGCCCCUGAUGUCUAGCUUGAGUGACAGAAAGAUGAGACUAGGGGAUGUGUUGUUGCCACCAGGGAGAAAAUAACGGUGCUUGUGACCACGGUUGCAAGGAUUGUUUACCUUACGCAUAUUUCGUUAAUGCAGUUGUCCGUUGCUUUAAGUUUACACUUUGGAUGGGGCUCGCAACUUAAUACCAGCGAGAUGUUCUGGAUAGAUAUCUCAAGGUGGAUGAUUAGUAAGUAGAUGCUGAUGAAUAAACGGUAUAAUUGUCUUCGCGUACUGCCCAUUACUAUUGAGCCUCUAACUUUCAAGUAGCAUAAUUAGCAUUGUGGUGCGUUUAUAAUUCUGCAAUUGCCGACCUGUAAUUUUUUUACCCAAGCAUAGUUGUUUAUCAUCUUUUGGGAGAGAGACAUCACUAGUGAACAUCAUGUGACUCAGGUCCAUAUCACCACCAUUGCUUACACCUCCAUCAUUUACUGCUUCCAUUUACUUUUUGUUGCCAUCACUAUCACUAUUCCCGCUUGUGUUUUGAUCCUUUGGAAACUACAAGGCCGGAGAGAUUGACAACCUCUUUGUACUCGUUGGGAGCAAAUUUAUUUGUUGUGUGUGCAGGUCCACGUCUUCUGCUAGCGCCAGAGCAGCGUACACCUACUUAUUGAUCCUCGGAGUCCUCUUGGUUCGACAAACCUUACAGUCCACGUGUAAGGGAAACUUGCUGCUGACUAGAUCUCCACAUUCUACUUGGGGUAACCAACGAGGUGCGAGAAGUAUAUUCAUCGACUCAUCAUCACAUGGCCGACCCCAAAAAUAAAACAGGGCGAAUGAGGAGCGGGCGACCGACCCAAACGGACAAAAAGACACACAAAGCACGCGUCCGUUUGGGUCGCCCCAUUGGAGUUGCUCUUCGUGCCCUCUCGGUGUUAUGGUAUCCAUCAUCAUCCGGCUAGACACAAUGUGAUUUGAUCAUAGGUAUGCUGAAACACGGAAACGAGAAAAGAGCAAAACCGGUAAGGAGGUAACUAACAUAGUGGACAAGUUGUUGAUCCAUGGGGAUGACGACAAGUCUCACCUCAGGUGUUUGCAUCAUAUCAUGAAGCAACAUGAGUAGCACAUGGCAAACUACAGGUUCACUUGAAUGUUCAUUUUUGUGGGUAUAGGUUUGCAUCAUAAAAUGUUUUGAUGAAUAGUGAAAAGCACUAAAUGGUUGAUUUUGGGGAAAAUAUCUAAAGUAAAUCUUCCAAAAAUAUCUAGGGAUGACAUGGAAGGGUGGUAACCCCUUCUUAGGGGCCCCACAAGGUGUUGGACGUCCAAGGGUGGUGCUCCUCCAUGGAGCUCCACUUGCCAUCCUUUUAUGCCAUUUAUGUGCCCUUUAUGUGUGACAUAAAGUAUGGGUAUUUUGGUAUUUUGUUGUGCGAGCCCUACCCUUUGGGUUUCCUAUAAAUAGAGGUGGAGAGGAGCUCUCCACACUCACUCCAAUUCUCAUACAAAUUCCAUGCAUGAUUUGGCUCUCUCUCCCCCUCCCGCUAAAUAGUUUCAUAUAGGUGAAAGGAUGUCUGGGUUCUGAUAUGAACUAGUUCUGGACGGCGAAACCCUGCCGGAUAGCUGACACCGUAUGUGUACAACGCCGUAGAGGGAUCAUAGGUUCGAUGUUAGUUCAAGAGUGCCUCCCGAAGGGUUGUCCAAUGACCGUCCGAGAUCCUGUGAGUGCCUCCCGAAGGGCUAUCCGUGACACCAUCUGAGGGGUUGUCCGACUGCCUCCCGAAGGGCUGUCAAAGGAGCCGACGAGAGAGAACAUCCUUGCGGUUGGGAGGUUAUAAAUCUUAGUUGUGGGGAUCUGCACCGUUGAUCUUCGUCGAAUGUACUUCUGUUGCGCUACGAGUCGGUAAUAUUGAGAUAAAAACCUUGUAUGCAUCUCCAUAGUGAUCCUGGGCAUGCUCGCUGUACUGGAUUUUUUUUGUCGCGUACCCUCACAAUAUUAAUGUCAUGAAAUAUUUCUUUCCGCCUUUAAUCAACACACCAUUCAUCUCACAGAUAUCAAGAUGUAUGAGUUCUAAUGGCACCAAGUGUCUUUCCUCCGCAACCUUGUGAGGUUUGCGAGGCUGCCUUGCUUGUACACACGAAUGGCACUUAGAACCUUUGGCUAACUUGAAACUCAGGAUUAAACUAAGCUUCACUAGCUGUGUCAUAACACCCAAACUGAUGUGACAAAGAUGUGGAUCCCAAACUUCAGAUUCAUUAACACUCAAAUGAAUAUUGUUCACGACUUUAUGAAAAUACCAUGAAGGGAAGGCGGAACAGACCUCCGCAUUCAAAACCUUUUCCAACAAAAAGUCCAUAUUUUGCAGCAACUACUUUAUUAGACUCGAAGACCAACUUAGACCCUUUUGUACACAGAAGGGAGCCACUACUGAGAUUCUUCUUGAUAGUGGGGACAUGUUGCACAUUCUUCAGUUACACAAUCCUCCCUAAAGUAAACUUUAUAGCGACCAUGACAAGACCAAGAACAGAAGCAUUCGUGCCAUUCCCCACCAAUACAGGCCCGUGUCCUGUGACUUGGUAAGAAGAAAACAAUGAAAUGUCAGUACACACAUGAAUAUUUGCACCUAUGUUCACCAACAAAAUGGUAGACUGACAAACUGAACAUACAGUAAACAAAUUAUCAUUCCCAUAUGCAACACUCUCAUUGUUGCUCACAAUCAUAUUGGCAGACUUGGAGUCCUACCCUAGUCUCUUGUACUUAUUUGGGCAAUUGUUGGCCCAAUUAAUGUUCCUUUGAACCAUAAGUGAAGCAUCGAUCUCCUUACUUAUUCUUCUUGAAGAUCUUCUUACCCUUCUUCUUAAACUCGGUAUUCUGUUGGACACAAUUAUUUCUCUUGAACUUGUGGAAGUUGGAGCCCCUCUAUACCAUAUUGGCAACAUAAGUUCCCUCGAUCCCUUUUUCUUGCGAGUCCUUUGCUCUCGAAUUCUGAUCAACACUCACAUGAACGAAGACAUCCUCAAUUGAGAAUUCUCCUCUCUAAUGUUUUAGAGUUGUAGCAAAGUUCCUCUAGGAAUUUGGGAGCUAGUGGUGAUGCAACCCGCGAUAAAUUUGCCCGGUAAAACACACUUAAGAAGCUCUAUCUCCUCAACUACGCAUUGUAUCUCAUGAGCAUGUUCCAGUGGAGAAUGGUUCUCGACCAUUUUGUAAUCGUGGAACUGCUCGAUGGCAUACAUCUUGCUACCAGCAUCGGUUGCGCCGAAUUCAGAUUCAAGCGCCUCCCACAAGUCCUUGGAAACUUGCAUAUGUAAAUAUGCAUCGAUCAACUUAUAUCCGGUCACACUAAGAACUGCUCCGAGAAAGUUGACGGUAGCUUCCGUGAACGCCUUCUCCAUAUCAGGAGCAAUCGCUCCCGCGGGAGUAAGACUGGCGACUCAAAAUACGUUCAUAGUUGUAAGUUAUAAGGUGGCUUUAGUUUCACAACACUUAAAAUAUGUACCCAUAAACUUAUUUGAUUUCAGUGCAGCGGCAAAGUCAUAUGCAAAAAAUGCCUACACAAAUUAGGUUCCUAGAUUGUUGAGUAAAUACGCAAAUUUUUCAUUAAAUUAAUACAAUAAUAAAUCAUGAGCGUGAAGUAAACUAUACUAAUCAUAUACUGAUAUUUGAUCAUAUUAUCGCGUACUAAACAUAUAGUAGAAAUAUCUACGCAAAUCACUAGUAUGGCUAAAAUAUUAAUAAGUACAAGCAGGAUAAAACGAGUUAUACCCUCCGUUAGACCAAUUGGCCGUAGUAGCAGUAGCGGUGGCGGUAGCAUCCUCGGAGACCUUCUUGUCGGCUUCGAGCAUGUCGGCGGCUAGAUGGUCGGCUACAGAUGAAUGAGACAUGAUGAGGACGAUGACAUAGAUGUAGUGUAAGCAGUCGAGCGGAGACGAGCAGUCGCGUAUGAUCGCUCCCUAAAAACCUAAUUGUCCCUCUCCCGUACAAGAUUCAGAGAGGCGGGUUUGAGAGGCUUGUUCUUCGUGUACACGGUGAACGGAUGGAGUCGCUGAUGAAAGCAACAACAAAGGAACGACAAGGACAAUGCACGUGGAGCAGAUGUGAUAUGUUCAUGAAGGUUAGGGUUGGUCGAUGCCUCAUAUACGCGGGCGCCCGUGUGGAGGGACGUGGGCUAGACCCACGUACAAGUCAACGACAACUCAUUGUCCGACGUCUCAGAUACAUGACACAUCUAUUACGAUUUCUCUAUUUCCUACCGAUAAAAAUAUGCACUUAGGUAUGAGCUCGGCUUAAUCACGCAACCCGCUUCACGCUGGCGCAACAGACGGCGGAAGACGAGUACGCGAGGACCACUUCUCUUCUCAAACGUUAAUAUCAUGUGAAAUAAAAUCCCUUAAAAGAAGGUCCGGCUCUUUCUACAACAACGGGAUGAGACUAAACUUUUAACAUUCUCUUGACAUGACACCAAUUUUGACUCUUAGAGAUUUAAAAAGAUUGUUGGAUAGGCCUAAAACCCAUCCCAUAUUCUAACAAUAUGUCGUCUGCAUGAAUUUGUAUUGAUAUGAAGUUCGUCAUAUGAGUUAUUUGGAUGCAGAACAAUAAAUUUAAAGCUUGAUCGAUUAGUGCAUGUGUAUUUGAGGAAGUUGGUUUUAUGAAGUCCGGCUGUACAUGUUAUGUUGAUUAACUGCAGAUGCUUAGUGUUAGAGUAAAACGAGAUUGAAUGAAAAUGAAUGGACGAUUAGUCCUGAUUUCUAUUGAUUCUCAAGUAUAUAUACAUUUGGAAGAGGCACGAAGAAGAGGUGUCUGUUCGGAGGCAUCCCUCCAGAACAGGUGCCUGUUGGCAAUAGAGAGAGAGCGGAGACACGACUGUUCGGGGUUGGACACAUCCCUUGGAUUAAUCUACUAAUUAAUUUAUAACACUCCCCAUUGUACAACACCGCUCCUUGAAUGUUUUAUCGUUGAAAGCUUCUUGCAUAUAGAUCUUCCAUCUUGAGAAAUCUUCCAGAUAAUCUUGAGAGUCUCCCCCAAAAACCCUGUGGGAAAAAUAUGAGGAGAAUAGAGUAGAUAUGUUGCUAAAACUCCUUUAAACCCAAUGAGAAAAAUAAGGAGGAAAAGAUGCAACAUAUGAUGAUUAUUGUCUCUUGAUAACUCAUAUGAGAAAACCUUUGAAGAAGGAGAAAACUCAUUGAUAAGUUUAGAGAACAAUUAAUAUGUCUUGAGUACUUCCUUUAAAAACCCUGGUAGGGAAAAUAGAAAGUAUGACAUGUGAUCUUUGAGAAGAUAUUGCCUCACUAAAAACCAUUAUGAGAAACUUUGAGAGAAAACUCAUAAGAGAAAAUAGUGCAAUCGUACAUGCCAUUGAAAACUCCUUUAAAACCCAGUAGGAAAAAUAUAAGGAGAAAAUGAUAUGGCAUAUAUAGACACUUGUGUUUAUAUUAUCUCGUUAAAAACCUUUUAUGAGAAACCAUUAUGGAAAAACUCAUCAAGGGAAAAAGAGUACAAUAUAUGCAAUCUGAUGAUUGUUAAUAGGUUAUAGUCUGGGAGAUUACUCCCCCUGAACUUUGCAAAUAUGGAGGAUGUCUCAUACCAAGGCCAUUGACAUGAACAUGAGAUUGUGUAUAAUUUGUUGGAUUAUCACAAUAUUUUGUUUGCAAAUUAUUUCCUCAACUUUCUAUAAUCCAUGAGGAUAAGUAAUUUCUGAGCAAUGUGAUUUAUGAUAUUGCUCUUCAUAUAACCUAUAGGUAUUGAGUAACACAAGUGGAAGUAUCUUGAUAAAUCAAGUUAUGUGAUUCUGAUGAAUCUCAACCACACGAUUUUGAGUGUGGUUAAUUAUUCUGCCAAGCCAUACAUAUUUUUGCAAUGCUUUAGGAUAAAGCAAUUAUGUCAGAAUGAUAAGUGGAAAUAACCAUUAAAAUCCAUUUAUAUGACUUCCAUGUGAAGGCUAUUCCAGCAAAUUCAGUCAUUGAUAUGGCGUCGUUUGGAUCAAAUAAAGAGCCAAUAUCAUUACAUCAUAUCAUGGUCAUAUCUUCUAUUUCCUGAUGGAAAUAUUGAAGAUUUACUGUAAUCUUCAGAUAUAAGAUGAUAUUACUUAUAUCAACCAUAUACCUUUUGUUUGAGGUUGCACUCCGAAUAAAGAUAGCAAAUACAGUGUCAGGCCUGACGUAGUUUGCAAUUAUAUGAGUGCUUUGGCACUAGUGAGAUAUAGAACUUCAGGUCCUAGUAUCACUUCAUUAUCACCCCUAGGUAUGAAUGGAUUUGUACCUUAUCAAAGGUAGUAUGACCAUACAUGUCUUUUGUUGAUAUGAUAUAUCCAAAUAGAACUUCUCGUAUAUGUUUGGAUAUAUGUAGACUGAUAUGUAUUCUUGAGAGAAUGCUCAAGUUGUAAACUUAAGCUAAAUUUGGUUGAAUCCAAAUUUUCCGUCUUGAGAUGAUUUUAUGUAUGUUUAGGUCUUGUAGAGACAUUGAUGAUGAAAUCAUCAUAUACACUGAGGUGAUGUAAGGAAAUAAAAUUUUGGUAUUCCUUUCUUAACACAUAAAUAAUCAUCAUCCUUUGAGUAAUCCUAUGAAGAAGGAACUCGUCUAGUCAGUAGUACCAUAUGAUUCACGACUAUUUCUAGUCAUAGAGUGACUUAUGAAGUUUUACACAAUACAUGUUGUGAUUUGUUUUUGUAUUUGGAAAUGAAGCCCUUCACGGACUUUAAUAUAGAUUUCCGAAAUGAGAGACUGAUAUGAGUAUGUAGUCACUGCAUCCAUUAACUUCAUGGAUAAUAUUAUUUGUACUGCCAAUGGUAUUUAUUAUCGAAACAUAAUUCCACUCAUACCAAGAAGGUAUGUUACAUUGUAAUCGAUGUCGGGUCUCUGCGUGAACCCUUUUGCUACAAGCCUCGCUUUCUCACCACCUCAUUGACUUUGUCUAUGAAUGAGAAGUUUUGAGUAUUCCAUAUGGAAGAUACUUAUGAGGAGUAGGUAUUACUGUGGUAAAUACCACUCUUUAAUGAGCGAGUGAUAUUCUUCGUUACUUGCUUCCUUUUAUGUGAACCAAUAUGAGUACAAGAGGCACUCUACCAUGGAUUUUGGUUCAGGGCCCAAAAGGUUUUAGCAAUUUUUAGAAGAAAUAUAUGUCGACAAAUGUAGUCUUUAUUUUAUAUGAUUCUAGUGGAAUCAAUGAAUUUUGUGGAAAUGUAUUUAUUCCUUUUAAAUCCUUGUGAUUUCCUACAACAAUGGAGUCAAGGUGUUUUGAUGUCCCGACACCAAAACAUUUGUGCACAUUUAUGCCGGGCUUUGGAUGAUGAGCAUCCAGUGAGGUGUGUUUCAACUUGAUGUUUAAUUACAUUUACUGGUUGAGGAUUUGAUUUCCUCUAUUCCGCAGAAGCAUAUGCAAGAUUAUAUCUCGUGUGGUCAGAUUUCUCCCCCUAUUGCUCUCAUUUGGGGAGAAGAGUGGUUUAUCACGUACCUCCACUCUUUGUGACAAUUUACUGCAGGAAUAUAAUUGAGUAACACCUUUGUCAUCAGUAAAUGUAUGUGGCAGAUUUGCAAUGUGUUGCAAAUAUGUGAUUCUAAGCUUCUUGUUCAGAUUCUUUGAGUACGUGGAUAUAAGGACUGAAUGUGAAUAACAUUUCUAAUUUAUUUCUUGGCAUUCUUUGUGGUACUAAUCUCCCCCUAAUGCCAGAAAUGUCCUUAUUGCUGAUGCAAUCAGCAUACAGGCUAUGAAUAAUUUUGAUUGACGGAUAAAUUGUUAUUCCUCACAUAGAUCCCUAAUUUUCUGUGAGACCCCAUUGAUGUAUGCUGGAGUGGUGAUAUCGGUAUGUAACCUAAUUAUCGGAGAUAGGAAAUACUUUGUUGAUUUCCACGUAAUUACUACAAGGGGAAAGUAGUAUGCUAUGCAGUUGGUAUGAUUUAUAUCAUACUUACUGUGUGUAAUUCUGUAUUUGUCUAGCAUGAGGCUAGUAAAUUACGAUUCUAUAAGUUUGGUCAUAUUAUUAAUUUCAUUAUCCUUGAUAAGAUAUUGAACUAAACCAUUAUGUCUAUUACAUAAUGUAUUAUGUAUAAUCAGACAUUGCUUGUGAAAUGAGUUCAACGAAGUUGUCCAUUCGAAUGGAUUUAUCCCUUGUUUAGGAUAACUUGCUCUUACUUUGAGAAUUUGAGCAAUUAAUUUAGUUAUAUCAUUCAUGGUUUGUGUGACAAGAGACACACUGGAAAUCAUUUUAUAAAUGUUUCCAUGAGUACCAUGAAGUAUCUAUAUAAUACCACAUAAUGGUUGAGUAAUCCACAUAUCUUCUGAAUGUGUUCAAGGAAGAAUGAGUUGCUCAUUUAGAAUUGUAAGGUGAGACUCCCUUAAAUUAAUUUCCCCUAUCACACAUGUGGUGCACAUAAAAUCUGAUGAUUUGGGAAAUUUGGCAACUUGUUAAGUUGUGACCAAUAGAAUUGUCCAUAAUUUUCUAAUCAACCCCAAACCAGGAUUGUAAGGCCUAUAACCAAAUAUUUUGUAAGAUUUAGAAAAUUAUUUUGUACGCAACAAAACUAACUAUGAAUUGAUUCAUACAUUCAAAAUUUAUCAAACAUGAUGUCCAAGAAAUAGGAUGUUGGACAUUAUACUACAUGUAGUAGUACAACUAUAAGCAAAUAAUAUUUUGGGAAUAAUCGAGAUAUUACAUGAGGUCUCCCAUAUUACUGAAAAUGAAUUAUGCAAACAUAUCAUAGGAGCAAACGAAUUGAUCAAUCUUUUAUUGCACUAUAUUUUUGGUUCUCCUUCUGAUGAAUAUUUGAGAACAUCAUUUACCAGGAUAGUUUCUGGCCGUAUGUUUGCAAAUUUUCAAAUACCCCAAUGAACUUAUUUGCCUUUUAAUAAACUCAUGGUGUGGUUUGACCAUAUGUUUGAAGGUUUGGUAAUCAUAUGUACGAUAUUUAUGUAACCACACAUUUGACAAACUUAAGAGUUGUCUUUGUGAUCAUUUGGAAAUGAUCAAUUCCCAAUUAAAAGAUAAUUUUGUCAUUGGUUGUCUUUAACCUCCACUUUACUUUGAAUUCCUCAUGGUUCUAUUUUCUGACCACUGACUUGCAUAGUAUUCUCAAUGCUAGCAAAUAUUUGAAGCACUCGCUGGGUGAAUAUGAUGAUUUUAAGAAAUGACAUGUUUCUUUACCAUGAAAAUAGUAAUACCAUCAUAAGGAGAUGUAAAGUGUAUCAAGGGCUUUUCAACCCGAUCUGCAUAUGAAAAUGUUAGAUCAUGAGAUCUCAACUUCAAGUUGAUUUUAUAAUUACCAAAAUUAUAAGUUGCGAUAGACUUGAGGCCUUGAAAAAUUAUUGGGUGAUCAUUCCAAAUGUGCUCAUGGCAGCAUGUUUCUCUUAAGGGAAAUAUUCAAGGUGAAUAAAUAUUCAUCCAUUAUGUACUUAGUUUGAUAACUAAGUGAAGUUGGUGACAUAUAAAAUGCGUAUGUGCAUCAAUAGAAUAGCCAUGUGUUACAUGAAAUGAUCAUGCAUUAUUUAAUUUACUUAUUGGGGUAAAAUAAAAUAUAUGUAUGAAAUGAUUUUGUUGAGCAAAAUCCGUCAAGGUGAUGCUUGGUGAAUCAUGGGGUGUAAACCUUCAAUAUAGUGCAUGCGAUGAAAUCGUUGCUAAUGUUUUGGGCUUCAUUCGUGAGAAAAAGUGUGACUUUAGAGUCAUGACCAAAACAUAGACUUUGCAAUUUUAAUAUUGCCUAGUCACUAUAAAAUAACAACCACAAUGUGAUGUGGAUCUUGCAAUAGUGUUUGAGACAUUCGAUAUAAAUUAUGGUAUCCAUCUUGAUAGAUGAAUGACACUAUAAUUAGAAAUAAUGACGUAGGCUACAUUGUCAUGCAUUUUACCAAUGUAACACAAAGUAAUCACACGUAUAUGCAAAUAUUUCCAUAGUUUCAUAUGACAUAUUCAAGCAAAAUGUGCAAGAACAUUAUUUACUGUGAGAGUAAACUAUUUUAGUGAACAACAACAAUGAAUGCUUCGUAGGAGCAAAUUCUAGUACAGCUGAUGCCUUAUAGCCAUAUGUGUAGACCUCAAUUUAUAUAGGAUAACACUUUGAAGAUAAUCACCAAUAUGGUGUAGAUCUCACUGUGAUAGAAAACAUAGUCUCAUUUUUGUCGGUAGAUGUUCAUAAUUCUAUUACCUUAUGUUAUGCUAUAUUUAAGAAAAUCACUUUGAAGAUAAUCAUAUGUCAAAAUGACAUGAUGUAGACCUUGCAGUAAUAGUGGAUAGUCUGUAUUUUUUUUACAGUAGAUGCCAAUAUUACCUUAUCAUAUCUAGAGGUAGUCACAUCUAAUAUUAAUAUUUGGAAGAGCACUUUGAAGGUAAUCAUCUUGUAAACACAGACAAGAUGUAGACCUCAUAGUAGUGAUGAAUAAUCUGCGUGCAGUAGAUGUCAUCAAUACUUUGUGAUUCACAAAUAAAAAUUUGGGCUAUGUACACAUUAAUAUUUGGAAGAGCACAUUUAAGAUAGUCAUCUUGCCAAAAUGACAAAAUGUAGAUCUUACGGUAGUGAUGGAUAAUCUACAAAAAUAUGCAGUAGAUGCCAUCAAAUACCUUGUAAUUCACAAAUAAACUUGGAUGCCAUCAUAUUAAGUAUGAGAAUACGUGAUCCUUGUUUUGAAUUACAAUAAGAUUUGCAAAAAUUAAAAUUAAUUGCAAAAAUAGUCGUUCUCCUAAGACGCAUGCCUUAGGAAAUGUUUGCGGCAAAGAGAUAUAUAUUGUCUUAAAUACCGAAGGAAUAAAUGCACGCAAAAUAUUCUUCUGCAUUCAGUAUUACUGUGGUAAUACAUAUGGAUGCAAACCUUAAUAAUUUACAUAUUUAUGUAAUAUAUGAAAACCAGAGGGCUUCAAAGUGCAGCCAACAUAUUUCUGUAAUUUCAUUCGCAGAAAGUAUAACGAUUAAUCUGCAAAUUAUUCUAAGCCUGAUGGCUCAAUGGGGAUAUGUAAGGGAUUGUCUUUCUUUACAUGGAUAAGAAUCAAACUGAUUCGUUUGGGUCGCCACCGGGGAGGAUGCUGCCUUGUGGAUGGUGCGAGGGCGCCGCGGUCAAUCGUGAGCGAGAGGUCGGGUCGUCGUGUUGGACGAAGGUCGCGUCUGAGGAUGCACCACCGGGACUCGUGUCUUGUCUGUUGUAGCCGGCUGAUAGCCAUGACGGGGCUCCGUGCCGGAGGAUAGUGACGGGGCCGAGGGUCGUCGUGCGCUCCGGGAUGGAGACUGCCGUUUCGUCAAGGCCGGUGUUGCCUUCCGUUGUCGAGGUGUCUCGCAUGGAUCGAGGUCCGGCGUGUUGUCGAGGUGUCUCGCAUGGAUCGAGGUCUCGCCACGCCGGACGCCAUUUUUGUAAGUAGAAAAAAGGCCUUCGCGAUGUGGAUGAAGUGCAGUCGGCUUUUUCAUGAAACUGACCGAUAGCGUCACGCAUCCAUGCUUGUCGUCGGCCUCUUUAUGGAUGAUUUGAUGAAGCGAUUCUAGCACAAGGUAGAAUGGAUGAGAUUUCUUUUAAUCAUAAAAAGACAAACAUAAUUAAUAUUAAUGAUUAAUUUCCUGUACGAAUGCAUGCCGCACGGAAACUCAAUUUGCUCUCCGUUCUUUGACGAAAUGAUGAUGCCAUAGGGUGAUUUCUUGUGAUGUAAAAAGAAGAUCCCUCUCCGUUCACGAGAGACACAACGAGUGGUCGCUCAUGCUAAUCUCAAAAUGAAAACCAGGCCUUCUCAUGAUUGAUUUCUCCAAUGGAUGCAUGCAUGCCUUUGCAUGCGAUCUGAUGCGCCAGCGUGUUAGGCGCUCUGCAUCCCUGGCCGUUGCGUGCUUUGCACCUACGACCUGUUGACGGCCUCGCGCGGCGGCGGCCACGACACGGACGGACGGACACGGAGCCGGUCUAGCGCGGGGCGGCGGCUUGGCCUCUUUCUCAGCGAACAAGACUAUAUGCUGAUAACGUAUUAGAGUAAAAUGAGAUUAAAUGAAAAUAAACGAACGAUUAGUCCUGAUUUCUAUUGAUUCUUAAGUAUAUAUACAUCUGGAAGAGACACGAAGAAAAGUUGUCUCUUCAAAGGCAUCCCUUCAAAACAGGUGCCUGUUAGCAAUAAAGAGAGAACGGAGACACGAUUGUUAGAGGUUAGACACAUCCCUUGAAUUAAUCUACUAAUUAAUUUCUAACACUUAGAAAUUCUAUUAUGUGAGCUCGGCUCACUCGCGACUUUUGUAGCUUUUGGUUUCCGGGCAGGCUUCCCACGUGAAGGGGCACAUGCGCGCGCGCCAAGCUGUGUAGUGUAACGUGCAAGCACUCAUGCACGCAGCUAGGCGACACCCCAAAGCACCGUCAUUACGGCGCCGCCCCCCGUAAUCCAUAUGGGUCUCUAGGCCUAAUUAGCUAGAAUAUUGUUCUGCGCCGAUCUGAGGCGCGAAAAUCAUGUACUCUCUCCGUUUCUAAAUAUAAGUCUUUCUAAAAAUUUCACUAAUAGACUACAUAUGGAUGUAUAUAGACAUAUUUUAGAGUGUGGAUUUAUUCAUUUUGUUUCGUAUGUAGACUCUUAAUAAAAUCUCUUAAAAAACUUAUAUUUACAAACGGAGGGAGUAGAAAAUUGUGGGGGUCAGAGACGCCCGGAUCUGUGUCCGGGACUGGACGUCAAAUUCCGUCGAUGCCUCAGCGGACCUGUGCCCGAGACCGGACGUCAAAUUCCGUCAAUGCCAGAGCAGUCGGCAUGCAUCGCACUGCGUGUGUUGCAACUUGCACAUCUAGUGGUACGCCUAAUCUAGUCUUAUUUACCGGAAGAAUACAAUCAGAUUAGUAACCCACCUUGCAAGUGGAGGAAGAGGAAGAGAAAGAUUAAGCAUUGAUCAGAUUAGUAAACAGCAACUCCAACACGACGAUCCGUUUCGUCCGUUUAGAUCCGCGUGGACAGAAAAAUCGACCAAACGCGCCGAUCUAACCGAACGUGCGUUCGCUUUUCGUCCACGUGCGGACCCAUUCCCGGUCCAAUUUUAAGCCUGAUUUGAAUCGGCGUGCACACAAAGCGAACGCGAACGACCCGGCGUACUCCUUCCCUUGACCCGACAGUCGGUGGCACAUUAGUAGUACGGAUGAAAACGGAGCAGAAACAGACGAAACUGAGUGCUAUCACAUUUGUUUUCAUAUUAUUUUUGCAUAAGUGAAAAUGAAUACAGAAACCCCGGAAAUGAAUACGAAAACAGAUACUGCCGGAAACAGUCAUGGAGCGAAUACAAAACGGAUACAGAAAUAAAAGUGAGUGUUGACUGGAACUUUAAAACCCCUUGAAUCAUAGAGUAAUACACACCACAAUAAAAAUUAAUGAAUUGCUAACAUAUCUACAAAAUAAUUUGAUUAUGUUAGCAACAUAUCCAAGUAUUGUAUUAGUACAUGACAAUUGUGUAUAGGGUCUAGCUGAGUAUAUAUAUGGUAGUAUAAGUUAGGCCUCAAAUGAUCCAUUAUGCUCAUCGUGUCAUUGUGUGUUAUUUGGUGGUUGGGCUACAAAGCAGCCGUAGGCCUAUAGUAAAAAUGGGAAAUUUCAUAUUCAUGGAAACGGAAAGUUCCAUUUCCACAUAUGUUCCACCGGAAAACACUCUUCCAUUUUUGUUUCCGCUUUCACAUUAAAAAUUCCAUUUUCAUUUGCGUUUUGCAAAUUUUCAUUUCCGCUUUCAUAUUGCCUCUCUGUUUUUAUUUUUCCUUCGGAAAAGAGGAAAGUUUCCACUCCAUUUUCAUCCCUAAUUAGUAGUUCUCCACCCCUGUCGACAGCUAGCCCUCGCCUCGCCCCCACCCCAUGGCCGCCGCUGCCCAGUUCCGGUGCCUCGGCCACCAGCGCCUCCUCCCAUACCUCCCCAAACGCUGACACCUACCCACGCCGCCGGCCGCAUUGCCGCCAGGCCACCGCAGCUUCCCCGACCCCAAUCUGACGUCACCGGUUAGCUUCGUCGUCCACGCCCGCAAGUUGUUCGACAGUUUGCCUUAAGGUACAAAUGGACUACGCCGACGAGUUCUUUUUCCAUAAUGUUCUCUCUGACUCCGACGAUUCCUCAUGUGACGAUGAGGAGAUGCUGCUUGUCGUGUUGGUCCAUGACCACCUUAAUAGGCAGCGGCCGUUGUUCCAGGGCUCGACUCUGGGGCAUGUUCUGUCGUUGAAUGGCAACCAAGGAGCGGCCAUUUCCUUCUAUGGAAGGACUAUUUUGACACAACCAAUCCGUUGUUCAAACAUGAGAAAUUCCGGCGGCGUUUCCGUAUCGCUAGGCAUGUUUUCAAACGGUUUCGAGAGGGGGUGGUCGGAUACGAUGACUACUUCGAGUACAAAGAGGAUAUCAUUGGAAAGGUUGGCUUCUCAUCUUAUCAAAAAUGCACUGCGGCUAUCCGGAUGCUUGAUUACGGAGUACCCGGUGAUCUUAUCGAUGAGUAUGUCCGUAUGAGAGGGUCGACGUGCCUAGAGUCGUUGUACAAAUUCUGCAAGGUUGUGGUUGCAGUGUUUGGCCCUGAGUACUUGAGAGAGCGGACUGUUGCAGACACAGUCCGCUUGUUGGCGAUCAAUGCUAGCCGGGGCUUCCGAUGGAUGCUUGUCAACAUAGACUACAUGCACUGGGAGUGGAAGAACUGCCCUUCUGUUUGGCAAGUCCAAUACAAGGGCCAUGUCAAGGCUUGCAUUGUCAUACUUGAGGCCGUGGCCUCUCAAGAUCUCUGGAUCUGUCACUCUUUCUUUGGCAUGGCCAGAUCACACAAUGAUAUCAACGUGUUUGAACGUUCACCAGUGUUUGCAAGGCUUGCCAAAGGCAAGAGCCCGCCGGUCAACGUUAACUUCAGCGGUCACAACUACAACGAAGGAUACUAUCUAGCUGGCCGAAUUUAUCCACAGUGGAUCACUAUUCUCAAGACGAUCUCCAACCGUGUCAGAGAGAAGAGGAAAAGAUUUUCCAAGAGCAAGAGAGUGCUAAGAAGGAUGUCGAGCGUUCCUUUGGUGUUCUGCAAUCUCGAUGAGGGAUAGUUCGGUAUCCUGCUAGAACUUGAAGCAUCAAGAAGUUGUCGGAAGUGAUGAAUACUUGUGUGAUGAUGCACAAUAUGAUCCUAGAGGAUGAGCGCCCGAAACGUCUCCACGGUCAAGGGUUUGAGUUUCAGGGUGACAAUGUGGUGCCUCAGCAUGGCGGAGGAGCCGCAUCGUUUGUACAGUUCAUCCAAUUUCGUCAUGAAAUGCGUGAUUGGGAACUCAAAUUCAGUUGUAAGAUGAUUUGGUUGAGCAUACGUGGGAUAAUGUUGGCAACUAAUAGAUGUAUCUUUUUAAGACAAUUUAAUUUUUAUCGGGCUUGUAAAACUUUGCUAUAUUUUAUUUUGGUUGUGGAACUAUGCUAUUUAAUUAUAUUUUGAAAAAUAUAUAAUAUGUUUGUAUUUGUUAAAACCGGCGGCUAGCCAGCUACGCGGACAAAUAUGGAUCGGCGCGUUGAACGCGCUAUCGAACCAAAUCCUAAAGCGGGCAGACGACCCAAACAAACGAAAAGAGGACAAAAUCGUUGUUCGUUUUGGUAUGUCGGUUUGAGUUGCUCUAAGGGGCGGGCUGGAAAUCGGUGGACCGAAAAUUUCAUUUGGGCCAUUUGAUUGGUUUCAGCCCCUCGGUCGAAAAUGAACGGCCACAAGCAUACUUCGACCUCGAGACCUGCCUAGGCACUACAGACCCUGUUGAAUAUAUUAACAAUUUUUUUAUUGACUUAAUUCAGGAAAUAAUCAUCAACAUGACACUAAUAAGAUUAAACACAUGUUGAUAUUUGAUCGCGCAAGCAUAUACUACACUAACAACACAUACGUCUAUGUAUAACACUAGUAUGACUAAUAUAGACAUAAACAUGAGCCGAAAAAAACAUGUUAUCCGCUCGAGUAGGCCAGUUGGCCGUAGGAGUGACGGUGGCAUCCUCCUGGAUGACCUUCUUGCCGGCUUCGAGCUUCUUGGCAGCGAGGCGGUCGGCUUCGUUGACUAUGGACAUGGUGACGAUGAAGACGACAUGGGCGUAAAUGAUGCAGUGGACCAAAAAUAGUGAGCAGUCGUGUUGGAGACGCUCACCAAAAACCUAAUCGCACCUCUUCAAUCCAUGAUCUGGAGAUGCGAGGUUUCGGAGGCCUGCUCUCCCGUCAACCGUGUAUGCGAUGCACAUAAUGUGAUCGCCGGCGGCAGCAAGAGCAAAUGAACGACAACUGGACGGGUGCGCGUGGAGCCAUAUGCGAUCUGUUUUUUCUAGAGGCUAGGGUUGGCACACGCUUCUAAUAUGUAGGCGCAACCGCAUGAAGAGACGUGGGCUAGAUCCACGUCCGAGUCGUGACAACCUACGAUUCGAUGUCUCAGAUCGUGGCAUGUGUCUCAAAGACUCUUUGUUCCUGACUAGUAAAAAUAAGCGCAUAAAUGUGAGCUCGGCUCGACUCAUUCCCGCAACUCGUGUUGUGGUGUGGCAAGGCGGACAACGGAGGAGAAACGCGCGAGAACCACUUCUCUUCUUGAGCUUCAAUAAAAUGUGAAAGAGAAUCCCUUAUAAGGAGGUUCUCCAACUAGCAAUGUGGAAUUAAACUUCUCACCACCCAUUAUUAUGACAUCUACAUGGGUUCUUAGAGAUUUUUUUCUUCAGAAAUUGUUGGAUGGGCCUAAAGCCCACCCCAUAUUUCAACACACCUAACCGCCUCCUGCCAUCGCUAGCGGUUGGCGGCACUCCCGCGACCGCCUCGCCACCUUGACUUCUCCUCAACCGACGUCCACUGUCGUGUUGUUGUCACCCCUGGCCAUCCCUCUAUCCCCGACGAAGAUCGAUACUUUUCCAGCGAAAAUGCAUCAUCCCCCACACCCUUAGUAGCCCGCCACUAUAAGAUAUUCCAGCGAGCUCCUUCCUUCCCUUUGCCUUCCUUCGUUCACUCGAAAACCAGUUAACCAUUGUUUCUGAAAUGGGGCAAAAUACGCCUAUCAAUUAAUUACGCAGAAAAGAACUAUCUAGUUAAUUUUCAAAAAAAACGAUCAAAAACAGAAAUAAACAACCUAAAAGCGGGCUACUCAUAAAGCACAAAAUACCUGACCACAUAGACGACCUGCAAAUACUCCUAAAACAAAACAGUCAUAGCUCGCCACACUUGCACAACACAACAGAACCCCAUUGACGCACACACCGGCCACAUCAAUAUCCUCAACCUAAUAAGGCUACUUCCAAUGCGUUGGUGAUAAGAAGAGGUGCUAAGCACAUUAAAAGUUUAGCAACCAAAGCCCCCAAUGCAUAGGUGAUUAACUUGUUGUAGCUAAGCAUAUUCUAUUUAAUGAUUUAGCCCCCCCCCCAUGGCGACUAGGGGGCAACCCUAGCGCCGCCGCCACAUUUUCCCCCCUCUCUCCCUCCCCUCCGCCGCUGCCAGAGGGCGCCACGACACUGGCUUGUGGCCUUGAUGAAGGUGGCGGCGGGGAUCUAGCGCCUGGACGGCGGCGGUUCCCGGGGCGGCGGGGAUCUAGCGCCUGGACGGCGGCGGCUCCCGGUGGCGGCGGCUUUGGCUCCCGGGGCGGCGGCUCCCGGUGGCGGCGGGGAUCUAUGGCCUGGACGGCGGCGGCUUCGGCUCCCGGGGCGGCGGCUCCGGCCGGUGGCGCGCGGCGUCGCCUGGUACUGCUGGAUGUCCUCGUGUAGCGGUGGUAGCCGAUCCGGCCCGAUCCACCGCGCCAACGACCGGUUCCAGGUGCCUUCUCCUGGUGCUUGCUGGCCGGAUCUAAUCCGGUCUUGGCGGUGCCGACGGCGACGGCUAACCCGGGACCAUGGUGGUGGCGGCGUCCCCUCCGCCGGAGAUGACGGGCCUGAUGGUGGGGAGACAUGGUUGACGGUGAAAACCGAGCCGUCGGCGGACGAUGGCAGCUUUCUGCGCCGUUACCUUGAUGUAGGCUUCAUUUUGUAACUACUGUUGAUCCACUCGUGCUGCUCCAGGGGAAACCCUAGGAUCUGGUUUUCCAAAUCAGACGAUGGUGGCAUUGCGGUGUCGUUCCUCUCUAUUGAGCAUUGUUUGUGGAGCAGCACUGGAAGACGGAGGCACGAGGUGGAGCGUCUUUGUCCUGUACGGAGCUUCGUUGGUGAUGUGAGGUCAUGCCUGGCCGACAGGUGCUACGCUUUGUCAUGCCUGGUCGGCAGGUGCUACGCACGACAGAUCUUACUGAGUCUUCGCAUCUGGAUGGACGAUCACAGGGAGGUGGUGCCAUUGGGCGCCGUGGUGGUGUCGACGGAUUGCCGGACUGGCAAGGAUUAUGCGAUCUCUCUCCUGAAGAUGGUUCAACGGUUCGAUGAUGAUGGCGGCUUUUAAAACGUGUGCAUGUGGUGUACGCUUUAGGUCUGCUGCACCAGCUGUGAGUUCCGAUACGUCAUGUGGAUGGAUCGGAGACGACACCGGAUUUAGAUAUGGGGAGUGAGAGCACUCCACAUUAUCACGGUUUGUAGGUAUGAGAGGGGGCUUCGGGUGGUUUGAUGUAUGUUCUUGUGAGACCUUAGUUGAAUAAGUAAUAAAGAUGGUUGUAUGCAUCGAUUGAUGCAGAGGCCGGGGGUCUUAACCUCCUAUUCUAAAAAAAAUAAAAAAAUGAUUUAGCAACUAAAGUUUUUCAUGCAUUGGUGGGUUUUCUUUUAUUUAAGUAUUUUCUCUAGGUUCAUCCGCUUGACAUCGUUUCUUUCUGAGGUCACCACAUCCAUCUCUCUCCUUUUAAAUACCACGUCACAUCAAAAAAUUUGUCUACAUGACAGUCUUAGCACCUGUACAAGGUGGAGCAUUGGGAGGGGCCUAAACCUCUGGUCCGAAGGACUCAGAAGGCGCCUAUGGAUGCUCACAUGGCAAAGACGAAUCAUUUCCCUCACACUAGUGAGUCCACCUUUAUGUGAUUCAUUGACAAAAGCGUAACAUAGCUCAGAGAUAACCCUAAUCUCGGGCAUGAUUUGCCGCACCGGAGCCAAAUGUCCCCAACACGCGCGGGGGGAGAGGGGACUUUGCCUCCAUGUCCUCCUUGGAGCAAACAUCAACUGACCCAAAUUUCAAAUUCGGACGACUUACGUAUAACUAUUGUGCAUUAGUAAAUCCACCGUGCAAGUGGGGAAGAGGGAGAGUAAACAUUAUCGCAAACAGAGAGAGAGAGAGAGUACAGAGAGAUAAGAUCAAACAAGAUCGAAUCUGUCCGGCCUCAUAUGCAGCAAAAAAAAGGUUUAAUAAAUGGGAUGAACAUGGCAUGAGUAUCUAGCAUGUGUCGAUGCAUUACUUUUGACGCAUGUUGGGCUCUGCAAUACUUCGCUUUUCCAUCCAGCUUUAGCUCGACCAUUUUCACGGUACAAAAUGCUGAAAGCCUCUCGGAAUCUACACCCUAUGGUCUAUAAAUAAGCCUCUCAGAUCCAUUUCACUCUGCCCAGCCCAGCAGCCGCUGCUUCACUACACUAGCCAGCGUCUUAUCUUUUGGCAACUCAACUCGCUUGAGCGAAAUGGCCCUGGCUGGCAGGCUACUCGUCCUCGUCCUCAUCGCCGUCGCUCUUCUCGCCGUCUCCAUCGCCGAGCACAAGGUGAGAUCUCCGGUGAUGGCACCCAGCGGGCAGUACCCACGACGAGAAGCCAAAUUGUUCGUCUUGCUUAGCAUGCUUACAUCGCAUAUUUUGUGAUCAGGUGUCUGCCUCAGGGACCGAAGAGCAUGAGGAUAAUGUGUACCGGGUGAGCAAGGUACGUGUUUCCACGGCUUCCCGUUGCACGUUUUUAAAGAGGUUUUGGGGAUAGAUCUAUGGUGAUGCUGAUCGCGUUUAUUUUUCUCCUUUCCGAAUUGUUUCUUCAGGGAGGACAGGGCAGUCUCAAGAUAUACCGUGAGUCGCUCUUCCUGUCCAUACCAUUUUUUCCCUUUCGUUUUGACUUCCCUGUGCAACAUGCAUUUUCUUGAAAAUCGUUGCUCACAAGUAGAAAUCCUCUCUAGCUUAGCAGUAUUGGUGCUCACUCUUUAAUCACUCUCAAAAAUUACAAGUAGGAACCCUCCGGAACCAGUUAAUGUAGUGAUGACUAAACUGUGCAGAAGUAAUCCAGAUCAGACUAAAACAAGCAAGAUCCACACAGCAGCCCAAACCGACCGUCUCGCAUCCAAACACGGAUUUUAAAAGAAUUUCAGAGCGCAUGAAACCGAGCACGCGCCCAAACAAGCACGAUCCACAUAGCAGCCUGAAACCAACCAUUUCGGAUCCAGACAUAGAUUGAAAAUCCUUCAGAGUGCAUGCAUAUACAAUCUGGAUCUGCUGGUUUCGCCUGAAAUGAAAUGAAAUGUGAGUUGGGUGGGUUGUUGAUGUUGCGGUGCAUGAAUUGCAGAGUGCAAGCCGGUGUGCGAGUACCGGUGCAGCGACACCAAGUACAGGAAGCCGUGCCUCUUCUUCUGCAACAAGUGCUGCAACACCUGCCUGUGCGUGCCGUCGGGCUUCUACGGC
rnacentral:lncRNA from 1 species